rnacentral:lncRNA from 1 species
GGCGGCUUUCCUUGCGCUCCCUGGCCCAACGACCUAUGUCGGUCGAAGUCGAGCUCGGUGCCCUUGCGCUCGUUGUACCCGUUUCUUGGCCUUUCCACUGCCAGGUCUUUAAAACACGUGGCUUUGGAAAUAUAGAUACUAUCUAAUAUGGGCAUGCCGUAAAAGAAGAUUUUGCUUUUGCCAUCCAAAUUACCUCUCUUCUCUACCAAAAAUGAAUUUUCAAAAUUUAAGUUUACUGGAGACGCUCCGAAAACGCACACAAAACAGUGGUACCGGACAAGGUUUUUAAAUCCAAAUUUCCUUCUUCUCUACCUAAAAUGAAUUUCCAAAAUUUAGGUCUACUGGAGACGCUCCGAAAACGCACACAAUACAGUGGUACCGUACAAGGUUUUUAAAUCCAAAUUUCCUUCUUCUCUACCUAAAAUGUGGUACCGGACAAGGUUUUUUAAUUUCGGUAACGAAAUAAUAUCGGAUCCCACUGAACUAUGAGAAAUUUCGAAAUUUUUGCAUAUUUCAGGAAUUAUUUUGGAUUUUAAGAAUUCAAAAUUUACUUAACUUUAAUGUGUUCUGACGUAAUUUAUAUUUAUCUUGAAAUCAGUUUGAAAAUGCCUCUUAAUUCCGGUGUUAAAAACAUUUCAGACCCGACUGAAAUAUGUAAAAUUUCGUUGAAAUUUUUAACCCAGUAUCGGCUACUGGGUCUGGUGGUACGAGCACAACUUUCUUGGGAGCCCAAUCAAUCCUGUUCUGCUUCAUCUCUCUCCCACCGCCAUGCCAUCUUCCUCCUCCCUGCUCUGCCUCGAGUGCUCCGUGUGCAGGCCCGACCGCUCGAGUUCGCCGUUGGGCCUGGCACACAUGGGGGCACCGUGCCGAAGCCGAGGGCCACACGCACUGAUCGCGCCGGAGACGACCUGUGAAUCGGCGUGCUCGCAGCCAUGCCUUCUCGCUGUCUGUCACCACCGCGCACAAGAUGCUUGAUGAAAUGGUCAAAAGAGAAUACCAAGGGGCAGCGGUCCUUGUUCUUGCAUAUUUGCAUAUAUCUGACUGUUCGGUUGCCCACAAGAUGCUUGAGAAAAUUCCCAUACGUGAUUAGCAUGCGAGUGCAUGUUGUAGUUGCUCAUAUAUUUCAUAUCAACUAUGCUACUUCUACUCACAUAAUUCAAUGAUUGUAGGAACAAUUGUAGUACAAGAUUAUUUGGUUUGCUUUUAUGUGAAGAACUACAUCUUACCCUUCCUUCUUCUAAUCGUACCUUCGUAAUACUUCUCCCUGGUUUAAUCUUUCUCUCACUGAGAUCAUUGUUUGUUAGUACUUUGGUAAAACCGCAGAACCUAGAUGGAAGGAAAGGCACCGCAAAGAAGUUGAGGCACAAGAAUCACACUCACUGGUGGAGCAGCUAUCACCUGAAUGUUGUAGAUAACAUUUCAUUUGAUCCAAUUCUUCAGUGCUCAUUAAGGUAUGGAGUUCUCUAGCACAGAACGCCUUUACUUGCUAUGUUUUUUUGGUUUCUCUUAUGCUUACAAGAUACACUUCCUUGAGCUUCUCAGGACAGAUAAUAUUUCCUUUUGUUUUGUAAUUGAGUUGAUCUACACUUCCAGUCCAGUCCUGCUGAGGAUACUAACCAUGGAGCACUGGAGCCAAAACCAAACCAGAAGACUGCCCAGGUUAAAGAAGACCAAGCACUUGGCAAGGUAUAUAGCAGUGUUACUAUGCCUGGUUAUACUUCUUGCUUCUAAAUUUUGCUGCUAACUACAUUUCCAAUCAAGGUACUAUACUAUGUAUCUUGAUGCUGCCUCUCCAGGCCUCUGAUAAAGCUUUACUUGGAAGGGUAACGAUCGAUGACUGCUUUUGCUGACGGGCUCAAUGCUGCUGCCUGAACUGCUAUCAUGGUAAUGAUGGCCAAACAGUUAUGCUACUUAUUUGUCAUGCCUUCGACAAGCUCUAUAAAUAUGAGCAGAGAAUAACUUCAUGUUGGUCGAAAGACGUGCACCUGGUAUCUGCCCGUUGAUGCGCCUCAUCGCACAUAAUUUCUUAAUAUUUGGUAGCUUGUGCCAUUUCCCAUGAUUUAUGUGCCUGUAGCUAAAUUUGUAUGAGCUACCUGCCUACCUGAUCUAUGCAUGGUAGCUUAGUUAUUUCUAUCUCCCGGCCACGCUGCUCUUGAUGUAAACAUACAGUGGCUUAAUCACUAGAGUACAACAGAUGGUGCCCUCUUAGUCCCUAAGUGCUAUGCAUGUUUUCUUGUGUCUGCUUCUUAAUUCCCUCUUCUAUAUUUUUGGUUAAACGACAUACACGGUUGUCUGUGAGGCUGGAUGCAUUUCGUGUGCCGAUCCUCCUACUGAUAACCAGAUUAGGUAGCUCUUAUACUUCAGCUACCUAACUAGUACUAUUGACCAAGAUAGGUUGCCGAGCUGUUAGAAGUGGGUCUGCUGAGCCUUAGCCAAUGACGGCGAAUCAGUUCAAAGUGCUUAUAUUGAAAUUAUCCUCCACACUGUUUUCUCACACUUGAAUAACUAAAUGAUGUUGCCCAUCUAUUUUCUUUCUAUUGGCAGUGGUAGAGCGAAAUGUGCAUACAGGUCCUGUUCGUGUGCUUGACCACAGAGUUUAGUUGGUUCUGUUCUUCCUUUUAGCCCCAAAUUGCUUAGAGCAACUCCAACAGUAGCUGCAAAAAAUGCGCGUGCAGGGAUGAAUUCGCGCGCUCCAGUGGACGUGGCAAAAAAGCGCGCGCGGUAAACUUCUGCGCGCGCCCGGGAGAAAGGGGGCGGCCGCGCGUCAGAUUUUGCGCGCCGCUUUCAGCGUCCUAUAAAAUACCGCGCCCGCCACGCGGUUGCCCACACAGCCACACGUCUGUCGCUCGCCACGCUCUCGACUCUUCCUCUGCCUCUCCCUCGCCGCUCCCUCUGCCGCCAUGCCGCCACGCCGCCGUUCAUCGUCGGGCUACCGCGGCGUCCGCGAGCGCCCCUCCGGCACCUACUACGCCGAGAUCCGGUCCGGCGACGUUCCUCGGCCUCGACACGUUCGAGACCGCGCACGAGUCCGCUCGCGCGUACGACGCGGCGGCGUGGCGACUAGGGCGGCCUCGCGCGCAGAUGAACUUCCACGACGUCUACACGCGCGAGCAGGCCCAAAACCUCGCCCCUCCCCCUCGUCUGAUCACGGAGCAAGACCGUGCAGAGCACCGUCAGCAGCAGCAGCGCCUGCUCGUCGUUGAGGAGGACGAGCGAGCAAUGACGAAGUGGCGUCGGCACCACCCGGAGGACGUCGCCGCCGAGAACACCUACUGGGCGGAGAAGACGGCAAGGCGUCGCGCGGAGCGGCAGGUCAGGCGUCUGCGCAAGUUACUCGCUGUAUCGCAGUGCGGGGCCCUCGAAGCCGGUUUGCCGUCCAUCUUCACCUCCCACGAUGAACGUUGGGAGGACGCGUUUCUAUCUAUCUCCGACAGCACCUACAGUGAUGAAUCGGAGUAGUUUUAUAUCUAUAUAUGUUAGUUUUAAUAUCUAUGUGCUGAACUAGUUUUAUUAUAUUUAUGUUGAACUAGUCUUAUCUUUUUGGGUGUUGGGGCGUCGCACGCGCGCUAAAUUUACAGCAGCUGCUGGAGCGCCGCACGUGCGCUAAAUAUGCUGCGACCGCUGGAGCCGACGCCGGCGUCCUAAAAAAAACUAACCACGCGCUGUAUAUAAGUUUUUUGGGCGCCGGUCGAAGCGUGCCUGUUGGAGAUGUUCUUAGCUUUAGUAACCUUGAGGGAGAACAUUGCUCUACAACACAUUAGGUUGUUUAAGCUAUUUUAUAUAUAACAUCCUAACAACUUAGUAUUUUAAGGAUGUCUCAUUUUGAAAAAUGCGCCUUUUUAUGCAUCAGAAAUUCAGAAUUCUGUGUCCAUGUUUCAGAAAUUCCUGGAGCAACACAGGGGAGGGAGGAACUCUAGAGCUAUGAUCUUUAACACAAGUUUAUUUCUCAGUGACGCGUUGUAAUUUGUAACUUAGCAUAAAAUAAAAAUGUUUCAGUCUUUUCUUUAUGCUUUCCAUAGUUUUUAAAGUCCUAAAAGGUUUUCUUCACUUCAACCUCAAUUGCAGUGGGUUGGAUUUGAACCGCUNNNNNNNNNNNNNNNNNNNNNNNNNNNNNNNNNNNGAACCGCUCCUCUAAAUUAAGACAAGAACUAGUUGAGUGCAUAUGCUAAUACAGUAGAAGACAUUGGUCGUUGAAUAGUGAAUACCAGUAGGAAUAUGAUGUGGCACAUUGAUCAUCGUAUGUACAGGUUACAAGGGAAUGUUUGAUUGGGAGAUAGAGAUACAGCUUCUCCCUACUCCCCAGACAUGGUGACAUACACGUAUACAAGCACAAGUACGUGUUCUUCUAGCCAGCUUCUACAUUGCUCGAUCAUCUGAUCAAGCACAGUUUCGCCGUUGUGCAUUCUUCCACAUAUCAAGUGGGAUCCUGAGUAGAUUCUCCUCCGUGGAGGAUGCCGGCGGGACGAACGCGUCCUCGACAUUCGCGUCGAUGUCGAUCUCAGGCAUGAACCACGGGAGCUGGAGCGCGGCGGCCGCCGUCAGCCGCUUGCCUGGGUUGCACUCUAGGAGCCCUUUCAGGACCUGGUAGCCGUCCUCAGACAACAUCUCCGCUGGGAAGAGGUCUCCCAGGGCGCUGCGCUGCUGCUCCCUGAACCGCACCCUGGCGGCGAGCGGCAGCAACGUGAACUCCGGCCACGUCCUGUCAUCCGGCGAGCCUAGGACGCGUAAGAUAGUGCGGACCUGGCGUACCGGAUCGUCCCUCCUUACGUCGCCCUUGAACAGCGGCUUGCCGGUGAGCAUCUCGGCCAUGACGCACCCGAGCGACCACGUGUCCGCCCCCGCGUCGUAGUCCGGCUUCCCCAGGAGCACCUCGGGCGCCAUGUACGGCAGCGUGCCGGCGUCGCUGGACCGCGUCUGGUCGGCCGUGCGCAAGGACAUGGCGAGGCCGAGGUCGCAAAUCUUGAGGAUCUUCCCCCCUUUCGCGACGAGGAUGUUGGAUGGCUUGAGGUCGCGGUGGACAAUGCCGAGCCGGUGCAUCAUCCCGGCGCCGGUGAGCAGCCGCCACAUGUAGGCGCACACGAUGGGCUCCGGGAGCGGCGCCCUCUCCCUCAAGAAAGCGUGGAGGCUCGGCCCGGCGACGCACUCCAUGGCGAGCCCGAGCCUGCCGGUGGCCGGGUCGAGGACGAGGCCGUGCGAGCCGACGACGUAAGGGUUUCCGGCGCAGGCCGCGAGGAAGCCGGCCUCGCGCUGGAGCUCGGCAGCGGCGUCGGCGGGGUCCUCGGAGUCGCAGGGGAACUUGAUCGCGACGGUCCUGCCGGUGGAGCGGUGGCGCGCCCUGACGACGGUGCCGAAGCUGCCCUUGCCGAGGCAGGGCGCGUCCUCGAACUCGAAAUCCUCGGUGCUGGCGAUCCGGGUGCGCCUUUUCUUGCAGCCUUGGGUGGCCGUCGCGCGGCCGACGGCGGCGGCACGCCGCUUGCGGACGGCCAUGGCGGGCGGCGCUCGGCUACUACUGCUGCUGCUUCUGGCGGUUUGUGGGUGGGGUGGACGGCGGGAGCGGCCGGUGGAUGGAGGCGNNNNNNNNNNNNNNNNNNNNNNNNNNNNNNNNNNNNNNNNNNNNNNNNNNNNNNNNNNNNNNNNNNNNNNNNNNNNNNNNNNNNNNNNNNNNNNNNNNNNUGUGCACGAUCAUACCGUGCUCCACCAGCUGCAGCAGAUCCCCCUCCGUCACCGUGGAGGGGAGGAAGUCGCCCUGGAUCCAUCCCGCCGGCAGCGGCCGCUACCGCCGCUGAGCAGGCGCCGCCGUCUUCCCCUUUUUCUUCCUCGCCUCCAUCUUGCUGGUCUGGCCCUUGGUCAUGGCGGCGGCUGCGAGCCCUCGGGAGGAAGGAGAAGGGAGGAGUAUAGGAGCGCUGGAGGUGGCAAGGAAGGCGGAGCAGGCGAGAGCAAGGGAUUCGGCGAGCAUAACGGAGAAGCCUCGCUGCCGAGAUUUCAAUAGGGUUUCGACUGGGUCGCUGGCAGGUGGCCCCGAAACCUUAUCCCCCGACCCACCGCGGUGAUAUUAGUGGAGAGGUUGAAGGCGCGAGAAUCGAGGCGUUAGGCGCUACUCGAGCGCGCUGGCGUCAUCCCCGCUGGGCGCGCGGAAACCGAAAUUUGAGGAUCCCGGAAAAUCCGCCGCUGUCAGUUGACCGGUCACGUCAAAAGAUGCCGCCGAAGCACUCGGCUCCCGAGAGUCUGUUUUGCGAGUACUUCCACUCGGAUCGACGAUCAGAAAAGUCAAAAUGGACCGAGGCAAGCAACGGCCAAGCCGAAUCUGUUCCAGUCGGAUUCAACUUCAAACAUCGUUUCGUCGUUCCAACCUCAAUCCAUUCAGGGACUAAUGAUGGGGUUAUAGUCCUAGGGUAGGGUCAUAUGCCUGCCCUAUAGGUCCUACCCAGGGACUAUAGGGUAGGGUCAUAUGCCUGCCCUAUAGGUCCUACCCAGGGACUACCCCUCACAGAGGACAAGACCCUUAGUCAACUCCGACUGAAUUAAGGAAUCCCUGUCUUCCAGUCGGUAACAUACCUUCGGUCCUCCAGUCGGCGACUAGCAUUCGGAGGACAUCGAGUCAACCGACCGUAUACCACUCGGUACGUCGUAACCCCCCCUGGAGGGAAACGGUCGUACGUUUCCGGAUGCAUUUAUUAGCAUUAAGGGUGUAGUAUAAUCCCGUAUGUCAUUCCCUUUGUCCUUCGGUAUGUUACUUGCCNNNNNNNNNNNNNNNNNNNNNNNNNNNNNNNNNNNNNNNNNNNNNNNNNNNNNNNNNNNNNNNNNNNNNNNNNNNNNNNNNNNNNNNNNNNNNNNNNNNNGAUAGAUCAAAACGCCUGAUAGGACUUUCACAAAGCACAUACCUUGAUAAAGUUUUGAAGAGGUUCAAAAUGGAACAGUCCAAGAAAGGGUUCUUGCCAGUUCUACAAGGUACGAGAUUGAGUAAAACUCAAUGCCCAGAAACUGAUGAAGAUAGAGAGCAUAUGCGCUCCGUCCCCUAUGCUUCAGCCAUAGGUUCUAUCAUGUAUGCGAUGCUGUACACUAGACCGGAUGUUAGCCUGGCCAUAAGUAUGGCAGGUAGGUUCCAGAGUAAUCCAGGAGUGGAUCACUGGACAGCGGUCAAGAAUAUCCUGAAGUACCUGAAAAGGACUAAGGAGAUGUUUCUCGUGUAUGGAGGUGACGAAGAGCUCGCCGUAAUAGGUUACGUUGAUGCAAGCUUUGACACAGAUCCGGACGACUCUAAGUCGCAAACCGGAUACGUAUUUAUUCUUAAUGGGGGUGCAGUAAGCUGGUGCAGUUCCAAGCAGAGCGUCGUAGCAGAUUCUACAUGUGAAGCAGAGUACAUGGCUGCCUCGGAGGCGGCUAAGGAGGGUGUCUGGAUGAAGCAGUUCAUGACGGAUCUUGGAGUGGUGCCAAGCGCACUGAAUCCAAUAACCUUGUUCUGUGACAACACUGGUGCCAUUGCCUUGGCAAAGGAACCACGGUUUCACAAGAAGACCAGACACAUCAAACGACGCUUCAACCUCAUCCGCGACUACAUCGAGGAAGAGGACGUAAAUAUAUGCAAAGUGCACACGGAUCUGAAUGUAGGAGACCCGCUGAAUAAACCUCUUCCACGGCCAAAACAUGAUCAACACCAGAACUGUAUGGGUGUUAGAUUUAUUACAAUGUAAUUCACAUGGUGAUGUGAGGGCUAGAUUAUUGACUCUAGUGCAAGUGGGAGACUGUUGGAAUUAUGCCCUAGAGGCAAUAAUAAAUAUAGUUAUUAUUAUAAUUCCUGUAUCAAGAUAAUCGUUUAUUAUCCAUGCUAUAAUUGUAUUGAAUGAAGACUCAUUUACAUGUGUGGAUACAUAGACAAAACACCGUCUGUCGUGGUUUUGUCACGACAGAUGUCCUCGUGAGAGAACUUAGGUGUGAGGCCAUCACAACCAUGUGGCGGCUUGAAGGGGUUGGUCGGAAUCGAGAGACGCGAGUUUACCCAGGUUCGGCCCCUCCGAUGGAGGUAAAAGCCUACAUCCUGCUUGUGCUUCAUUGAUGAAGAUGAUCUCAAUUACAAGGGUGCAGACUCGCCACCUCUAAUCUCUUGGGUGUCUGGUCUGUCUCAUGAUUUGUCUUGUCUAGACCUAAGUUGUGUCCCCUGUCCCUUUUGGGGUACCUUACCCCUCCUUAUAUAGGUGGAAGGGGUAGGUUUACAUGUAGAGUCCUACUAGGAGUAGGAAUAGGACUAGUCUAUCUUGAAUCCUAAUCCGGGUCUUGUUUCCUUCUUGUGGGAGUCUUUCCUCUUCUUGGGCCUUCUAUGUGAGUCGGCCCUCCUGGCCUCUCUAUGAAUCGCCUUAUGCUAGGGUGUACGCCGGGCCUUGGGCCUUCGUCAUUUAUCUAAGUCGCAUGUGGGGACAAGUAUGAGUCGCCCGCCAGGUCACUUCUGAGUCGCCAAGUCCUUGGUGGGUCAUACUCCAAGCCGGGUUACACUGCGGGGUAUAUCCCCAACAUUAGCCCCCAAGGUUAGCUUGUAUUUAUUCAUGGUAAGCUCCUGAAAUAAGAAUAAUAAAUAAGUUAAGGGACCGGCUUGCUCCUCUGGCCGGCUUGAUUUACUGAAGUGGCUCCUUGAAAAAUCCGGGUUUCUUCGAACCGCCUUUAAUCAUCUCGUAGGUACGUGUCCUUUGUAAUAAAAUACAUAUGCCAUUGAAUCGGCCUCCAAUGCUUUGGCUUGAUGAAAAUUUGGGAAAUAAGAAAUCCACACAAUGUUGAACUAGCUUCUCUUGCUUCAGCGGGUUAUGAUUGACAAUGGCGGGUCAUGAUUGAUAAUGGCAGGUCAUCAUAAUUAGUAGUGCCCCGUGAAACAACUGAACUCCAAUUGACAAAUCCGUGUGAUGUUGAGCCGGUCUUUCAGUGCUUCAACUAGAUAAAAAUAUGUUGAACCGGUCUCCCAAUACUUCACCUCCAUGACAGAAUGAAAUGUGCUCUUCAAUUUUUUGAUAUAUCCAUAUUACCUGUAGCCCCCAAGGGCCGGGUCAUCAGUGUGUGAUGGGCCGGGUCUCCAAUUUGAACCUCAUGAUCUAUGAAACAACUUAGUGAUGUAGCCCCCAAGGGCCUAGUUGUCUUGCCUGCAGCAACCUGGGACUUUAAACAUUAUGAUCUGAAUAGUGUAGCCCCCAAGUGACGGGUCGAUUGCUUGCGGCGACUCGGGACUUCCUUGUUCUUCUCCUUGAGCAGAAAUGUGUAGCCCCCAAGGGCCGGGUCAUUAUAAAAAUGAUAAGUCGGUUCUUCCUUGAAUCCAUACUUGAAUAAUGAGCGACCUGUAGCCCCCUAGGGCCGGCUUAUCUUCUUGAAAUAGCCGGGUCUGUCGAUGAUGUGAUCAUUUGAAAAGAGGAUUGCAUUAGCCCCCAAGUGCCAUGGUGCAUGCUUGCAGCGACAUGGGACUUUCAUACUUUGAUGUAAUCUUGAUUUGAAUAAUGUAGCCCCCCAAGUGUCGGGUUGUGUGCCUGCAGCGACUCGAGGCUAUUCCUUCCAUUGUAGAAUAAAAUCAUAUCCACUCUGUGAGCUGAUGAUGCCUUUGUGAUAAAAGAAAUCCUUGAGCGUGGUUGCAAUGUAACCCGGCAAAUAUAUCCUUGAGAAAUCCAUAUGUCGGAGCAAUCGGCCCAAGAUAUUUUGAGGCAAGUCAGGAAAAAGCCUGAAAAACCUUGUGGCAGUGCCAGGAAGGUAAAAAAUAGCAAUUUCGUCGGCUCAUAAGGUUGCGACAGGAUGGGGCGAGUCAAAAAGCUCAAGCGCCACCCAAGAUAAUGAUUUCGUCGGCUCAUACGGUCGCGACAGGAUAGGGCGAGUCAGAAAGCUCAAGCGCCACCCAAGAUAAUGAUUUCGUCGGCUCAUAAGGUUGCGACAGGAUGGGGCGAGUCAGAAAGCUCAAGCGCCACCAUAAGAUGAUGGUUUCGUCGGCUCAUAAGGUCGCAACAGGAUGGGGCGAGUCAGAAAGCUCAAGCGCCACCCUAAGAUGAUGGUUUCGUCGGCUCAUAAGGUCACGACUGGAUGGGGCGAGUCAGAAAGCUCAAGCGCCACCCUAAGAUGAUGGUUUCGUCGGCUCAUAAGGUCGCGACAGGAUGGGGCGAGUCAGAAAGCUCAAGCGCCACCCUAAGAUAAUGGUUUCGUCGGCUCAUAAGGUCGCGACAGGAUGGGGCGAGUCAGAAAGCUCAAGCGCCACCCUAAGAUGAUAAUUUUUCUGUAAUGACCCGUGGUUCUUGAAUUAUUCAUCCCAGUUGAGUCUGUCGAGCCAUGUCCAUGUAGCCCCCGAGUCUUAAGUCGACUCAAGGAGGCGGCUUGAGAGUCUCCAUACUUGAUUGUGGCAUAAACCGACAGAGAAAAGAUACUGGUACUCGCUCCAUCUCCAAGAUAUAAAGCCACUGCACCGGUAAGUUUGAUAUUGUCCGGACUGUGAGGGUGGCGACUUGCGUCCUUCUGUUGGAUGGCUCGUACAGGCGAGCAUUACACCGGCAAGUUGAGAGUUGUCUGGCGAUUUGGCACGGACUCAAGAAUCGGUUGCGGCGUUGUAAGCAGCUUUAGUUGCGCGGACGUGAGAGUUUGGCCGCGUCAUUGUGAGUCGUCUUGAUCGCAUGGUCGUUUAGAGUUGGCCGCAUCAUUUGUAAAUAGGCGCUCGCAGCGAGUUGUUCGUCAAUUAUGAACUGGCAUGGACGGCGAGUUGGCCGCGGUAUUGUAAACCGGCUCAUGAAUUCGUUGAGCAUCGUCCGUAAUAUUAUAUCAUAUUUGUAUUGAGUACUUGUCCUGAUGAUUUUGUCGGGUGAAAUACCGAUGACCCAUACGCAGACGCUGGUGCUGGUCUAGUCGUCCACGUUGUUGUAUUUUCAGAUGUUGCCUUGUAGUCAUAGUAUUUCUUGAGCAAUCCACGUGGAUGCAUGUCCAUGCACAUGGAUCAAAUCACAUUGUCCAUUGUGGCUUGGCUUCCUUGCCGAGCGUGGAGUUGAUCAAAACAUUUCCGGUCUUGCCAUCCUUACGAACACUGCUAUCCACGAGCCCCAAAGGUUCACCAGCGGCCAAAAGCUCGACGGGUCGGCGCGUGCUCGCGGGAGGAGCCGCCCCAGCUGGCGAUGGCGUAGUCGGACGACUUCCCGUCGGGGGGCAGGCGAGCAGCGGUGUUGGUGCGGCCGGCGGCAGAGAGUCGGCUCGCUGCGAGAUGGCCGGCUCAAGGUGAGGCCUGGCCAGCCCGAGGCGAGGUGAGCCAUGGUGGAGAUGAAGCUAGUACGUGCCUAUUAGCUGCCUUUGACCUUCAUGUAGUGACACGUAGGGACUCAGUCCAUUAAAUUUCACAUCUGAGGUGGUUUGAUCAUGUCGGGGAACUCCUGAUCGCAACUGCCUGUGCAUCUGUCACGACCUAACACGAAAAGUAACGUCCGGACGGCUUGCCACCAAUUGAGCUGCUAAGUAAGUUGAGCUGGUCUCGGUCUUCAUGCCUUCCGUUCUUGAUAUGACUUUGAUCCUGAUGCGUGUAAAUCAGUCUUCCGUCGUUGAGGCAACACUUUUGGCUGCUCUUGUUUGAUCGCUGUUGAGGUGAGGUGGAGCCUAAGUCAUGCGGCAAGGAGAGAUCCAUAUGUUCGAGAAAUCCAUAAGUGUUGUAGUUUACUACAGAGCACUAAGUUGAAGAAAUCCAAGGGCCGGUCAAUUAGAUGACUCGACAUUUAUAUGUGAUAGGGCGGCUCUUCGACAAUAGUCAAUUCUUCCGAGCUGGCUCAAAAACCCCAAUCAUUUAACACUGGUUAUUAUAAACCAUGAUAAAAUCCAGCCAAAUUGGCUAUUCAAAGAUUAAUUUGCACCUGUAAUAACUUAUGCUUUGACCCGGUUUGAAGACCGGCAUGAUAUGUAUGUAUGAUGCAUGAUGCAAUGCAAGAUGAUGCAUGUAUAUGACAGAAUAGUGCUGGUAUAUGAGACUUGAAUCUUACUUCAAUGAAACUAGCUUGUUAGCCACUGGCUUAUCCUCGCUCUCUGUAAGCCGGCACUCGCGACCAAUCGAUGUUUUAACCUCGAUAGUUCAGGGUCCAACUGGAUUGACAUAUCGAGAGUACACGGGAUUCGGAGUAGCAUCAUGCAGACAGGCAGGUUUAACCAAGUUUCAAAGAAGGCGGCUUAAUAGCCCAUGGAAUAUCCUCGCUUUCUGUAAGCCGGCACUCGCGACCAUUCGAUGUUUUAACCUCGAUAGUUCAGGGUCCAACUGGAUUGACAUAUCGAGAGUACACGGGAUUCGGAGUAGCAUCAUGCAGACAGGCAGGUUUGACCAAGAAGGUGGCUUAAUGGAAAAUGGAGUAUCCUCGCUUUCUGUAAGCCGGCACUCACGACCAAUCGAUGUUUUAACCCGGAUAAGUUCAGGGUCCAUAUGGAUUGACUUAUCAUGAAACGGAGUACACGGGAUUCGGAGUAGCAUCACGCAGACAGGCAGGUUUAACCAUGAAUUCUUGCCAUUAAGCCGGGCACCAUGUUGAAGUGCGCAUCGUGGCGACUCGUCCUCUUGGGCAACUUUAAAAUGCCCGCCAAUGAAGCAGCAGCCCUCGGAGCCGGGUUAUCUUGCCUGUAAUGACCCGACGUUCUUGAAUUAUUCAGCCUGGUUCGAUCUGGCGAGACAUGUCUGAAUAACCCCCGAGUCUUAAGUCGACUCAAGGAGGCGGCUUGAGAGUCUCCAUACUUGACUGCGGCAUAAACCGGUGGAGAAAAAUGCUGGUACCCGCUCCAUCUGAUGUGUUGAUGUAAAUUGGACCGUAGGGACGGCAGCUUGCGCACGUCUGUUGCGUGGCUUUUAUAAGUGAGCACCGCACGAUAUGUUGAUGUCGCCCGGACCGCGAGGGCAACGUCUUGCAUCCGUUUGUUUGGGGCUCGUACAGGCGAGCACUGCACCGACGGGUUGAUGUCAUCUGGACCACGAGGGUGGCGUCUUGCAUCCGUCUAUUUGGGCGGCUCGCACUUGCGUAUACUGCACCGGCGGAUUGAUGUCGUCCGUACCGCGAAGGCGAUGUCUCGUAAGUUGUCUUAGUCGCGCGGACGUGAGAGUUGGCCACGUCAUUGUAAGCCGGCGCGGGCAGCGAGUUGGCCGCGUCACUUGUAAACCAGCGCGGACAGCAAGUUGGCCGUGUCAUUGUAAGCCAGCGCUGACGGUGAGUCGCCCGCGUCGUUGUACACCGGUGCGGACGAUGAGUCGCCCAUGACAUUUGUAGGUCGACGCCGAUAGUAAGUCGUCCGUGGCGAGCUUCGUCCUCACAAUAUAACGCCGUCUUUGUUGCGAGUAAUUGUCCUGCGUAUUAAAAUAUUACAAGCGAGAGUAAUUGUUCUCAAGAAAACUGAUGUAUGUUUAUUAAAGUAAACUGGAUGAAUAUCACCUGACUAGAUGAUCUGCGCGCAGACUAGAAAUCAUUUGAGUCCAGCAACAGCGUGAAUGGACCAGCAUUUUUAGUCUCCACGGAGUACAAGUGCUCAUUUACUAUUUGUCCUCUCAUCGUGGCGCCGAUGCACAUAUGACCUCGGAUGCAGGCGUGUGAGGACCGGAUGGUCUUCUGGCCAUGAAUUAAUUGACCAAUUUUGUAUUAGCAUUGCAAGUACUUUGCUUUAGCUCGGGUCUUCACGUUGAGAUGAUUUGACUCAAUCUCAGGGCUUGUGCAAUGCUGGAGCAUCCUUCUUUCUUCAACAUAUUUCCUCGCUGACCAGCUGAAACCCUAAUUCGUUGAGAUUGUACAAACAAGCCGGCGCCUCAAGCGACGAUGAACUGGAGGUGGCGGUGUGCGACGCGGCCGAUGGGAACAGGACGUUGAUCAUGAGCAUGCUGAAGAAGGCGUACAUCGAGGGGGUUGGCCUGCUGAACCUUUUUAUGGAGAAACUGUACUGCAUAUUCUUUUCUAAUCCAUCAUAAUUCUCCUCUCCAGCCUGAUUACACAGAAGCAUGUAAUUCCAUCAAGUACGUAUCACUUUGCCCUGUUGAUCCUUUGAUACCGCUUCAUGCUUUUAGUUUGAGAUGGACCCUCCCUCGGUUCCUUGUCAUGCUUCGCCAUUGGUGACUGGUGCAGGCGGAAGAAAACGCGUGGAGAGGCGUUGUCGAAGAUACCCACGCGUGACGCGCGCACGGAGUAGGAGAACUGGCGAACGGUCGACCGGUGCGCGGAGGCCGGCGGCUCGAGCGCGGAAGUGACGCAGCAAGAGCAGACGCAUGGCGGAGGCGAGGCGCAGCCGUCGGAGCACAGCGAAGCUAGGCGGAGUCGGCCGGGACAGAGCAGCAAGCGGAGCGAAACGGAACCGGCCUGGGCGUGGAGCAGCGAGUGCUGUUCGAGGCAAGCGAGCAAGCGGCAACUUGGCCAGUUCGCAGAGCGGAUUACGGGAAUGAGGCGACGCCGACAUGGCUGGGUGGAGAUGGCGGAGUAGCCGGCAUGUGGCCGCAGUGGGGCGGAGUAGCGCGCGACGAUGCUAGGCCACGGCGGCUUAGAGGCAAGGCAGAGUAAGGCGAGGCAAAAUCACGGCACUGCAGGUGGAGCAGGUAGAGCGUGGCACCAGAGGUGAGGCCGACUCGUGGAGGCGAUUGGAGGCGAGCGCAGAGAGGAAAUGGGGGUGGCAACUAUCUCGGANNNNNNNNNNNNNNNNNNNNNNNNNNNNNNNNNNNNNNNNNNNNNNNNNNNNNNNNNNNNNNNNNNNNNNNNNNNNNNNNNNNNNNNNNNNNNNNNNNNNGUGCCCUAUGCGCCAUAGAGAUAAAAAUCAAAGAGAAAGAAAAAAAAAGAGGAGGUGGGAAGGAAGGGGGACUCGCUCCCACCAAACCAAGUCCAACUCGGUUUGGGGGGGGAGUCCUCCCCCCUUGGACUCGGCCGACCCCCUUGGGGCUCCUUGAGCCCCAAGGCAAGGUCCCCUCCCUCCCACCUAUAUAUACUGAGGUUUUAGGGCUGAUUUGAGACGACUUUUCCACGGCAGCCCGACCACAUACCUCCACAGUUUUUCCUCUAGAUUGCGUUUCUACGGAGCUCGGGCGGAGCCCUGCUGAGACAAGGUCAUCACCAACCUCCAGAGCGUCGUCACGCUGCCGGAGAACUCUUCUACCUCUCCGUCUCUCUUGCUGGAUCUAGAAGGCCGAGAUCAUCGUCGAGCUGUACGUGUGCUGAACGCGGAGAUGUCGUCCGUUCGGUACUAGAUCGUGGGACUGAUCGCGGGAUUGUUCGCGGGGCGGAUCGAGGGACGUGAGGACGUUCCACUAUAUCAACCGCNNNNNNNNNNNNNNNNNNNNNNNNNNNNNNNNNNNNNNNNNNNNNNNNNNNNNNNNNNNNNNNNNNNNNNNNNNNNNNNNNNNNNNNNNNNNNNNNNNNNAAUCUCGGGCAAGUAACAUACCGAAGGACAAAGGGAAUAACAUACGGGAUUAUAUGAAUCCUUGGCACUGAGGUUCAAACGAUAAGAUCUUCGUAGAAUAUGUAGGAUCCAAUAUGGGCAUCCAGGUCCCGCUAUUGGAUAUUGACCGAGAAGUCUCUCGGGUCAUGUCUACAUAGUUCUCGAACCCGCAGGGUCUGCACACUUAAGGUUCGACGUUGUUUUAUGCGUAUUUGAGUUAUAUGGUUGGUUACCGAAUGUUGUUCGGAGUCCCGGAUGAGAUCACGGACGUCACGAGGGUUUCCGGAAUGGUCCGGAAACGAAGAUUGAUAUAUAGGAUGACCUCAUUUGAUUACCGGAAGGUUUUCGGAGUUACCGGGAAUGUACCGGGAAUGACGAAUGGGUUCCGGGAGUUCACCGGGGGGGCAACCCACCCCGGGGAAGCCCAUAGGCCUUAAGGGAGGCACACCAGCCCUUAGUGGGCUGGUGGGACAGCCCACAAGUGCCCUAUGCGCCAUAGAGAUAAAAAUCAAAGAGAAAGAAAAAAAAGGAGGAGGUGGGAAGGAAGGGGGACUCCCUCCCACCAAACCAAGUCCAACUCGGUUUGGGGGGGGAGUCCUCCCCCCUUGGACUCGGCCGACCCCCUUGGGGCUCCUUGAGCCCCAAGGCAAGGUCCCCUCCCUCCCACCUAUAUAUACAGAGGUUUUAGGGCUGAUUUGAGACGACUUUUCCACGGCAGCCCGACCACAUACCUCCACAGUUUUUCCUCUAGAUCGCGUUUCUGCGGAGCUCGGGCGGAGCCAUGCUGAGACAAGGUCAUCACCAACCUCCGGAGUGCCGUCACGCUGCCGGAGAACUCUUCUACCUCUCCGUCUCUCUUGCUGGAUCAAGAAGGCCGAGAUCAUCCUCGAGCUGUACGUGUGCUGAACGCGGAGGUGCCGUCCGUUCGGUACUAGAUCGUGGGACUGAUCGCGGGAUUGUUUGCGGGGUGGAUCGAGGGACGUGAGGACGUUCCACUACAUCAACCGCGUUCUCUAACGCUUCUGUUGUACGAUCUACAAGGGUACGUAGAUCACUCAUCCCCUCUCGUAGAUGGACAUCACCAUGAUAGGUCUUCGUGCGCGUAGGAAANNNNNNNNNNNNNNNNNNNNNNNNNNNNNNNNNNNNNNNNNNNNNNNNNNNNNNNNNNNNNNNNNNNNNNNNNNNNNNNNNNNNNNNNNNNNNNNNNNNNGAUAGAUCAAAACGCCUGAUAGGACUUUCACAAAGCACAUACCUUGAUAAAGUUUUGAAGAGGUUCAAAAUGGAACAGUCCAAGAAAGGGUUCUUGCCAGUGUUACAAGGUACGAGAUUGAGUAAGACUCAGUGCCCAGCAACUGAUGAAGAUAGAGAGCAUAUGCGCUCCGUCCCCUAUGCUUCGGCCAUAGGUUCUAUCAUAUAUGCAAUGUUGUGCACUAGACCGGAUGUUAGCCUGGCAAGUAUGGCAGGUAGGUUCCAGAGUAAUCCAGGAGUGGAUCACUGGACGGCGGUCAAGAAUAUCCUAAAGUACCUGAAAAGGACUAAGGAGAUGUUUCUCGUGUAUGGAGGUGACGAAGAGCUCGCCGUAAAAGGUUACGUCGAUGCAAGCUUUGACACAGAUCCGGACGACUCUAAGUCGCAAACCGGAUACGUAUUUAUUCUUAAUGGGGGUGCAGUAAGCUGGUGCAGUUCCAAGCAAAGCGUCGUAGCAGAUUCUACAUGUGAAGCUGAGUACAUGGCUGCCUCGGAGGCGGCUAAGGAGGGUGUCUGGAUGAAGCAGUUCAUGACGGAUCUUGGAGUGGUGCCAAGUGCACUGGAUCCAAUAACCUUGUUCUGUGACAACACUGGUGCCAUUGCCUUAGCAAAGGAACCAAGGUUUCACAAGAAGACCAGACACAUCAAACGACGCUUCAACCUCAUCCGCGACUACGUCGAGGAGGAGGACGUAAAUAUAUGCAAAGUGCACACGGAUCUGAAUGUAGGAGACCCGCUGAAUAAACCUCUUCCACGGCCAAAACAUGAUCAACACCAGAACUGUAUGGGUGUUAGAUUUAUUACAAUGUAAUUCACAUGGUGAUGUGAGGGCUAGAUUAUUGACUCUAGUGCAAGUGGGAGACUGUUGGAAUUAUGCCCUAGAGGCAAUAAUAAAUAUAGUUAUUAUUAUAAUUCCUGUAUCAAGAUAAUCGUUUAUUAUCCAUGCUAUAAUUGUAUUGAAUGAAGACUCAUUUACAUGUGUGGAUACAUAGACAAAACACCGUNNNNNNNNNNNNNNNNNNNNNNNNNNNNNNNNNNNNNNNNNNNNNNNNNNNNNNNNNNNNNNNNNNNNNNNNNNNNNNNNNNNNNNNNNNNNNNNNNNNNGACUUACAAGGAUAUCAAAUCAUGCAUAUAAGAAAUCAGCAAAGACUGAAAUAUAUAUCAUAGAUAAUCUGAUUACAAAUCCACAAUUCAUCGGAUCUCGACAAACACACCACCAAAGAAGAUUACAUCGGAUAGAUCUCCAUGAAGAUCAUGGAGAACUUUGUAUUGAAGAUCCAAGAGAGAGAAGAAGCCAUCUAGCUACUAACUACGGACCCGUAGGUCUGAAGUGAACUACUCACGAGUCAUUGGAGGGGCGAUGAUGUUGAUGUAGAAGCCCUCCAACUCCAAAGUCCCCUCUGGCAGGGCACCGGGAAGGGUCUCCAGAUGAGAUAUCGCGGAAACGGAAGCUUGCGGCGGCGGAAAAGUAUUUUCGUAGAUCCCUUUAUUUUUUCUGUAUUUUAGGGAAUAUAGGCGAAGGAGCUAGGUCAGGGGGGCGCCAGGGAGGCCACAAGCUUGGUGGCCGCCGCCCCCUUGGUGGAGGAUGGGGGGCUUGUGGGCCCCCUAUAGCCCUCCUGGCUUGGCCCUCAAGCCCGCAAAUCUUCUUCCGUUCGGAAAAAAAAUAUUUCGGGGAUUUUAUUCCGUUUGGACUCCGUUCCAAAAUCAGAUCUGAAAAGAGCCAAAAACACAGAAAAAACAGGAACUGGCACUUGGCACUAAAUUAGUAAGUUAGUCCCAAAAAAGAUAUAAAAGGUACAUAAAACAUCCAAAGAUGACAAGAUAACAGCAUGAAACCAUCAAAAAUUAUAGAUACGUUUGAGACGUAUCAAGCAUCCCGAAGCUUAACUCCUGCUCGUCCUCGAGUAGGGAAGUGAUAAAGAAUGAUUUUUUGAUGCUUUCAUGCUACCUAGCAUAGAUGUCCUUUGUAACUCCUCUUAUGUGACGUGAAUGUUCAGAUCCAUUAGAUUCAAAACAAUAGUUUGCUAUUAACGUGGAAACAAUAAUAAUUCAAGCAAACUAGCAAAGUAAUCAUGAACUUUCAAAAUAACAAGGCCAAAAGAAAGUUAUCCCUNNNNNNNNNNNNNNNNNNNNNNNNNNNNNNNNNNNNNNNNNNNNNNNNNNNNNNNNNNNNNNNNNNNNNNNNNNNNNNNNNNNNNNNNNNNNNNNNNNNNGUGACCUUUCCCAGUGACAGUAGGGGCAGCAAGGCACACAUCGUGUAGUUGCCAUCAAGGGUAACAAGGUGGGCUUUGUCGUAGAUAUGAGAUUGUCCAUCUACAUCAUGUCAUCUUGCUUAAGGUGUUACUCUGUCUAUCCAUCUACAUCAUGUCAUCUUGAUUGAGGCGUUACUCUGUUCUUUGGACUUAAUACACUAGAUGCAUGAUGGAUAGUGAUCGACGUGUGGAGUAAUAGUAGUAGAUGCAGAAAGUAUCGGUCUACUUGUUUUGGACGUGAUGCCUAUAGAUAUAAUCAUUGCCAUAGAUGACGUCACGACUUUGUGCGGUUCUAUCAAUUGCUCGACAGUAAUUUGUUCACCCACCGUCUACUUGCUUUCAUGAGAGAAGCCACUAGUAAACACUACGGCCCCCGGGUCUAUUCACACCUAUCGUUUCCACCUUUGCUUUUACUUGGCUUUGUUACUUUGUUGCUUUCAGUUCUCACUUGGCGAACAAUCUAUAAGGGAUUGGCAACCCCUUCAUAGUGUUGGGAGCAAGCUUUUUGUGUUUGUGCAGGCACUUGUGAUACUCCUUCACUGGAUCGAUACCUUGGUUCUCAAAACUGAGGGAAGUACUUACCACCGUUGCGCUACAUCACCCUUUCCGCUUCGAGGGAACACCAAUGCAACGCUCCAAGGCCACGGGGAAAUCCUUUGCAUAUUUGCCUAGGAAGUCCCUAAAGGCAUAGCCGUAGCAGAAGGAUUCCUGGUGCCGUUGCUGAGGAGAAUCAAGACGUCUCCCGUCAGCACGUAUUUCUGGCGCCGUUGGAAGGUAUUUUGUUGCAGAAGCACCUGUCACCAGAAUAUGCAAGCCAAGUUGUACAAUAAUUUUUUUUCACUAGCAUAUGAAAAUGACAAAACAUGAGGAGAGAUCUAUCCAAGUAGGUAUCACAAACUCAUCUCUUGCAUUUACUUUUUUUUGCCAGUUGCCUCUCGUUUUCCUCUCCCCCACUUCACAUUUGCCAUUUUCAUUUGUCUUUCUCCCUUGUCGUUUUCAUUUGCCUUUUUCUUCAUUUGCCUUCUUCGUAUGCCUUUCCUUUGCUUGUGUGCUAUGUGCCUUCAAUGUGCUUGCAUCUUCGCUUGCUAAAAAUCUAGUGAUAUGGAUCCUCGUCUACUUGCUAAUCUCUUUAAGAGAUCCAAUUAUGUUGAUCCAAUUGCUAGAGAGUUGAGUGCACUUGACUUUCUCUAUGGAGUUUUGCUUGAGAUGCAUGAAUCUGAAAAUCGCGAUGAAGAAAUUCAUGAAGUGAUUCAUGAGGGCUCCUUGAAUAAAAAAGCAUGAUUGCAAUGGUUUCACUAUAAAUUCUAUUAGUGACAAUCAUGCUAAAAAUAUGCAAAACCCUAAGCUUGGGGAUGCUAGUUUUUCUUUGUCCACUACUUGUUGCAAUAAUCAUGAUUGUGGUGAUGUUCUUUCUUAUUAUCUUGAAAAUUUGUUCAAGCCUCAUGAUGAUUAUGAUAUUUGCAAUAAUAUUGUAAGUGGGUUUGGAGAAGUCAUGACUUUAGUUGAUGAUAAUCCCACUAUUUUUUAAGAGCGUCAACUUUGCAUGCAUGUGGAUCAUGAAAAUAAUAUCCUUUGUGAUAGCUAUAUUGUUGAAUUUGAAUAUGAUCCCACAUGUAAUUGCUAUGAGAGAGGAAAAUAUUGUGGUAAAAACUUUCAUGUUACCAAAUCACCUCUCGCUAUGUUGAGAUUGCUAUUGUCUCUUUCUUCUUCCUUGCAUUUGGUAACUAUUGGUUGUCUUGCCAAUUUGUUUUCCUAUAAAAUGCCUAUGCAAAGGAAUUAUGUUAGACUUAGAUGUUAUUUUCGCAUGCUCUAUGAUGCUCUCGUUGUGCUUCAAUUCUUGUCUUUUGUGAGAGCAUCAUUGAACUAUCAAUGCCUAGCUAAGGGCGUUAAACAAUAGCGCUUGUUGGGAGGCAACCCAACGAAUCUAUCAUUUUUAUUUCUGUUUUGUGUUUUCCACACUUCCAUAAUUCUGUUAUGAUUGUGUUUUUUGUGUUUCUUUUUGCGUUUGUGCCAAGCAAAACCGUUAUGAUUAGUCUUGGGGAUGAUAGUUUGGUCAUGCUGGAAAAGACAGAAGCUUUCUGCUCACGAAAAGAAUUUUCAUUUUUUUAUAAGAGAUUUUGAGUUGAUUCUUUUCGUUUAUGAUUGCCAGGCAAAUUCUUCAUACUGUCGUAAUUUUUCAGAAUUUGUGAAGUACCAGAAGUAUACGAAAUAUACAGAUUGCUACAGACUGGUCUGCUGUUAACAGAUUUUGUUUUUGUUGUGUUGGUUGCUUAUUUUGAUGAAACUAUGGAUAGUAUCGGGGGGUAUUAUCCAUGGAAGAUUGAAGAUACAGUAACCCAACAUCAGCAUAAGUAGAAUUUAAGUUUGCUACAGUACCUAAGGAAGUGGUGGUUUGUUUUCUUAUACUAAUGUUAUCACGAGUUUCUGUUUAAGUUUCGUGUUGUGAAGUUUUCAAGUUUUGGGUGAAGUUCUUAUGGACAAAAAGAUAAAGAGUGGCAAUAGCUCAAGCUUGGGGAUGCCCAAGUCACCCCAAGAGAUUCAAGGAUGUCGUAAAAGCCUAAGCUUGGGGAUGCCCCGGGAAGGCAUCCCCUCUCUCGUCUUCAAUCCAUCGGUAACGUUACUUGGGGCUAUAUUUUUAUUCACCACAUGUUAUGUGUUUUUUCUUGGAGCGUCUUGUAUCGUAGGAGUAUUUUAUUUUUGUUGUGUCACAAUCAUCCUUGCUGCACACCUAGAGAGAGAGCCAUGCACUCACCGUGAUUUUGUCGAGCUUCAUUUAUAUCCUUUGGUAGACAAUUUAGCUCACAUGUGCUCCACUUAUAUCUUUUGUGCUAGAUACUUUUGCUCUGUGUGCUUCACUUAUAUAUUUUAGAGCACAGCGGUGCGUGGCUUGGUAGUUGAUCUAUGCUUUGAAAGUAGUCUCAAAAGGGGUAGUUAUCCAAAGGGAUACGAAAACUUCCACCUUCAUGUGCCUUGAAUAGUUAGAGAAGUUUGACUCAUCUCAAUUAGUUUUGAGUUGUGGUUGUGGUAAUAUUGAAGUUAUGCUAGUAAGGUGUUAUGGAUCUAGAAAUACUUGUGUUGAAGUUAGUGAUUCCCGUAGCAUGCACGUAUGGUGAACCGCUAUGUGAUGAAAUCUGAGCAUGAUUAGUCUUUUGAUUGUCAUCCUUUGCGUGGCGGUCGGGAUCGUGUGAUGGUUUAUGCCUACCAACCCUUCCCCUAGGAGUAUGCGUUAAAUGCUUUGUUUCGAUUACUAAUAAAACUUUUGCAACAAGUAUAUGAGUUCUUCAUGACUAAUGUUGAGUCCAUGGUUUAGAUGCACUUUCACCUUCCACCAUCACUACCUUCGUAGUGCCAUGCAACUUUCGCCGGUGCACAAAACCCACCAUUAGCCUCCCUCAAAACAGCCACCAUACCUACCUACUAUGGCUUUUUCAAAGUCAUUCAGAGAUAUAUUGCCAUGCAACUACCACCAUGACAUGUGCCACCACGUCUACAUUGUCAUUUCAUGAUCGUAAUAUAGCUAGCAUGAUGUUUCCAUUAAUGUCUAUGCCAUGCUAGAUCAUUGUCACGGUACACUACCGAAGGCAUUCCAUAUAGAGUCGUUGUUGCUCUAAGUUUUGAGUUGAAAGUGUGAUGAUCAUCAUUGAUGGAGCAUUGUCCCAUGUGAGGAAAUAAAAGAGGCCAAAGAUGCCCACCAAAAUAAAAAUAAAAAAAAGAGGCCAAAGAGCCCACCAAAAAAAUUGAGAGAAAAAGAGAGAAGGGACAAUGCUACCACCUUUCCACACUUGUGCAUAUUAAGCUCCAUGAUCUUCAUGAUUGAGAGUCUCUCGUUUUGUCACCACCAUAUAGCUAGUGGGAAAUUCUCAUUAUAUAACUUGGCUUGUAUAUUCCAACCAUACGCUUCCUCAAAAUUGCCUUAGGUCUUCGUGAGCAAGCAAGUUGGAUGCACACCCACUAGUUUUCUUUAAGAGCUUUCACAUACUCUUAGCUCUAGUGCAUCAUUUGUAUGGCAAUCCCUACUCAUUCACAUUGAUAUCUAUUGAUGAGCAUCUCCACAGCUCAUUGAUAUGCCUAGUUAAUGUGACCAUCUUCUCCUUUUUUGUCUUGCAACCUCCACCACACUCCACACCACUUAUAGUGCUAAAACCAUGGCUCACGCUCAUGUAUUGCGUGAGAGUUGAAAAGGUUUGAGAAAGUAAAGGUGUGAAACAAUUACUUGGCCAAUACCGGGGUUGUGCAUGAUUUAAAUUCGUUGUGCAAUGAUAAUAGAGCAUAGCCAGACUAUAUGAUUUUGUAGGGAUAACUUUCUUUUGGCCUUGUUAUUUUGAAAGUUCAUGAUUACUUUGCUAGUUUGCUUGAAAUAUUUCUGGACAAGUAAUUCAGGGUGAAGGGAGUAGAACCAAGCCCAUGAAUACUUGAGUCCUUCCAAUCACCCCAAACUCCAGCUGGCAAUCUUAGCCUCGCUCGCACCAACACGCGAUCUCCUUCGUGGCUCCUCCCAACGUCCUGUGCGGCCUUGCAUGUUGCAUGUUCGAUAGGAGGCGUAACUUGAAUCUCCACACCUCAAAGUUCCGUAGGGGAACUGAUACGUCUCAAACGUAUCUAUAAUUUUUGAUGGUUUCAUGCUGUUAUCUUGUCAUCUUUGGAUGUUUUAAUUACCUUUUAUAUCUUUUUUGGGACUAACUUACUAAUUCAGUGUCAAGNNNNNNNNNNNNNNNNNNNNNNNNNNNNNNNNNNNNNNNNNNNNNNNNNNNNNNNNNNNNNNNNNNNNNNNNNNNNNNNNNNNNNNNNNNNNNNNNNNNNGGAAGAAUCACAAGUAUUGUUAACUCUCAGGUCCUCGAGGAGGCAACCGACGAAGAGGUGAACAGUGUCGCCUGUCUUGCAGAGGCGUGCUUAAGGCUAUAUGGCGAAGAAAGACCCACAAUGAAACAAGUGGAGACAGAACUGCAGACUCUACGAACAAAACGGGUGAAGUCAUGUCAAGCAGAUCCGAGAAAUGAAGAGCGAAUGCUACCGGAGUCACUACCUCAAAGAGGAGUUAUAGCUGCUCGCCAAUCUUUGACAACAGAACUGGAUGAGAGAGAUAACUUACAGUCAAGAGACAGCCGACAAUGCUAUAGCUUAGAGUGUGAGUUCAUGGCGUCUGCUAGUCUACCACGCUAGAUGAGUCCGUCAAGUCAAUAAUGGAUGAUGAUUAUGUUUCCAUUUUGUUAACUGGUUUGUGUUUCAGACUAAAACUACAGAGAUUGGUACCCAUAAGUCAAUUUGUGUCCAGGCAUCAUGAUUGUAGAGACAUGGAGUGAAUGGCUGGCAUAUGCAUUGUAUUGAUGAAAUGCUGAUAAGGCAUAUUCUGGAUUAUAUUAGCAAUUAUUUUGAGCACUCCAUUGCUAUGAUAUGUUGUUUUAUUCAGAUCAUGAAUGUGAGCACACUCCCAGCUCCCACAUACACUGGGUUCUUGCAUUUAGUAAUUAUUAGUAAUAGGCUUAACUUAAAGUUUAUUAUACAGCCUGUUUUGUUUGGCCAUUUUGAUUUUUGUCGCUGCCACUUGUGAUGAUUUAUACAUUACUGUGCUUUUAUUUGUAUACAAUACCAUGAUUUCCAGGCGCCAUGGUAAAAGCGCGAGUUAUUUUUUGAAUGUACAGCUGAUCAUUUUCCUGUUAUUGCGUUACUUGAUUCUUUCUCUGUAGUUUAUCUCCAGUGUUCAGAAUUUUUACUCUGUUUUCUUGGUUGCAGCUUAUGCGAGCACCAGCUAGUGUUGGUGGUGGUGGAUUCAGUUACUGUCACCUAGUGCCUGUUCGGGGAUGGACUGCUCCAGCAACUCCGCUCCGUCGGAGGAGCGGCAGAACGUCCGCUCCGAAAAAAUUACAUUACGGAUCGUUCCGCUCCACCGCGGAGUCAGGAGCCGGAGUGUUUCCGAACACUCCCCUAGUAUCAGUUAGGUUCGUCUCCACCAUGUGGUGACUGAAGAUUGCUAGCCAGCAUCCACUAUCGAUGAGCAGAAUGUUCCACCUCCACAUUCUCCUGAUGCCCCACUGCGGUGAGCUUCUCGUGUGAUUCGCCAUUUUCAUGCUGCAAUUUUGCGUGCUCCUUUUUUUAUUUCUAUGUUUGGCAUGAACUUUGGUUGUUGGUAAUGCAUUUCUUGUGUAGUGCACACCUUUGGGAAUCCAGAAAAUCCACAAGCGAAAUGUGUAAAGUGGUAUAUUAGGAGCAGACAUAGACUGGCCCCUUUGGUGGGCUUGAAUUGUCUGCAAACAGAAGGUAUUGACCGAUUUGCUUAGGUCUUGUCUACUGAGGUCACAAUCAUGCUCUUCUCCUUCUGCAUCGCAUCAAAUACACCAUAGUCAAAGUCAUGGUCAUCUCCUUAACAUCGCAUCAAAUACAGCACUGCCCCAUCCAGGUCAUGGUCAUCCACAUUUGCUUAGUUCUUGUCUACGAGGUCACGAUCAUGCUCUUCUCCUUCUGCAUCACAUCAAAUACACCAUAGUCAAAGUUGUGGUCAUCUCCUUAGCAUCGCAUCAAAUACACCACUGCCCCACCCAGGUCAUGGUCAUCCACAGCCACAGGGCCAUUUACUAGGUCAUGGUAAUGCAUGGCCAUCUCCUUUCACAUGGCAUCAAAUACAGACCGCAUCCACGCCCAUUUGAUUCCUUUUCCAGUCUUCCUUGGGUCAACUGUAAGUAUUUGUAAUCAUAGAUAUAUAUGCAGUAGGAAGGCAGUCAUGAAAGCGGUACCCAGAAGAGAAGGUAGUGCUGCCUGACCUGAAUUUCUCUAGUGCAAGGUGUAGUGUAGAAUCAUGGGCAUCUUGCCGAUGGUGUUCUCUGUGUUGGUACUCGGGUCACUGGGAAAGCUAACAGCUCUGCCAUCUGGAGUUAUGACAAGCCAACAGGGCUCUGAGGGGAACAGGGCGCAACCAUCUCGAACUGGUGGCACGAUUGAUGGCUGCCCAACAAGCUGCGGCAGUGUGAGCUUUGGCUAUCCCUUCGGCAUCGGAUCCAGGUGCUCCCUUGAGCCUGACUUCGACCUCAUUUGUAACGGCACCACUCAGCCCCCCAAACUCUUCUUGCGCGACGGCAUCACCGAGGUGAUCGACUUUGGCGAUCCUUAUUGGAGUUCAAACAGGAUCUUGGCCUCCUUCUCCCAAACCAUCCCCAUUACAUAUGGUGUCAGUAUCUACAACUUGUCUUUGAAACCUCUUGGGAGGUCCUUCCAUUUUUAUUCAAUUGCUCUAAAUAUCACCGGCUGUGACCUGGUGGUGUACUCUGUUGAAGAGAAUGACAUCCAGCCAAUCUGUGCAACUGUGUGCCCGGAUCCAGAAAUCACAGAGAUGAUGGCUAUGCAUAACUGUAAUGGAUUUGGAUGUUGUCGUGUAGAUGUGGACAGCUAUGCCAGGACCCACACUUAUCAGUUCAAACUUGUCUACGGUCAGAACCCAAAAAACACCAGUGCACGCUCUAACCAGUCCUCUCAAUUGUGGGAUAAAAUCAGCAUAACUACUGAUGGCUUUGUGCUCUCAUGGGACAUGGGGAAUCAAUCCGCCUGUGUUGCUUGUGUGAGCGAGCAUGCCGGGUGUGGCUACAGCUACGAUGCACCAUUUUUCAUGCCCUCGGGAAAUGGCUAUUUGUGCUUCUGCAAUGAGGGCUAUACAGGCAACCCGUACAUUUCACAUGGCUGCUCCAACGGCGACAAAGGUAACAUAUUUUUCCUAAUCAAGCGACCAAACGGACAGCUGCUGUUAGUCAUUUUUUGGGCACUGAUGAUACAUGCUAACCUUUUACCGAUCAAUUUAGGAUACAAUCCAACCCCAAGCAGGGCUGACUGCACUCGUCAGUGUGGUAGCAUUAAUGUGCAAUUCCCAUUCGGCUUUGAAGAGGGUUGCUUUGCCAGGGAAGAGUUUCACGUCAACUGUACAAAUACAACGUCAUCGGCUGUUUCUCUGCUGGAAGAUUUGGAGGUAAUCGACAUAAAUGUUGACGAAGGGACCAUUAAUGCCACCAUUGCUGACCAACAGUUGGCGUACCCUACGUCUGCUUCAGGGCGAAACAGUCUUUUUUCUGCAAAUUUGUUAUUUCUCUCUAUCAAAUGGGUUGCUGCUAAUUUAAGUUGCACAGAGGCCCAAAAGAAUAGGUCUGGAUAUGCUUGUGUGAGUAUCAACAGCAACUGUGUAGAAGUAAGUGAUGAAAGGGUCUAUGCUGGUUACCGCUGCAAAUGCUCAGAUGGCUUCCAAGGAAAUCCGUACAUCCAAAGUGGUUGUCGAGGUACUCUCUUAUUUUCUCUAGGAUUACCGAUGAUACAGUCCCUAAAAUGGGAAAAUGUAGUAGUACUGGAUAUGUUUCAACUCUGUAAAAGAAAGUUGCAUGUAAAAUAACUGUAUGUUACUACUUCUGUAAUUAGACACUGAAUUUUUCCCUACUUCUAGUUUAUUUAUCAUCCAUGUAGGUUUCAUUUAAUUAGCUGAUGAUUAUUUCAUGUUAAUGGAACAACAUACUGUGUGUUACGCUCUCUGAUACAUAAUAUAAGCAGUUUUAGAAAUUUGUCCAUUCAAAUAUUUUAGGUUUGACCAUCAAUAUAGAAAUUACUAACAUGGACAAAUACUAAAUUGAUAUUAAGAGAUUAGUGAUGAAAUAUAUUUUUAGUAUAUAAUUAUUUUUGUUUGAAACAACAUAUUUUCUUUAAAAUAUAGUCAAAAUGUUACUAUGAAGACCUUGAUGAUGUCCUAAACUACUUAUUGUGAAUCAGAGGGAGUAUGUAUUUUUCCAAAGCAUCUUAUAAAGACUUUUGUUAAUUUCAGAUAUUAAUGAAUGCCUUCAACCAAACAAAUGUAAGGAGAUCUGCCGUAAUACCGAAGGAAGCUUCAAUUGUAUUGAUUGUCCUCGCAAGACGGAGUAUGAUCCAUUAAAAAUGCAGUGUAGUAGGAUAAAACAACAGACUCUACUUGUAGGUAUGACUACAUUGCUGUUACAUUUAUUUAUGAAUUAUGAUAGACAAGAUAGAAUUUAAAAGAGCUUAAUAUCCGCAGGUAUAAUUAUUGGGCUGUCCUGUGGUUUCGGCAUUCUACUUCUGAGCUUCAGUGUAGUGCUUCUCACGCGUAAAUGGAAAAGAAAUGUUCAAAGGCAACUAAGGAAGUACUAUUUCCGAAAGAACCAAGGUCGUCUCCUACAAACAUUGAUAUCAUCUGAUGGAAGUGCAAAUGACAAAACGAAGAUUUUCUUGCUAGAAGAACUAGAGAAGGCAACAAAUAACUUCGAUCCUGCACGUAUCAUCGGGCGUGGGGGUCAUGGCAUGGUUUACAAAGGCAUGUUAUCUGAUCAGCGUGUUGUUGCGAUAAAAAAGUCUAAGGUCAUUGAGGAGUGUGAGAUCAGUCAAUUUAUCAAUGAGGUUGCAGUCCUCUCUCAGAUAAGGCACAGAAAUAUUGUAAAGCUCUUCGGAUGUUGUCUCGAAACGGAGGUUCCACUGCUAGUGUAUGACUAUGUAUCCAGUGGCUCACUGUCUCAAGUUCUUCAUGCUGAUUCAAAUGAUGAUUUUUCGUUGUCUUGGAGUGAUUACUUGAGGAUUGCUCUGGAAACAGCAGGAGCUCUAUCUUAUCUCCACUCUUCAGCUUCAAUAUCAAUCUUUCAUCGUGACGUGAAGUCGUCGAAUAUACUGUUGGAUGUGAACUACACAGCUAAAGUUUCAGAUUUUGGAGCAUCUAGAUUGGUUCCGACUGAUCAAACGCACAUUGUCACGAAUGUGCAGGGUACAUUUGGGUACUUAGAUCCAGAGUAUUUCCAUACUAGACAGUUAAACGAGAAGAGCGACGUGUACAGUUUUGGUGUGGUACUAGUGGAGCUGCUUGUCAGAAUGAAGCCUGUUUUUACAAGCGAGUCCGGCACAGUCAACAGCUUGUCAAGCUAUUUUCUGCAGGAGUUCAAGGAGGGGAGAAUCACAGGCAUUGUCAAUUCUCAGGUCCUCGAGGAGGCGACAGAGGAAGAGAUCAACGGUGUCGCCUCUCUUGCAGAACUGUGCUUAAGGCUGCGUGGCGCAGAAAGACCCACCAUGAAACAAGUGGAGACCGAACUGCGGACCCUGCGAGCAAAACGCAUGAACCCAUCGCAAGCAGAUCCAAGGAAAGAAGAGCAGAUGCAACUAAGGGCAUUAGCUCGACGGACUAGAUCUGUUCGGCAAUUGUCUGCGACGGAACCAGGCAAGAGAAUCAAUGUACGGUCAGGGCGCAGCGAACGAUCUUACCGCUUGGAGGGGGACUGUGAGAGUUCAUGCCAUCUGCUAGCCGACCACCAUGCUUAGAUUAGUCUGUUGAUGAGUUUGUAAUAAUGGUUAAUUUGUGUCCCUCUUCUAUGAACUGAUGCUAGGGCUUGUAUGACAGGUUAGUUAGAUUGGCCUUGUGUAAGUCAUUUUAUGUCCAGAUCAUUUCAGGCAUCAUGAUUAUAUCAGCUUUUCAGUUGGAAUCGUACUUGUUUAUAUGUAAACUGCUUUUUAUGAUGUGCAGUGAGUUGUUGGCGUAGGCAUUAUGGUUGAUGAUGUUAAUAAGAGAUGUAGUGGAUUAUAACAAUUUCAUUUGAUUCCCCUAAAGUUUUACAAAGAUAUAGGUUUAUAAUAGGGAAUUUCAAUAAAGUAGGAAUAAGAAUCAAGAGAAGAGUGAUGCAAAGAAAAAAAAAUAUACAGAUAGGAAAAUCCUAACACAUUCAAGAACAAAGAGGACACACACAUAUUUUGUUGGCUCCCGGGAGCAAAUCCAGAACGGCGGAGGAGACAAGAACACUAAAUACUUCCACGUAUGUGCUUCCCAACGUUAUCGUAAAAACAAAAUAUUUGUUCUUGAACAUAAUGAAGUCAACUUUCUUUCCCGUGAACAGAAAGAAAUGGUUCUCAAAGAUUUCUACACAUAACUCACCGGCUCUUCCAAGCCACUCUUGUGUUUCGACAUCCACCAACUUUAUCCUGACCACAUUCCUCAGUUGCGCUAGUGCAAUGUGCCUUCUCCGAGCAGGAAAUUAAGGAUGUGUUCCUUCAAAUGAACCACAAUGCCAAUCCCGGUCCGGACGGAUUCGGGCUUGCCUUCUAUAGAAAAUUAUUAGUCCUUACCUUAAAAGUUAUAUAUUCCCCUUCUUUCAUUACUAUAUAUAAGAUACUACUAUAAAGUAUGUUACAUGAAAAAUAAAUAGUUAAUUCAUAUUUUUUUAAUAAUAUUAUGAAAUACGUACAUAUUUGUACGUAAAAAUGAGUAUGCUAAAAUAUGGUAUAUAUUACCUAAAAAUAGUAUAUAUAUUAUAUGAAUAUUUUUAUAUACUAUAUAUUACGCAUACAUAUUCUCCGACAUGAUAGAUACUACAUAUAACAUACCAAACAAAAGUGGAAGUAACUAGUCGACGAGUCACAUUAUGCGUAAUACCUCGAUCUAAAAAAAAUGCAUGUUAACAUGUACACUCUUUACUUUUAUUUUCUUAUUCUCUUUCCAUCAAUUAGUGCAUGUUUUAAUUAUUUACAAAUACAUAAAUGCUAAUAAAUAGACAUGCACGUUAUUAAAUACUAGGUGCCCAGGCUCCUAGGUGCCCUAAACAAUUUACUUCACCCCCUCUAUUUUAACAUCAAUGCAUCGUAAUUUUACGUUACAUAUUUUUUUUUCUUAUUCCAUCGUAAAAAUAAGUUAUUCUUAUUCCUCCAAAAAUUUAUACUUUAUUAGACACCCAGGAUGAGGAAUAAGUUAUUCUUCACCCUGGUUAGGACAUAAAUUUUUCACAUGUAUAAGGUAAUUUUACGGCUAUACUAAGAGAGUAUUUCUUUUUUUAGGCCGUAAUCUUACCUUUUCUUUUUAUCAGGCCACAAUCUUACCUUUUUUUGUCCGGUCAUAAUCUUACCUCACGUACUUUCUUUUUCUUACCUUUCACAACCUUGCCGUGAGAGAGGGGGUGAGGAAUUUUAUAUAUAUAUAUAUAUGCAGAAUAAGUUAUUCUUCAUCCCAGAUAAUCUUACGAUCAUUUCAUUAAUAAAUUACUUUUGAAAUGCAAAUAGUUACAUUUAUAUUGAUUCACUACGUAAAGUUUGACAUAAGAAAAAACAAAAAUAUAGUUCAUAAGACCGAAAAAAACGCAUUUUAUGUAUAUUUUACACUAUGUUUUUGUGUUUGUAAUAUUACAUGACAUAAAAUAUUUUUUACGAUGACUACAUAUUUUCUUACGAUCUCUUUUUACGUAUAAAAUAAAAUAAAAUUUACGAAACAUAAAAUUACGGUGCAUUCAUAUAAAAAUAGAGGGGUUGAUGAAUAACUAUUCCUCACCUAGGGUGAGGAAUAUUUAUUCUUCACACUCCCUUUAUUUUCACAACAAUGCACCGUAAUUUUAUGUUUCAAUUUUUUAUUUUAUUUCAUACGUAAAAAAAAGACCGUAACUUAUUUUAUUUCAUAUGUAAAAAAAUAUACAUGAAAUGCGAUUUUUCUGUUCUUGUGGCCUAUAUUUUUAUUUUUUACAUCAAAUUUUACGUAAUGAAUCAAUAUCAAUGCAACGAUUGUUAUUCCAAAUGUAAUUUAUUUAUGAAACGGUCGUAAGAUUACCUGGGUGAAGAAUAACUUAUUUUGCAUCUUGGGUUACGAAUAGACUUUCUAUAUAUACAUGUUUCGUAGACUAUGCGGUAGAAUAUAUAUUAAUUUACCAUUUUAAUUAUGUUCAUAUUUUCCUUAUACUACCUUGUGGUACUAUAUACUACUCUAUCAUUUUUACUAUGUUUAUAUACUAUAUUAAAUCCAACAUGAGUUAUCUAAAAAAAUGUAAGGAAGACCAUAGUUUUUAUUAGAUUUAUGAAAUACGUCAUAUUUGUGCGUAAACAGAAUAUGUUCAAAAUAUGGUACAUAUUACCUAAAAAGUACUUCCUCAGUCCAAAAUAAGUGACUCAAAAAUGAAUCAACUUUACACUAACUUUAGUACAAAGUUUAAUCAUUUUUGAGUCAUUUAUUUGGGACGGAGGGAGUACUAUAUAUAGUACUUAAACAUUGUUAUAGACUAAAUACUACGCGUGCAUAUACUCCGAUAUGAUAGAUAGUACCUACAACAUACGAAACAAAAGUUGGAGUAAGUACACCCGAUCGUAUGAAACAUUUACCAUAUACAUACAUACAUACAUAUAUAUAAAUCAUUUCUUAUGCAGGUUUACCUUUUUCCAAAUACAUGUAAUACAUUUUCCAAAUACACGGUUGAAACUUUUUUCCAAAUGACACAUAACUUCUUUAUAAAAUGCUAUGCGGGCAUUUUUGUUUACUUUGUAUAUAACAUCUUUUAAAAUUUCCAAAGGAAUUUAGAAAAACAUGGUUUUUUUUAAAUGUAAUGCAUAUUUUUCUUUAAUGGUAUGAAACAUGUUUUAAUUAUGUGAACAUGUUUUUAGAGUACACGAACAUUUUUUGCAGUUGUACAAACCAAUUGUUUUAACACGUGAAUUUUUUUUACAUUGCUUAAACUUUUUUUAAAUAGUACAAUGCAUUCUUUCUAAAUUAUGUGAACUUCUUUUACAUUGUAUUAUCUUUUUCUCAAAAUGUCAUGAACAUAUUUUUGAAAUGUGCGUACAUCUCUUAAAUGACACGAAUAUAUUUUUGAAUUAAAAUAAAAUAUGUUUCCAUUUCAAAAGUAUAUAUAAAUUUUCAAAUGAAACAAAAAAAAAGAGAAAUCGUGUGCUAGGCACUAGCGAGCUAGAGCUCCUCCUGUGCUGGGCCGGCUCAAUUAGGGCGUCAUUGAGGCGAGACAUACUUGUGUCUCGGCGCGGCCAGACACAGGCUCCGUCCAGAGCUGCCGUGCACACACUUUUUUUAAGAACAAAGUGAUGUGACAAAUCAGAAUCUGAGAAAGUCUAGCUUUUCCAAGUACGAGUUUCACCUAGAUGCAACAAAGAGAAUGAUGAUAGGGGUUUAUAAGAGAAGAGAAAAGGUGUAAGAAAGUCUCACAUUAACGUGCCGGAUUGGUAGGAAAUGGGGUGAUCUUACAAUCUAUGUUGAUGCAAGGAGUAGGGAUUGCUAUGCAACCGAUGUACUAGACCUAUAAGUGUAUGAAAGCUCUUUAUAUGGAAUUAAGUGGGUAUGCAUACAACUCACUUGUUCAUGAAGACCUCGAACGAUUGAGGAAGCUCGUCACCAGAAUAUGCAAGACAAGUUCUAUAAUAUGAAAUUCCCACAGGUUAUAAAACAAUAUCAUGAGGACUCCCUAUAUAUGAUAAUGAUGUGCUCACUCUCUCCUUUUCAUUUUAUUUUAUUUUCUCCAUUUUUUAUGUGACUCUAUUUGGUCUCUCUUUCUUAUAUAUCCUCGCGGGUAGGGGCACAUCCUAAUAAUGUGUCACGCUUUAUUUUAUUUACAACUCAAAAGAUAUAAACAACAUGAUGACUAAAAAUGAAUGCCUCUAGUAGUGUAUCAGGAUGUGUAAUGAUCUAGUGUAACAUAUAUUAUAAUGACGAACGGUGGCUUUGCCACAAAUAUCAUGACAACUCUAUAUGAUCAUGCAAAGCGAUAUGACAAUGAAUGCUCAAGUCAUAGAGAUAGUAACAAUGGAAGUUGCAUGGAAGUAUAUCUCGAAAUGGCUAUGAAAAUGUCAUGUUAGGUAUGUAUAGUGGAUGUUUUGAGAAAGGAUAUAAUGAGUCUUAUGUGUGAGAGAGUGUGUCAUCUAAUGGGGUUUGGAUGCACCGGUGAAGUUUGCACCAAGUCUGGAGGUGAGAAUGGCCAAUGCAUGAUACCGAAGAGGCUAGCAAAAUAUGGAUAGGUAGAAGUGCUUUCAGUACAAAAACUCCCAUUAAACAUAAAGAACUCAAGUGCUUAUUGUGAAAACUUAGUUAGCCUAGCCCUCGAAGGAAAAUAGAACUUGCACGCUCCUUGGGAGGAGGUUGGUAGGAGCUAACCAUCGCAUGCCCCCGAUCCCGGGGUGUUCCUAAGACGUAGGAGAGGUCCCUCCCACCUAGGAAGUGCUCGCCAUCGCUGCCAUCGGCAACUACCACGGCGGCGGCUGGUCCUGCUGCGCUCCAAAGGGGGGGGAGGGUGCUAUGUGGUGGUUGCACCUGUGGAUCUGCGGCGCGCAUGGGGGUCGGUGUAGCAGGAGACGUUGCCCGCGAGGUGAUAUGUAUCCAACAUAUCGAUGAUUUAUGAAGUAUUCAUGCCAAUAUUCUACAACUUUCAUAAAAUUUUGGCAACAUUUUAUAUUAUUUUUGGGACUAACUUACUUAUCUCGUGCCCAGUGCUAGUUCCUAUUUUUGUGUGUUGUUUAUUUCGAAUAAAAAUCCAUAUCAAACGAGGUCCAAACACAGUAAAAAUUUGUCGAGAUUUUUUGGAAUAUAUGUGAAUUUUUGGAAGAAGGAUCAACACAACACGGUGCCCGAGAGCCCCACAAGAUAACAGGGCAUGACCAGGGGGUGGUCGUGUCCUGAUAGCUUGUGGCCACCCCUUAAGUCAGUUGGGGGCCUUCUUACGUAGCAAGAAAGAUAUUUUCCAGAUAAAAAUCCCCUCAAAAUUUCAGUAUGAUCGGAGUUACGGAUCUCUGGAUAUUUAAGAAACGGUGAAGGGCCAGAAAACAGCAGCGAAAACAUGAGAGAAAGAGAGAGAGAGAUCCAAUCUCGGAGGGGCUCUCGCCCCUCGGGGAGCCAUUGAGGCCAUGGACCGGAGGGUAGAACCUCUUCCCAUCUAGGGAGAGCCCAUGGAGGAGGAAUCCUAAGGGGGGAGACUCUCUCCCAAUCUAUCUUGGUGGUGUCGGAGUAGCGCUAGCGAAACCAUCGCCGCGGUGAUCGUCUUCAUCAACAUCACCGUCUUCAUCUCCUUCCUCAUCUCUUUUCAGCGGUCCACUCUCUCGCACCCUGUUGUAAUCCCCUACUUGAACAUGGUGUUUCAUGCCAUACAUUAUUAAUCAAUGAUGUGUUGUCAUCCUAUGAAGUUUGAGUAGAUUUAUGUUGUCCUUUGGGUUGAUUGAUGAUCUUGAUUGGUUUGAUUGUAUGCUUUAUUUUGGUGUUGUCCUAUGAUGCCCUCUGUGCCGCGCACACAUGAGGGAUUCUCGUUGUAGGGUGUUGCAAUACGUUCAUGAUUUGCUUAUAGUGGGUGGCUAGAGUGACAGAAGCUUACACCCGAGUAAGGGGAUUGUUGCGUAUGGGAGUAAAGGGGACUUGAUGUUUAAUGCUACUGUUGGGUUUACCUUAAUGAUUUCUAAUAGUUGCGGAUGCUUGCUAGAGGUCCAAUCAUCACUAUAACAAAACAGACAUUAAGUAACACAAUCAUGUAACACAUUGAAAAACGUGUUACAAGGAAAGUUAUUGUAACACGUCAUUUUUGUGUCCAAUGAAAGACAGUAACACAUACUAUAUAAGGCAUCAAAACGUGUUACAGGGAUGUUGUAAUGGUAACAUAUAAAUAUGUGUUGGGCAAAUGUGUUACAUAUAUUCUGACAUGGUAACAUAUAAAUAUGUGUUAGUAAAAUGUGUUACGUUAGUUCAGCUUAGUAACCUAUAAUCAUGGUUGAUACAUAGUCUUAGAGGCUCUAUUAUAAGGAGAAUUAGAAUAACCUAAGAUCAAUUGCAUACACAGAUCACAAAUACCUUGACACAUAGGGCCCAUGUGUCAACAUAUUUUUUUAUAAAUGUGUUCUUGUCUUUGUAAAUACUGUUCUCAUUCUUUGUUAAUAUGGUAUGAAAAAACAAUACAAUUUGGUUGGUAAAUACCGAACUAUUUUUGGAAUGGUUGCAGUGAAUAUCAUAUUAACCAUUUUUUAUGCGAAUUUUAGGAUGUCCCGGUGACCAUAAACGGAAAUACACACUUUGAAAUGAUCAUAUGAAAUUAAGUAUUUGAUGUCAAUACUCACAAGGGAGUGGAAGACCACCAACAAACGAGAGCUUAAAUUUGACCAUGUGAUUUAAUAACCAGACUGACGGUCUGACCAAAAAAAGGGAACCAAUGACUCGUCCGGGUUUUAAAGGUGUGUUGGUCUUUAAACAAAAAAAAUAGUAAACUAUUCAAAAAUCGUGUGAAACUAGGAAUCGGACAAUUGACUUGAGCCCUCGCAUGGCCAACGGUCCAAUACCAACUGGGUUCGAUUUUUCUGAUCGGGCGAGGGCGAACUAGAAAGGCAUGGAAUUUUUCAAAAUAAGAAAUAGUCACGCGAUCCACCAGACAUCCCAGGACGGAAAGUAUGUUAUCUCAUGCCUCUCCCUCAUAUAAAAUUACAAGAAUGAUUACCGAUCUUGUUAUCAAUUGCUUAGGACAAUUCUGCACACCAUGCCAUCAUUGUUCCACACUCGCUAUUUGUAAUAUAUUCUAACUUUAUUUAGGCAGUGAGUAUUUUCAUAUUUUUGUUCUCCAAUAUCAUGCUAAGCUAUCCUAUUUAUAUGCACAACGCAGUUUUAUUUCUCAUUACUAGAUAGAAGCAAACGCUCGGUGUACGUAGAGUCGUAUCGGUGGCAUAUAGGACUUGCAAGAAUAUUGAUCUUACCUUUAAAUCCUUAUGGGUUUGACACUCCAUACUUCUCGCUUCCAUCUUUGGAAAAUGCUACGACGAUUCCUUGCACUUGGGGAUUAUCACCGAGCAGGGCAGGGAAUCUCCAUGGCAACAGAUCUACUAGUUUAUGGAGCGCCUCGUGCACUGCUUGCAGAGGGCGUGGUGGUUCCGUGCGGCUGUGGUGGUGCCUGUCUACAUGGUCUGCGGGACGGGUUUCCUUAGCUGGCGAUGUCCUUGGCUCCAGCAGGUGGCCGGGUGGGGGCGUGCCUCCCCUUGCUCGCGGAUCUGCUCUACGGAGGCUUCGCAAUGUAUUCUGCAAUGGCAUGGCUGUCGGAGAAGCCGAUGGUGAAGCAUCCAUGUUGGUAUCGACGGAUGCAUAUGCUAAGACACGUCAUGCGAUGAUGGUGGCUCGCGGGGUGGAGGUCGGUCCUAUGUGGUGGAUACACGGCAUGGAGUGUGAUGGACGCCGGAGCGGCGGCUCUGGAGCUGUGGUCGGCUGCUUUUUCCAAAGAGGUGCCUACGGAGGCCGGCGCGACAUGAGGUGUUGAUUUUGGUGCAUCUCAUGUGGAUGCGGGGAGUGACGGCGUGAUUUUGCUGCAGCUGUAGGUGGUCCGGUGUAAUCCUGACCCUCGAGCUCUAGCUGUCGCUGACGCGUGGUGGUGGUACUGUUGUGGUUGCGGUGUCGUGGUGGUGCCUUGCCGAGUUGCUCGUGGUGGUGAGGUGGAGGGUGCUGGGACGGACCGGCCCUGCCCGAGCUCAGACUGGAUGUUGGCCAGGCAGUGUGCGAGGUGAAAAUCUGCUUCGGACUGUGGCUGGAGUCGGCAGCGGCGAUGCCUGUGGGCACCGUCACUUUCUUGCAAGAGUUCUCGAUGUAUUGUUGUCCUCCCCUCCAUUCGGGGUAGCUUUGAGGGAAACCUUAGAUCUAUGGAUCAGGCGAUGACGAUGCUUUUGCAUCGCUCUGCAUCGUUUUUGGAGCAGGAAUUGGUUGGUGGGACUAGUGUUGGUUGGUGGUUGUUCGCUGGUGUUGCAACUCAUGUGGCAACAGUGAUGGUGGUAAGAGAAGCAGGGCUGCAGCAAUGCCCUUCGUUGUCGAGCGUUGGACAUGUCCUAAGCGUGAAGUUGGAAAUGCAGCGUUGCGGCAGCAAUGAUGCCAUAUGAUGGGAAGUCGAGCUAUGUUGUUGCAAGGCGUGCUUCUUUCUCCUGCGAGACUUGUGACCGAAAUUGGAGCUGCCUGGUCCUCGGCGCAUUUGGCCGGCUGUUUGACAUAGGCCGCCAGGGUUCUCGUGUGUUGUUCGUUUGGAUGGGCCUUAAUGGGUUGUUCGUGGUGAAGUCAGAGUCGCUUGCUCAGGGAGAAGUGAUGACGAUGACAUUGUAGGCAACCUCGACGGUGAUGUCUCCUCGGUGGUGUGUGCGUGUCUUAUGGGUAGCAAGGUGAGGUCGGGAUGCCUUAUUUUGUGGGGAUGUUUGUAGCGGUUUCCGUCCGGGUACCCGUCAAUUAACCAAACAAUUUUUUACCCUUCUUCUUUAUUAAUGAGAUGAGGCAAAGAUUUUGCCUCCGUUUUGAAGAAAAAAAGUUUAAUCAAUUAAUGAUAAAUUAUACUCCGACUUCACUGCUAUUACCAACGGGCCACCGACUCAUGAACUCUAAUAUCAAUAUUAAUACUUGUCUUUAAUAUUUACUAGCAUGCUCACCUAUUACUACCUCGAUAUCACAAAACUAUUGCAAGGAAUCAAACAUGUCUUAUUCAACGAUCUUACAAAUCCAUGCUAGUUUUUAUUAUACCACCUUUAUGUACCUAUCAUUAUUUGUACCAACCAUACAAGCAAAUAACCACUUCAUGUUUAACUUUUAUUAAAGAAAGAAAAGAGAGUGCACACAAUUUCUACAAACAUAUCUCCAUGCUCAAACAAAUAUAAGUGAAGAACUAGAGCAUUUCCCUCAACUCAAAAAGAUAUAAGUGAAGUACAAAUGGUCAUUCUAUAAAUGAGAUGGGUGUGUGCCUUCUCAUAAUAAAUGUGUUCGAGGAAAUAUGAGUGUGACAACCAGCAAACAAAACAAAGUUAAAAACAAAGACGCUCCAAGAAAAACACAUAUCAUGUGAAGGGCAAAAAUAUAGCUCCAAGUAAGAUAUACCGAUAAUUUGAACACGAAGGAGAGGAUACUUUACGGGGCAUCCCCAACCUUAGAUGCUUGAGUCUUACUUGAUAUUACCUUGGGGUGCCUUGAUCGUCCCCAAUCUCGGGUUCUUGUCGCUCCUUAUUCUCCUCCAUAGCACUAUCUCACUCAAAACUUGAAAUUUUCAUUCACGAAAAACUUAAUGAAACUUCAUGAGAUGGGUUAGCAUAACAGAAUAAAUCAUUCACUUAUGGUACUGUCAAGAAAAGAUUCAUAACUAUUUACAUUCAAUUUUUACUGUAUUUUAUCAUUUCUACAGUUUAUACCUCCCGAUACAAACCAUAGAGACUUCAAAGCAAGCAAACAACAAAAAUAAAACAUAAUCUAUCAUAAGCAGAAUAGCAUGUAAAGAUCUAGUUUCUAGUCAUACUUGUGUAAAUACGCAAAUUCUUAACCAAAUAUGUGUAAAAUAAUUAGUAAUUUAUCACGUUUCCGUAGAGAGAAACAAGUCAAUCACUGGAUGGAAAGUUUCUGUUUCUGCACAUAACCUAGUAAACAAACAUUUUGCAAUAUCCCAAAGUCUUAACUUGGCACAAAAGCAAAAUAAAAUAUACAAACACAAUUACUAAAAUGGCAAUAAUCAUGUUGAAUCACAAAAACAGAAAGUGUAAAGUAAAGAUAACUAUUGGGUUGCCUCCCAACAAAGCUAUUGUUUAAUGUCCCAAGCUAGGCAUAAUGCAAUCUAUCAAGUAUUAUUAUCUUUUAGUUCCUCAAUAAGGCAAAUUGAUUUUCUAGGAGGCUUAGCAGGUAUUCUUUCAAUCAUAACACUUCUAGGGAUAAAUUUCAAAAGGUGCAUAUACAAAUUGGCUUGUUUUUAAUCUUAACAAAACUUGGUGAACGUUAAUCAGUUUUAAAUCAGAUUUCUGUGUGCUAUAGGAAGCACUCUUAGUUGGUUUAGAAACCUUUGCAACAUAAGCUAGUUUCAUAUUUUCAUUAGUAAGAGUUUCUUUAUUAGUUUUAGUGGAGAAAACGAGAAGCCCAAAACAUUAAUAACUUCCUCCAACUUAUCAAUUCUAGAAGGACUUUGAUCUACUCUAUCAGUAGUUGAUUCUUUUAGUAAUUUUAGAGCAAUUCCUACCAUAGAGCCUAACUUAUUCAUAGGACCAUGCAUCUUCUUAUUAACUUCCUCUAAUUGUUGACUAGUGGGCAUCUUAGUUUCAAUAAUAUCCAAUCUUUGCAUAACAUGUUCCAAAGUUAACCCAGUUUCAUCAACUUUAAUAGGUGGUGAUCCACUAGAUUUCCAUAGCAUUAAAAACAUAUAAGGUGUGACUACUCAAGAAUUAUCUCCACUCAUAGUGUCAAGCCCAAAUUUAUACCAACUAGUAACACCAAUCUUAAAACUACAUAGGACAACAGUAGUAGAUUGCUUAUGAGUACAUUUAUUCCGAGCAUAAAAAAUUCUAUGCCAUGCAUCUUUUAAACUCUCUCCGUCCCUUUGCUCAAAAUUGAUAAUGUCAAUUUAGGGCUUACCAACAACAAGUGAUGAACUCGCCAUGGUAGCAACACGAAACUUUUUUGGUAUUUGGAAACAAAAUGGCUAAUACGUCAAUUUUGCGUCAUGAAUUCUUAUCAAUAUUUAUGAUAUUCUUGUUCAUUAUUCCUCAUUAUGAUACAAUUCUUAUGUUUUUUCUCUCUGAACAUGCAAUUUACAUUACAAGGAGGGAAAUUACUGGAAACUGGAAUUCUGAACCUGAAAACCAAGAAAAGGCUGAAAAAUCACUCGACUCCAAAUGACCUGAAAUUUCAUGGAUAGUUUUAGUGGAAUAUAUGAGAAUUAUUGGGCCAAAAAUAUACUAUAGGGGAGCCACCUGCUAGGCACAAGCCAACAGGGCGCGCCCACCCCCUGGGUGCGCCUUGAUGGCUUGUGGGGCCCCAGCAGGUCUCCCGUCCCCCCCCCCCUAUUCUCCUAUAUGGUGUGUUUUACCCUAGAAAAAAUCAUAAUGAUACUUUUGGGUCGAAGCGCCACCAUCUCUAGGCGGAAACCAGGGCAGAUGCCCUUUUUCUCUCCGGCACAGAGAUUCUGUCGGGGAAACUUCCUUCCAAGAGGGGGAAAUUGAAGCCAUUGUCAUCACCAACGCUUCCUCAUUCAUGAGAGGACCAAUAUUUGUCAACAUAUUCACGAGCACCAUGUCAUAUCAAACCCUAUUUAUCUCUUGUAUUCAAUCUUUGUCUCAAAACCUCAGAUUGGUACAUGUGUGUUACUAGUAGUGUUGAUUACAUCUUGUAGUUGAUGCUAAUUGGUUUAUUUGGUGAAAGAUAUUAUGUUCAGAUCCUUGAUCACCAUUACUAUAUCUCUGAUCUUGAACAUGUUGAUGAGGUGUGAUUAGUUAGUAUUGUUCUUGAGGGCAUGGGAUAAGUCUUGUUAUAAGUAAUCAUGUGAAGUUGGUAUCCGUUCGAUAUUUUGAUGAUGUGUAUGUUGUUGCUUUUCUUAGUCGUGUCAUAUGAACGUCGAUUACACAACACUUAACUGUGUUAUGGUACUAACAGAAGGCAUUGUGGAGCAGCAAGUAGAUGAAGGGUUGCGAGAGUGGCAGAAUCUUAAACCCCAGUUUAUGUGUCGCUUCAUGAGGGGUUGAUUUGGAUCCACAUGUUUCAUGCUAUGGUUAAACUUAUAUUAAUUCUUCUUCCGUAGUUGUGGAUGCCUGCGAGAGGGGGUAAUCAUAAGUGGUUUUCAUGUUCAAGUAAGAACAACACCUCACCACCGGUCCACCCACAUAUCAAAUUAUCAAAAUAACAAACGUGAACCAACUCAACAUGAUGAACAUGACUAGACAUAAAUUCACAUGUGUCCUCGGGGGCGCUUGCCUCAUAUAUGAGUACUUUCAGGCCUGUCCUUUUUCUAUAAAAAGGAUUGGGCUAUCUUGAUGCACACUUUCUACUAUUUUUAGUUGUCACUUGUUACGAAUUAUCUUGCUACAAAACUACCUAUCACUCUUACUCAUAGCACUUGCAUAGAAUACCUUGCUGAAACUGCUUAUCAUUUCCUUCUGCUCCUCGUUGGGUUCGACACUCUUACUUAUUGAAAGGACUAAGAUUGGUCCCCUAUACUUGUGGGUCAUCAAGACCCUUUUCGGGCACCGUUUCCGAGGAGUGAAGCGCCUUUGGUAAGUGGAAAUUGGUAAGGAAACAUCUUUGGUACGUGCUAAAAUUUAUUGUUGCUUGUUACUAUGGACAGUCACCCUUUGAGUGGCUUAUGCGGGGCAUCUUCGCCUUGAAUGGAAGUAGAAAAGGUUGUAUCUCAACCUACUGAACCUUCUUAAAAUAUUCAUUAUGAGAUUCCUUAGUAUAUGUUAGAGAAACUGCUAAUUAAUCCCUAUGAUGGUACAACUCAUCCUGAUUACCAUUUGAUAUAUGUCGAUGAGAUUUGUGGAUUAUAUAAGCUUGCGGGUUUAUCUGGAGACAAAGUUAAGAAGAAGGUUUCCCUUUAUCUUUGGAGGGAAAAGCAUUGAUGUGGUAUAAGCUAUUGGACGAUACUGGAUCAUGGGACUGGAACUGUUUGAAGCUGGAAUUUCAUCACAAAUUAUAUCCUAUGCAUCUAGUUCAUCGUGAUCGAAACUUUAUAUAUAAUUGCUAGCCUCAUGAAUGAUAAAGUAUCGCCCAAGCUUGGGGAGGCUUAAAUCUACGAUGCACACUUUCCCUAACCAUGAGCUCUCAAGAGAAAUGAUUACACAAAAAAUUUAUGCUCGGCUUUCACAUGAUGAUCUAUUACUGCUCGAUUCCUCUUCUACUAGUUCCUACAUGAAGUGGACUGUUGAAUUCAAAUGGGAUCUUCUAGAAAGAAUUAAACACAACUCUGAAGAUUGGGAAUUCGACAAAGGUAAUGAGUGAGGUAUAAAUCUUAAGUUUUCUUGUGUUCAAUAUUUUAUGGAGACUAAUACUUUCCAUGUGUUUAGCAAUAAAUAUGGGAUUGACUCCGAGAUAAUAGCUUCUUUGUGUGAAUCAUUUGCUACUCAUGUUGAUCUCCCUAAGGAGAAGUGCUUUAUAUAUCUUCCACCUACUGAAAACCAUUGGAGGAACCUAUUAAAGUUAAAGAGGAAACAAUUGUUUAUCUUGUUGAUCCACUUGUACCUACUACUUAUAUUGAGAAACCUCCUUUUCAUGUUAGAAUUAAGGAACAUGCUAAAUCUCCAAUUGUUAUUAAUAGAAAUUAUGUUAGAACACCUAAACCUGUGAGUUAGAAACCAUCGGGAUAAGUUAGAUAAAAAUAAACCAGUCAUUGCCAUGCCUGUUGUUUCUGUUAAGAUUGGAGAUCAUUGUUAUCAUGGCUUGUGUGACAUGGGUGCUAGUGUUAGUGCUAUACAUUUUACUUUAUAUCAAGAAAUUAUGAAUGACAUAGCACCCUGUGAGAUUGAAGACAUUGAUGUCACCAUUAAACUUGCAAAUAGAGACACUAUUUCACUGCUUGGGAUCGUUAGAGAUGUUGAAGUCUUGUGUGGAAAGAUUAAAUACCCUACUGAUUUCUUACUACUUGGUUGAGAACAAGAUAACUUAUGUCUCAUUAUAUUUGGUAGACCUUUCUUGAAUAUUUUUAAUGUUGAAAUUAAUUGCAUUACCGAUAAGGUCAGAGUAAGCUUUGGUGAUGUGUCUCAUGAGUUUAAUUUCUCUAAGUUUGGUAGACAACCACAAGAGAAAUAAUUACCUAGGAAGGAUGAAAUUAUUGGUCUUGCUUCUAUUGACGUGCCUCAUGCCGAUCCAUUAGAAUAAUAUCUGCUAGACCAAGAAAAUGGUAUGCAUAUGUAUGAAAGAAACGAGAUAGAUGAUAUAUUUCUUAGGCAAACACCUAUUCUUAAACACAACUUACGAGUUGAUAUCUUAGGGGAUCCUCCUCCACCCAAGGGAGAUCUCGUGUUUGAUCUAAAGAAAUUACCUAAUACUUUGAAAUAUGUUCAUCUUGAUGAAAAGAAGAUAUAUCCUAUUAUUAUCAGUGCUAACCUUUCAGAGCAUGAAGAAAAGAGAUUACUUAAAACUCUAAAGAAGCAUAGGGAUGCUAUUAGAUAUACUCUUGAUGAUCCUAAGGGCAUAAACCCCACUCUAUGUCACCACAAGAUUAAUAUGGAACCAGAUGCUAAACUUGUAGUUGAUCAUGAGCGCCGCUUAAAUCCUAAGAUGAAGGAAGUGGCAAAAACUAAAAUACUAAAGCUUCUAGAUGAAGGUAUAAUUUAUUAUAUUUCUGAUAGUACACGGGCAUGUCAUGUUCAUUGUGUUCCCAAGAAAGGAGGUAUGAUUGUUGUUCCUAAUGAUAAAAAUGAACUUAUUCCACAAAUAAACAUAACUAGUUAUAGGAUGAUAAUUGAUUUCAGGAAAUUAAAUAAAUCUACUAGGAAAGAUCAUUACCCCUUGCCUUUUGUUGAUCAAAUGUUAGAAAGGUUAUCUAAGCAUACACACUUUUGUUUUCUUGGUGGAUAUUCUAGUUUCUCUCAAAUACCUGUCUCAAAAGAGGAUCAAGAGAAAACUACUUCCACAUGUCGCUUUGGAACUUAUGCAUAUAGACAUAUGCAUUUUGAUUUAUGGAAUGCACCUUCUACCUUUCAAAUAUAUAUGAUUGCUAUAUUCUCUGAUUUUUGUGAAAAUAUUGUUGAGGUUUUCAUGGAUGAUUUUUUUGUGUAGGGGCUUCUUUUCAUGAUUGCUUGAGCAACCUUGAUUGAGUUUUGCGAUGCGAGGAAACUAACCUUAUCUUGAAUUGGGAGAAGUGCCACUUUAUGGUGAAUGAAGGUAUAGUACUUCGGCAUAAAAUCUCUGAACGAGGCAUUGAGGUAGAUAAAGCUAAAAAUGAUGCAAUAGAUAAAAUGACAUGUCCCAAAGAUAUCAAAGGUAUAAGAAGUUUCCUCGGUCAUGCUGGUUUUUAUAGGCGCUUCACUAAAGAUUUCUAGGCCACUAACUAACCUUCUUCAAAAGAUAUUCCUUUUGUUUUUGUGAUGAUUGUGCAUAAUCCUUUGAAAUACUUAAGAAAGCCUUGAUUUCUGCACCUUUCUGCACCUAUUGUACAACCAACUAAUUGGAAUUUACCAUUUGAGAUUAUGUGUGAUGCUAGUAAUUAUGUUGUUGGUGUUGUUCUAGGGCAAAGAGUAGACAAGAAAUUGAAUGUUAUUCAUUAUGCUAGUAAAACCCUAGAUAGUGCUCAAAGAAACUAUGCUACUCAUACAUCUCCAAUGUAUCUAUAAUUUUUUAUUGUUCCAUGCUAUUAUAUUAUCAUUCCAGGAUACUUUUUGUGUAUUUUUACACCAAUUUAUAUUACUUUUGAGCACUGACCUAUUGACUGAGUGCCCAAUGUCAGUUGCUAUUUAUGCGUGUUUUUAUAUUUUUAGGUUUACAGUACCAAACAAAGUCCAAUUUCCACGAAACUUUUUGGUGAUUUUUCUUAGACCAAAAGAAGACCUGAAAGCUUCGGGAGUAGGCUUGAAGCCUCACAAGAGGGGCACCACACAACAGGGCGCACCUAGGGGGUGGUCGCACCCUAUUUCCUCGUGCCCCCUCGGCUGCCUCCUUGCAUACCUCUUUGUCCUAUAAAUUCACAUUAAUCCCAAAAACCCUAGGGAGCACCCUGAAACACUUUUUCCGCCACCGCAAGUCUCUGUCUUGCCGUGAGGCCAUUUGGAGCCCUUUUCUGGUGCCCUGUCGGAGGAGGAAUCGAUCAUGGAGGACCUAUACAUCCACCUCGCUGCUCCCAUGGUAAUGUGUGAGUAGUUCACCACAAACCUAUGGGUACGUAGUUAGUACCUAGAUGGCUCUCUCUCUCUUGAUCUUCAAUACAAUGAUCAUCGCAUCUUCGCUUUUAUCUAUCCGAUGUAACUCUUUUGUGCGGUGCGUUUGUUGGGAUCCGAUGAAUUUUGGAUUUAUGUUCAGAUUAUUCAUGAAAAAUAUUGGAGUCUUCUCUGAAUUCUAAAUAUGAUUCUUAUGUGCAUGAUCAUCAUAGCUUCAUAAAUCUCUCUGAUCUUUCUUCAGUGAGGGAGGUGUAUUGAAGUAACUUCAGUGAGAAAGGUGUGUUGGAGUGACUUCAUUCCGACGGGUUUCUAUAUGGGGACAAGAUACUUCUUUGUAUUGUUACCACUAAGGAUAAAAUGAUGGGGAUAAUUCAUAUUAAUUGAUUUCUCUCUGUCUACAUCAUGUCAUCAUUCUCCAAGCAUUACUUUGUUUUACUUAAUAAUCUAGAUGCAUGCUGAAUAGUGGUCGAUGGGUGGAGUAAUAUUAAUAGGUGCUGGCAGGAGUCGGCCUAUUUGCUCAUGGACGUAAUGCAUAUAUACACAAGAUCAUUGUCGUGAAUAUCACAUAACUAUCUUCUUUUCUAUCAAUCGCCCAGCAGUAAUUUGUCUACCCACCAUAUGCUUACUUUCAUGAGAGAUGCCGCUAGGGAGCGCUAUGGCUCGUGGGUCCAUUCGCUUAUAAAUUUACAAUUGCUAGAAUUUCCUCGCUGCCUUUAAUUAUUUGUUAUUUGCUUUUCACUUUGCAACUUCCAACCACACUACACUUGCUUGGAAAUAACGAGACAAAGGGAUUGACAACCCUCUUACCUGCAUUGGGUGCAACUGUUUGUUUCUUCUAUGUGCAGUUGCUAAAUAUGGGUGUUGGUUGUUACUCCUAUUGGUCAAAUAAACCUUGGUUCUCUAGUGGGGGAAUACUUACCUAUAUUGUGAUGCAUCACCCGUUCCUCUUCACGGAAAACCCAUCAUAGAGCACAAGCAUCAGGAAGGAUAUGUGGCGCCAUUGUUGGGGAGUAUCAUCAACCUACUAUCAAGCCACUUCACACAAACUAUCAUUCAAUUGUUCUUCUUUUUAUUUGCUGUUAUAUUUUGCUUGCUCCAUAAAAAUCAAACAUACAAAAUAUUUAUCUUUGCUUGUUGCUAGUUUACUUUUUUGGUCGCUUUACUUGGUAGUUUGCUUGUCCUGCUUGUCACUUUUCUUGCUUGGUCACCGUGUCUCAAGAUACUACUAAGUUUUGUGACUUCUCAAAUACUAAUAAUAAUGAUUUUAUUAGUACUCAUAUACCACCCGUCACUAAUGCGGAGGCUUAUGAUAUAAAUGUUGCAUUGCUGAAUCUUGUCAUGAAAGAACAAGUUUUGGGAAGUCCUAAUGAGAGUCCCGCUGCUCAUCUUAAUACCUUUGUUGAAAUUUGUCAUAUGCAAAAUAAAAAGGACAUGGAUAAUGAUAUUGUGAAAUUAAAGUUAUUUCCUUUUUAACUAAUAGGUAAAGCUAAAUCUUGGUUCUCUUCUUUAUCACGUAAUAGUAUUGGAACAUGGGAUAAGUGUAAAUAUGUCUUUAUUACCAAGUAUUUUCCUACUGCUAAGAUCAUCUCCCUUAGAAAUCAAAUAAUGAAUUUUAAACAGCAUGAUCGUGAAAAUGUUGCACAAGCUUUGAACGGGAUGAAAUUGAUGAUAAGAAAUUGCCCUACUCAUGAUUGAAACUUGUGGAUGAUUAUCCAAAACUCCUAUGCUCGACUAAACUUUGUAUCUAGAAAUCUUCUAGAUUCUCCUGCAGGUUGUACCUUCAUGGAGGUGACCUUAGGAGAGUCCACCAAACUUCUAGACAACAUCAUGACCAACUACUCUCAAUGGCAUACCGAAAGUGCUCCAACUGGUAGAAAGGUAAACUGUGUUGAGGAAAUUGUUACCUUGAGUGAAAAAGUUGAUGCUCUUAUGAAUUUGAUUGCUAAUAAAAAUGCUCAUGUUGAUACUAAUGAAAUGCCCUUGUAUACUUUGAUUGAUCAAAAUGAUAAUGUAAUUGAUAUGAAUUUUAUUUCACUAAAUAAUUUUAAUAACAAUGCAUAUAUGGGUAAUCUUAAUGCUAGGCCAUAUCUCGGUAACUCCUUUAAUGGUUAUGGCAACUCUUAUGGUAAUUCUUAUGGAAAUCCUUCUACCAAUAAUAAUAAUUUCUCCUAUGAUAUUGAAAACACAAAUAAAGAGUUCAUUAAUUCUCAAAAGGGUUUCAACACUACGGUAGAGGAAAAGAUGCAUAAGAUUGAUGAUAUAGCUAGGAACAUGGAUAGAAUUGCCCUUGAUGUAGAAACUCUUAAAGGUAAAACUUUGCCACCAAAGCAUGACUUUAAUGAUACUAUUAAAUCUAUCCAAAUAUCUAUCAAUGAAAGUAAGGAGAUGUCGUGGGUAUAAGUCUGAUAGUAGAUGUGUAGGGUACGAAAGGAUGGGCAGAGCCUUAGCUACGGCGAGGUUGUAUGAGUUCAGGCCCCUCUGCGGUGGAGGUAAAAGCCCUACGUCUCAAUGCUCUUGGGAGCUUAGUGUCGAGUGGAAUAUAGGAUUACAGUAAAUGCCAACCCCUGCACCAGUGGGGAAGGGCGGUUUAUAUAGAGUGCGCUGUCCUUCACAACGGCCCGGUGGACAGGGGUGGAGUAGUGGCGAAUAAAUGCCUACGUUAUAGGUAACGUAUGCCUUAAAUGCUAAUAAUGGUGUAUGAAAACGUAUGACCGUUGCCCUCCUGGGAGGUUACGAUGUACAGAGUGGAAUUCAGUCAGUACGAUAAAUAUGCUCCGAAUGCUCGUCACCGACUGGAUGAUGGGGGGUCCUUAGUUCAGUCGGAACUGUCUAAGGGCCUUGCCCUCUAUGAAGGGUAGUCCUUGGGUAGGACCUAUAGGGCAGGCCUAUGACCCUACCCUCGGACUAUAACCCCAUCAUUAGUCCCCGAAUGGAUCGGGGUUGGAAUGACGAAGUGGUGCCUGGAGUACGGAUCCGACUGGUAUGGAUGUGACUUUGGCGUUGUUUGCCUCGAUCCAUUUUAUCCUUUCGACCAGUGAUCCGAGUGAAUAUACCAGUGAAACGAACCGUCAGGGACCGAGUGCUUCCGCAAAAUCUUUUGAUGUGACCGGUCAAACUGACAGCGGCGGAUUUUCUGGGAUCUUCAGAUUUCGGUUGCCGCGCGCUUAGCGGGGAUGUCGACAUCGUCAUCGAGUAGUUUCUGCCGCCUCGAUUACCGCGCCUUUAUCUUCUCCACUAAUAUCGCAGCAGCUGGUCGGGGGAUAAGAUUUCGGGGCCACCUGUUAGUGACCCAGUCGGAAACUUAUUUAAGCCUCUUCGGUGGGGGUUUCUUGUUGCGCUGCCCUUGUUACUCGCACUCGCCUCGCUUCUCCCGUAGCUCCCUCGCGUUCCAAGCCUCCUCCUUCCUCUCCUCCUCUGCGGAUCUGCUGCCUUCACCAUGACGAAGGGGUAGACGAGCAAGCUCGAGUCGCAGAAGAAGAAGAAGAAGGUGGCGGCUCCUGCUCAGCGGUGACAGCGAGCACUACCGGCGGGUUGGAUCCAGGGGGAUUUUCUCCCCUCCACGGUGACGGCGGACGACCUUCUGGAGCUGGUGGAGCAAGGCAUGAUUGCCAACAAGUCGUGGAGGCUGCCGGCGGAGGGCGAGACGGAGCCGGCACCGUAGGAGGGAGAGCGCGUCUUGCUGCUCAGCCACGUGUACAGGGGCUUCUCCUUGCCUCCCCACCCCUUCUUUAGAGGUAUUAUGAAUCACUUCGAGGCGCAGCUCCAUCAUUUUCCUCCCAACGCGAUAGCCCAUCUCGCCGCAUUCGUCACUCUGUGCGAGUGCUUUAUUGGAUGCCCCCCCAUUGGGGGCUCUUUAAGUACAUCUUCUCCGCUAGGUCUCAGACUGUCAAAAAGCUUAGCCAGUCGGACGAUAAAACCCAUCUCCUCCAGCUCUGCGGGGGCUUAGGCUUCCAAAAGAAAACGAAGAGUAACUACCCCCCUCUCCAGUUGUUCGAGUCAGUUAGGAACUGGCAGUCGACCUGGUUCUACUGCCAGGACAUAGCUUGUCCGAAUGAUGCGACUGGGUUGCCGCCCUUUAGCCUAGACCGUCCGGCUCCUCCCAGGCAACUUGCGCUCUCCAAGUUGGAAAAGAUCUAGAUCCAGCCUCUGGUCAACGCGCUGAUAGCCGUCGUCCGCAAGGGAGUCACCGGCACGGACUUGCUGGAGACCUUUCUGGGUCGGCGCAUCCAGCCGCUGCAAGCCCGACACCAUGCCAUGUGGCACUAUGUGGGGCCUGAGGAUUCCACUCGGACUCACCCAGAGUGCGUGACCGGGGAAACGGUGACAGCGUGGGUCCGCGGCAUCACAGGCGCAUGCGACAACCCCCAAGGAGCCCGACGAGUGAGGCCCUUCCGCGCCGACAACCCUCCUCCGAAUGAGGUGAGCGCCUCUUGUCGAGUGCUUUCAAUCUUCUUAGAUUUAUCACUUUUCUUGUGUCGCCGCUUGGUGUCUGACGUUGUCGACUGUAUUUUGUGCAGGAGUGGACCAACUGGCAUUCUCCCGUCUCGAACGGGAAUCCCGCUGAGGAAGAGGAGGGCAGCCAGGAGGGCAGCGUGGAUAGCGCCGAGUACGUCUCCAACAGUGGGGAGACGGAGGAGGAGUCUCAAGAGGAGGAGGGGGAGGUUGGGGAGCAGAGCUCGCCACCUCCACCAUCAGAGCCUCGAACUAAGCGCCGUCACGAACCCUCGGCUCCGCCGGCUCCUCCAGCAGUUCUGAGUGCUCCGCCCACUUCUCCCGUGGCUCCGAGUGCUCCGCCAGCUCCUCCCGUGGCUCCGAGUGCUCGGAGCGUGAAGAGGACCAGGGACGCUGCUGCCGAGCCUACGAACCAACCGUCCAAGGUGGCCAAAUCGAGUGGGCCCAAGCCUCGGAAAGCUUUGCCUCGGAUGAGGAUCGCUGUUCCAGUUGCCUCAGUGUAAGUGUCUUGUUCUCCCAUCUUCUUUCAAUAUUUUACUGAACUCAUGCUUAUCGGACGAGUGGAUUUUACUCGACAGAGCUGCCACCUCCGCCACCUCUCUGCCGCGCCAGGACGAUGAUCCCAUGGAUACGGAUAACGCUGCCACAUCUCAGCAAGGUACGUUGUGACGACUCUGAGAGUUUGCAUUAUUGUUUCGCGAGUGUUGUCUUUAAUCUUGCCCUUUUUCUGCAACCUCAUGUUGUUCAGUCGGGCUUCCUUCGGAGGUGAUUCAUCUAGAGGAGGACAACCAAAGGGGAUCAGGGCCAACUUUGGCGCCUGUCCUUGAGGUUGUUCCAUCUGCUGCUGCUCCCACCGUGGACGCGCCGCCGACCGAGCCGAUGCCGUCGACUGAGGCGGUGUCCCUCGCGGCGGAACCGACUGGAACGGGACUUGGGAUGCCCAAGGAGUCUUCUAUCGUGCCAGGUCCAUCGACCGUCCAGUACGACGCCCGACACCUCCCGGAAGGCCAAGUGGGAGCCGCCAAGGAGGCCAUGGUGCGGGUGGAGUUGAUGGUGGGUGAUGCCAAGGGAGCGUACGACUCCAUCGCGUCUUUGUACAAGAGAAGCUUGGAGCUCCGAGACGAUAUCCGAGUAAGUGCGCUAGUAAGUGUUUACUUCCCUCUUGUAACCCACUGGGGGUCCAAGUGAUAUACUCGGAUACAGUAGGAUUAUUUUGCAGUGGGUUCAUUCAGAGUGAACCCAGUGGGUGUAGUCCCCGAGACUUCUGUCGAGUGCUUGCACCGGCAGUUGUCUUUAUAUGUAUUUCCCGUUAUCCGAGCAGAUCUGAGCUGGUCUGCCCGAAUAUUACCAGUGGGGGCACUCGGAGUGCAUCCACUGGAUGUAGUCCCCGAGAGUAGUGUUACUCAGGUCGGGUAAUAGCAUUCUCAUAGAUUUGUAUAUUUGUCAUGUAGCUCAAUAGGGCCGGCCUGUUCGAGCUUCAUGCCAGUGGGGUCACUCUUAGUGAACCCACUGGGUGUAGUCCCCGAGACCGCUGUCGAGUGCUUGCAUCGGCAGGGGUCUGAAGAACUUUGAGCUUUGUUUGUUUUCCUUGUCGAAUGUGUUUGAGCUUCCCUUUGCGCUGAUUUGGCAGAAGACUUGCGAAAUGGGAUCCGCGUACAAUGCUCUGAAGGCUGAAAACGUUCAGCUUGCUGCGGAAUUGGAGGCGGCUGUGAAUGACUUGGCUGGUGUGAAGGGGGCUCUUGCUGACCGAGAGAAGUCUUUGGAGGAGUCCCGGGAGACCAACAAGGCAUUGGUGGCCGAAAUUGAGAAAAUGGGCAAGCAAAGAAGUGAACUGAUGGGUCAAAUGAAGGUGAUGAACCAUCGAUGCAUUUCGCAGGAGAAGUAUGUCAACGACUGGGCAAGGAAGAUGAUUGCACUGCUCGGUGCUAAGCUUCUUGUCGAGUGCUUCUUGACUUUGUAAUUCAUUCUGCGCUUACUUUCUGCUCUUCUUUUCUUUGUAGAUUUUUGUCUGGACGCUGAGGCUGAAGCAGCCGACAUUGAACGAUCGGUUGUUCCGAACGUUCCACUCGGCGAUGAAGCCAAUCGGGACAUGCUCCGAGCACAUGUUCGCCUUGGCAGAGUGGGACCUUUCAUCGGUCGUCUGAGAGAAGUCAUCGGCCGGAUCGACAAGGAGCUAUGGCCCGAAGACGAUUCCCGACAGGAAAUAGAAGGGUGAUGACUCGGCUGGAGGACGUCCCGAACAGAGUGCAGGCAUGGAAAAAGUCUGCCGCUCAUUGUGGUGCGGACGUGGCGCUAUCGCUGGUCCGAGUGCACUGCAAGGAAGCUCGUGAAGAAAAGCUGAAGGCGUUGCAGGUCGCCAACACCAAGAAGCUUCGAUUCGAAGAUUUCAUGGAGACCUUCCUCGAGACAGCCACUCGUAUCGCGGACGGGAUCGAUCUUGAGACCUUUGUGGAGCCUGCUAGUCCCGGUGCCAGUCCUGAUGACGCUUGAAAAACUUUACCUCGGUAUGCCGAGUGGUAUCUGUAUCAAACUUGGGCCACUGCUGUUGGCGUCACAUUCGUGGUUCGGUGUGGAUAAGCUUGAUCCACACCGAGCCGACUAUCGUAGAUGCAACUUUGAAUUCCAAUAGAAUAUUUUGCUCUUCUUUCGCCAAGUUUAUUUUCUGACACGAUUUUGGCUCGUGGUUUUUGUUUGGCGUUUCUUGGUGAAGCCAAUGGCAAACAUGCGGAGCAUGUAAUUGUCAGUUGUCUUCACAUCCACAUGAGCCUCAAUGAGGGUCUGCUAAGCCUCCGAGUGGAUCUCGAGGAUACACUCAAAGGGAGCUUUUUACUUAGGCGAUUUUGGAUCGCAGCUAAGUCCCCGAGCGCGACAUCUUGUGCGCACUCGGAGUCAGUUGAUACUCAUGUAGUUGUCAGUUGUCUUCACAUCCACAUGAGCCUCAAUGAGGGUCUGCUAAGCCUCCGAGUGGAUCUCGAGGAUACACUCGAAGGAAGCUUUUCACUUAGGCGAUUCUGGAUCGCAACUAAGUCCCCGAGUGCGGCAUCUCGUGCGCACUCGGAGUGAGUUGAUACUCAUGUAGUUGUCAGUUGUCUUCACAUCCACAUGAGCCUCAAUGAGGGUCUGCUAAGCCUCCGAGUGGAUCUCGAGGAUACACUCGAAGGAAGCUUUUCACUUAGGCGAUUCUGGAUCGCAACUAAGUCCCCGAGUGCGGCAUCUCGUGCGCACUCGGAGUGAGUUGAUACUCAUGUAGUUGUCAGUUGUCUUCACAUCCACAUGAGCCUCAAUGAGGGUCUGCUAAGCCUCCGAGUGGAUCUCGAGGAUACACUCGAAGGAAGCUUUUCACUUAGGCGAUUCUGGAUCGCAACUAAGUCCCCGAGUGCGGCAUCUCGUGCGCACUCGGAGUGAGUUGAUACUCAUGUAGUUGUCAGUUGUCUUCACAUCCACAUGAGCCUCAAUGAGGGUCUGCUAAGCCUCCGAGUGGAUCUCGAGGAUACACUCGAAGGAAGCUUUUUACUUAGGCGAUUCUGGAUCGCAGCUAAGUCCCCGAGUGCGGCUGUUAGCGCACACUCGGAGAGAAUUUUUUACUUAGGCGAUUCUGGAUCGCAGCUAAGUCCCCGAGUGCGGCUGUUAGCGCACACUCGGAGAGAAUUUUUUACUUAGGCGAUUCUGGAUCGCAGCUAAGUCCCCGAGUGCGGCUGUUAGCACACACUCGGAGAGAUUUUUUUUUAGACCGGAGUGUGCAAACGCGGAAGAAUUUUGGACGUGCAAAAAAUCAGUCUGCUUUGUAUUACUUCAAUGAUACUUGUUCUUUACAUUGCCUCCGUCGGCGGUCACGUGUAGAAGCGCUUCAGGAGUUCUCCGUUCCAUGCUCGCGGCUCGUCUGUUUCCCUGUCGAGGUUGUAGAGUCGAUAUGCUCCGCUGUUCAGCACCUUAGAGAUGAUGAAGGGUCCUUCCCAGGCGGGAGCCAACUUGUGAGGCCUCUGCUGGUCCACUCGGAGCACCAGGUCACCUGCUUGGAAUGUGCGACUCCUGACGUGCCGCGCGUGAAAAUGCCGCAGAUCUUGUUGAUAAAUUGUUGAGCGAGUCAGUGCCAUCUCGUGCUCUUCUUCUAGUAGAUACACUCCGUCUUGCCUGGCCUGCUCCGCUUCGGCUUCGGAGAAGAGUUCGACUCGUGGAGAGUUGUGAAGCAAGUCACUCGGAAGGACUGCCUCUGCUCCAUAAACGAGGAAGAAUGGGGAUCGCCCUGUAGAUCUAUUCGGAGUUGUGCGGAGGCCCCACAACACCGAAGGCAGCUCGGUGACCCAUGCGCCGGCGGCAUGUCCAACUUCUCGCAUGAGUCGAGGCUUCAACCCUUGAAGAAUAAGUCCGUUCGCCCGCUCUACUUGCCCGUUGGUUUGAGGGUGCGCCACAGAUGCAAAAUCCACUCGGAUACCUUGGCAUGUGCAAAAACCUUUGAAUCUGUCCGAGUCAAAGUUUGUGCCAUUGUCAGUGAUUAUGCUGUGCGAGACUCCGAAUCUGGAGAUGAUGUCUCUGACAAAUUUGAUGGUUGUAAGGGCGUCGAGCUUAUUGAUGUGCUUGGCUUCAAUCCACUUGGUGAACUUGUCGACUGCCACCAAUAGAUGAGUGAAUCCCCCUUGGCCUGUUCUGAAUGGACCGACUAUAUCUAAUCCCCACACUGCAAACGGCCAAACAAGAGGGAUUGUCUUCAGCGCAGAUGUUGGCUUGUGGGACUUGUUCGAAUAGAACUGACAGCCUUCGCAUCGGUCGACCAUAUCCUUUGCCAUUUCAUUCGCCUGCAACCAGAAGAAGCCAGCUCUGAAUGCUUUGGCGACGAUUGCUCUUGAGGAGGCAUGAUGACCGCAAGUUCCCGAGUGAAUUUCUUCCAGGAUUAACUGUCCCUCCUCAGGGGAGAUGCAUCGCUGAAGGACUCCUGAAACACUUUCCUUGUACAACUGGGCAUCAAUGACGGUGAAGGACUUCGACCUGUGGACGAUCUGCCUCGCUUGGACUCCGUCCUCUGGUAAUUCUUGCCUCAGGAUGUAUGCAAUGAACGACACAGUCCAAUCGGGGAUGAUAGCAAGAAUCUCCAUGAUCAAAUCAACCACAGCGGGGACCUCGACUUCAGUCGGAUCUGUUGAGCUCUUCGGUUGUACCGGUUCCUCUGUAAAGGGGUCUUCUUUCACCGAAGGGAGAUGUAGGUGCUCGAGGCAGACAUCACUCGGGACUGGUCUCCGAGUGGAUCCGAGUUUUGCCAACUCAUCAGCUGCUUGGUUCUUCAGUCGCGGAACAUGGUGAAGUUCCAUACCUUCAAACUUCUUCUCGAGCUUCCUUACUGCGUUGCAGUAUGCAGUCAUGGUGGGGUUCCUGACAUCCCACUCCUUCAUCACUUGAUUAACCACCAAAUCUGAAUCGCCAUAGACCAUCAGGUGACGGACGCCGAGUGUGAUGGCCAUGCGCAGUCCGUAAAGGAGAGCUUCAUACUCUGCCUCAUUGUUGGAAGAAUCAAAAUGUAUCUGCAACGCAUACUUAAGCUUAUCACCUUUCGGCGAUAUGAUCACUACGCCAGCGCCGGAGCCAUUCAGCAUCUUGGACCCAUCGAAGAACAUAGUCCAAUGAGCCGAGUAGAUGUGAGUCAGUUGCUGUUGUUCUACCCAUUCUGCUAUGAAGUCAGCCAGAGCUUGAGACUUUAUAGCCUUCUUGGCUUCAAACUUGAUGUCGCAGUAUAACAUCUCCAUAGCCCACUUCGCCACUCAGCCUGAUGCGUCUCGAUUGUGGAGGAUUUCCGACAACGGAGCAUCAGAAAUGACAGACACCGAGUGGUCUUGGAAAUAGUGAGCCGCCUUCUUUGCAGUCAUGUAGAUCCCAUAAAUAAGCUUUUGAUAAUGGGGAUACCUCUGCUUGGAAGGAGUCAGGACUUCAGAGACAUAAUAUACUAGCCGCUGAACCUUGUACGCUUUGCCUUCUUCUUCACGUUCGACUGUGAGAACAGUGCUGACGACUUGAUUUGUAGCCGCGAUGUACAGAAGAAGGGGUUCUUUACUGAGCGGGGCAGUAAGAACCGGCUGGGUGGAAAGGAGGGCUUUGAGGUCGUCGAAUGCAAUCUGGGCUUCGUCUGUCCACUCAAAAGUAUCUGAUUUCUUCAUGAGUCGGUACAGAGGUAACGCCUUCUCGCCGAGUCGAGCGAUAAACCUGCUCAAAGCCGCUAGGCAACCUGUGAGCCUUUGAACAUCAUGUAUUCUGACCGGCCGCUCCAUUCGGAUGAUGGUCCUGAUCUUUUCGGGGUUGACAUCGAUUCCUCAUUCGGAAACGAAGAAACCUAGUAACUUUCCGCUGGGAACACCGAAUGAACACUUGGCAGGGUUGAGCUUGAUAUCGUACCUACGAAGGUUGGCGAAUGUUUCUGCCAAGUCAGUCAGCAGGUCGGAACCUUUGCAUGACUUGACUACGAUAUCGUCCAUAUAUGCCUCCACAUUUCGACCGAUCUGGUCAAGGAGGCAUUUCUGGAUCAUGCGCAUAAAAUUUGCUCCUGCAUUCUUCAAACCAAAUGGCAUAGUGAUGUAGCAGAAACACCCGAAUGGGGUGAUGAAGGCUGUUUUUAAUUCAUCCGGACCAUACAGACGGAUCUGAUGAUAGCCCGAAUAGGCAUCAAGGAAUGAUAAACGCUCGCAACCCGCAGUCGAAUCGACAAUUUGAUCAAUGCGGGGGAGCAGGAAAUGAUCUUUCGGGUAGACCUUAUUGAGAUGCUUGAAGUCGAUGCACAUACUGAGGGACUUGUCCUUUUUGGGCACCAUGACAACAUUGGCGAGCCACUCGGAGUGGUGUACCUCGCGAAUGAAGUUGGCUGCCAAAAGUUUAGCCACCUCCUCUCCGAUUGCCUUCCUUUUGUGCGCGGCGGACCGACGCAGGCGUUCUUGGACGGGCCGAGCGGUAGGAUCCACAUGUAGUCAGUGCUCAGCCAACUCCCUAGGUACACCUGGCAUGUCAGCGGGCUUCCAUGCGAAAAUGUCCCAGUUCUCAUGGAGGAAUUGGAUGAGCUCAGCUUCCUAUUUUGGAUCAAGGGUGGUGGAGAUGUUCGUCGGGGCGGCGGUGUCGUCCGUCGGGUGGACGCUAACUUUCUUCGUGUCGCCCAUCGACUGGAAUGCGGACUCCGAAGCUGGCUUCUUCGAACGCAUCAAGUCAGCGGGGUCGGCUGUCUUCUUGUACUCAUCCAGCUCGAGGAUAGCCAUCUGCUGAUCGGCAAUCCGCGACCCCUGCUGCACACACUCUUCGGCCCGCUGCUGAUUGCCUGUGAUGGUGAUCACACCUUUGGGACCCGGCAUCUUCAGCUUCAAAUACACGUAACAUGGACGGGCCAUGAAACGUGCAUACGCCGGACGGCCCAGAAUUGCAUGGUAUGCACUCUGGAAGUCCACCACCUCGAAUGUCAGCUUUUCCUUGCGGAAGUUCUUGUCGAUCGGAGCCGAAAACGACGUCCAACGCGAUCUGGCCGAGUGACUUGGCCUUUCUGUUGGAAUUAUGCCCUAGAGGCAAUAAUAAAUGUAUAGUUAUUAUUAUAAUUCCUGUAUCAAGAUAAUAGUUUAUUAUCCAUGCUAUAAUUGUAUCAAUCAUGUUGUUAGACAACAAUGAACCUGCAAAUUAUGAAGAAGCAAUGGUGGGCCCAGAUUCCAACAAAUGGCUAGAAGCCAUGAAAUCUGAGAUAGGAUCCAUGUAUGAGAACAAAGUGUGGACUUUGGAGAUACUACCUGAGGGCCGCAAGGCUAUUCAGAACAAAUGGAUCUUUAAGAAGAAGACGGACGCUGACGGUAAUGUGACCGUUUAUAAAGCUCGACUUGUGGCAAAGGGUUUUUCACAAGUUCCAGGAGUUGACUACGAUGAGACUUUCUCACCCGUAGCGAUGCUUAAGUCCGUCAGAAUCAUGUUAGCAAUAGCUGCAUUUUUCGAUUAUGAAAUCUGGCAGAUGGAUGUCAAAACGGCAUUCCNNNNNNNNNNNNNNNNNNNNNNNNNNNNNNNNNNNNNNNNNNNNNNNNNNNNNNNNNNNNNNNNNNNNNNNNNNNNNNNNNNNNNNNNNNNNNNNNNNNNNNNNNNNNNNNNNNNNNNNNNNNNNNNNNNNNNNNNNNNNNNNNNNNNNNNNNNNNNNNNNNNNNNNNNNNNNNNNNNNNNNNNNNNNNNNNNNNNNNNNNNNNNNNNNNNNNNNNNNNNNNNNNNNNNNNNNNNNNNNNNNNNNNNNNNNNNNNNNNNNNNNNNNNNNNNNNNNNNNNNNNNNNNNNNNNNNNNNNNNNNNNNNNNNNNNNNNNNNNNNNNNNNNNNNNNNNNNNNNNNNNNNNNNNNNNNNNNNNNNNNNNNNNNNNNNNNNNNNNNNNNNNNNNNNNNNNNNNNNNNNNNNNNNNNNNNNNNNNNNNNNNNNNNNNNNNNNNNNNNNNNNNNNNNNNNNNNNNNNNNNNNNNNNNNNNNNNNNNNNNNNNNNNNNNNNNNNNNNNNNNNNNNNNNNNNNNNNNNNNNNNNNNNNNNNNNNNNNNNNNNNNNNNNNNNNNNNNNNNNNNNNNNNNNNNNNNNNNNNNNNNNNNNNNNNNNNNNNNNNNNNNNNNNNNNNNNNNNNNNNNNNNNNNNNNNNNNNNNNNNNNNNNNNNNNNNNNNNNNNNNNNNNNNNNNNNNNNNNNNNNNNNNNNNNNNNNNNNNNNNNNNNNNNNNNNNNNNNNNNNNNNNNNNNNNNNNNNNNNNNNNNNNNNNNNNNNNNNNNNNNNNNNNNNNNNNNNNNNNNNNNNNNNNNNNNNNNNNNNNNNNNNNNNNNNNNNNNNNNNNNNNNNNNNNNNNNNNNNNNNNNNNNNNNNNNNNNNNNNNNNNNNNNNNNNNNNNNNNNNNNNNNNNNNNNNNNNNNNNNNNNNNNNNNNNNNNNNNNNNNNNNNNNNNNNNNNNNNNNNNNNNNNNNNNNNNNNNNNNNNNNNNNNNNNNNNNNNNNNNNNNNNNNNNNNNNNNNNNNNNNNNNNNNNNNNNNNNNNNNNNNNNNNNNNNNNNNNNNNNNNNNNNNNNNNNNNNNNNNNNNNNNNNNNNNNNNNNNNNNNNNNNNNNNNNNNNNNNNNNNNNNNNNNNNNNNNNNNNNNNNNNNNNNNNNNNNNNNNNNNNNNNNNNNNNNNNNNNNNNNNNNNNNNNNNNNNNNNNNNNNNNNNNNNNNNNNNNNNNNNNNNNNNNNNNNNNNNNNNNNNNNNNNNNNNNNNNNNNNNNNNNNNNNNNNNNNNNNNNNNNNNNNNNNNNNNNNNNNNNNNNNNNNNNNNNNNNNNNNNNNNNNNNNNNNNNNNNNNNNNNNNNNNNNNNNNNNNNNNNNNNNNNNNNNNNNNNNNNNNNNNNNNNNNNNNNNNNNNNNNNNNNNNNNNNNNNNNNNNNNNNNNNNNNNNNNNNNNNNNNNNNNNNNNNNNNNNNNNNNNNNNNNNNNNNNNNNNNNNNNNNNNNNNNNNNNNNNNNNNNNNNNNNNNNNNNNNNNNNNNNNNNNNNNNNNNNNNNNNNNNNNNNNNNNNNNNNNNNNNNNNNNNNNNNNNNNNNNNNNNNNNNNNNNNNNNNNNNNNNNNNNNNNNNNNNNNNNNNNNNNNNNNNNNNNNNNNNNNNNNNNNNNNNNNNNNNNNNNNNNNNNNNNNNGUUGGGUUAGUAUGGAUCAAGACUGGGAUUUGUCACUCCGUAUGACGGAGAGGUAUCUCGGGGCCCACUCGGUAAUACAACAUCACACACAAGCCUUGCAAGCAAUGUAACUUAGUGUAAGUUGCAGGAUCUUGUAUUACGGAACGAGUAAAGAGACUUGCCGAUAAACGAGAUUGAAAUAGGUAUGCGGAUACUGACGAUCAAAUCUCGGGCAAGUAACAUACCGAAGGACAAAGGGAAUAACAUACGGGAUUAUAUGAAUCCUUGGCACUGAGGUUCAAACGAUAAGAUCUUCGUAGAAUAUGUAGGAUCCAAUAUGGGCAUCCAGGUCCCGCUAUUGGAUAUUGACCGAGAAGUCUCUCGGGUCAUGUCUACAUAGUUCUCGAACCCGCAGGGUCUGCACACUUAAGGUUCGACGUUGUUUUAUGCGUAUUUGAGUUAUAUGGUUGGUUACUGAAUGUUGUUCGGAGUCCCGGAUGAGAUCACGGACGUCACGAGGGUUUCCGGAAUGGUCCGGAAACGAAGAUUGAUAUAUAGGAUGACCUCAUUUGAUUACCGGAAGGUUUUCGGAGUUACCGGGAAUGUACCGGGAAUGACGAAUGGGUUCCGGGAGUUCACCGGGGGGGCAACCCACCCCGGGGAAGCCCAUAGGCUUUGGGGAGACACACCAGCCCUUAGUGGGCUGGUGGGACAGCCCCAAAGGGGCCUAUGCGCCAAGAGAAAGAAAAUCAAAGAAAAAGAAGAAAAAAAGAGGGAAGAAGUGGGAAGGGAGGGGGACUCCUCCCACCAAACCAAGUCCAACUCGGUUUGGGGGGGGAGUCCUCCCCCCCUUGGCUCGGCCGACCCCUUGGGAGUCCCUUGGACCCCAAGGCAAGGUUCCCCUCCCUCCUCCUAUAUAUAUGGGGCUUUUAGGGCAGAUUUGAGACGACUUUCUCACGGCUGCCCGACCACAUACCUCCAUAGUUUUUCCUCUAGAUCGCGUUUCUGCGGAGCUCGGGCGGAGCCCUGCUGAGACGAGAUCAUCACCAACCUCCGGAGCGCCGUCACGCUGCCGGAGAACUCUUCUACCUCUCCGUCUCUCUUGCUGGAUCAAGAAGGCCGAGAUCAUCGUCGAGCUGUACAUGUGCUGAACGCGGAGGUGCCGUCCGUUCGGUACUAGAUCGUGGGACUGAUCGCGGGAUUGUUCGCGGGGCGGAUCGAGGGACGUGAGGACGUUCCACUACAUCAACCGCGUUCUCUAACGCUUCUGUUGUACGAUCUACAAGGGUACGUAGAUCACUCAUCCCCUCUCGUAGAUGGACAUCACCAUGAUAGGUCUUCGUGCGCGUAGGAAAAUUUUUGUUUCCCAUGCGACGUUCCCCAACACUUUCGUCCUGGGACGACUCCGUGGAACUGCAUGCUGCUCUCGCUAAGUUUGGACAUCGGAAUGCCCAUCCCCUUGAGAGUGUCAGCGUACAUGAUGUUCAAGCCGCUGCCGCCAUCCAUGAGGACUUUGCGCAGUCGGACUCCUUCCACCAUCGGGUCAACUACGAGAGCCUGCCUCCCCGGGGUGGGCACGUGUGCUGGAUGAUACGACUGAUCAAAGGUGAUCGCAGUCUGAGACCAUUUGAGGAAAGUGGGGUUGGUCGGGGUGGCCAUGUUCACCUCCCUGUUCACCAGCUUCAGUCGACUCUUUCUUUCCACGUCAGCAAAAAUCAUUAAUGUUGCAUGGACUUGGGGGAAUUGAUCCUCCUUGUCCUCAUCAUCCCGCUCAUUGUCCUUUUCACUCGGCUGCCCUUCGCCGAACCCUUGGAUCAGGAGGCGACAUUGCCGAGUGGUGUGCUUCGGGAAUAUGGCGUUGCCUUCUUCAUCCAUCUUCGUGUGGAUUGGACAUGGCUGAUCCAGGAUGGAGUUCCCGAACUACUUCUUCUUGGGGGUGUACUGAGCUUUCCCCUUGCCCUUGAACUUGGCAUUUGUAACGGCAGCUGCCUCUGCCUGCGGAGUGGACGGAGCUUUCUGCUUUUGCUUCCGAUUGCUGUUCCCAUCUCCGUCGGUGACUGCCUUGUGCUUGCCGCUACGUAUGCGGUCCUCUUCUUCGCCAUUUGCAUAGCGUGCGGCUAUCUCCAUCAUCUUGCUCAUGGAGAUGUCGCCUGUCCAAUCGAACUUCAGGUACAGAUCUAUGUACCGCACGCCUGCCUUGAACGCGCAGACUGCUUGAUGCUCUGUGAUGUUCUCCACCAUGUGGUAGAGGGUCGUCCAGCGCUGGACGAAAUCGCGCAGGGGCUCAUUCUGCUUCUGGAGCAGUGCUGGAGCUCCACGAGACCAGCAGGGCGUUUGCACGUGCCCUCGAAGGUCCUGAUGAACACUCGGGAUAGAUCUGCCCAGCUGUAGAUGCUUGAUGGAGCCAACUGAUUCAGCCACGCUCGUGUUGAGCCGUCGAGCAUCAGGGGGAGAUGUUUCAUGGCGACCUGGUCAUCUCCGCCACCGAUCUGGACCGCCACUCGGUACUCGUCCAGCCACGUUUCUAGCUUGGAUCCUCCUAUGAACUUGCUGAUCCCCGUCGCCAAUCGGAAGUUGGGAGGGAUGUCAGCUGAACGGAUGGCCCGAUUGAAGCACUCGGGGCCAGAAAUGAUGGUCCUGCUUCCACUCGGAUGGUCUCUAUCGUGACCAUCACGGUGGGCUCGACUCCUGUCGACCUUCCUCUGGGUGAUGUACCCUCUUGCGUCGGGCCUUGGAUCAUACGUGUCACCGACUGAACGCCGAUCAUCAUGAUGUCGGAGCCCGUAAGGCCCACCCCGCGGAGGGGUGCGUGAACGGCGACGAUCUUCGGGAUUCGUGGAACGGCUGCCCCCUCUGCGUCGCUGAUGAGAGUGGGGGCUAUAAACCGACCGAUGCAUGUUCGCAUGAACAGAACUGUUGUGGAUCCUGUUGUGCGACUGGGAGACCGCCGAAUUCUGCUGUUGCGCCGUGUGCAACAGGGCACGGAUCUGCUCGAUCCCUCUACCAGCCUCCGAAUCAGUCGGUUGGAGGGAAUCGGCUAUCUUGGCAGCGGCAGCCAGGUUGAGGACGGGUGUACGGAACACCUCGACAUUGCUCUGACGAGUGCGUCGACUGGCAGAACGGUGGUGUUGACGGCGAGCGCCGGACGAUUCGCCGACCUCGUGCUCGUUCCGGCCAGUCCGGUGGGGACUUUAAUGGGAAUUUGCCAUGAGAACUUCGACUGCAGGCCCGCGACCCAAGUACUCGGAAGGUAAAUCAGUCGGAACUGAGUCCAAGCACUGGGACGACGGCGCGACCACAACCGACUCGAGGACCGCCACUUGAGAGGACGCGUUCUGGCGCGCCUGGGCGUGUCGCACCCAACGCUGGAGCCAGGGACGACAGGACCGCUUGUUGCGGUGCAUGACGGGGGCGAAGGUCGGCACCGGGGCCGACUGCCGGAGAAGAAGGACGCCGCGGACACCGGCACGGAAGUGCAUAGCCCCGCGACUGGGGAGCGCCUUGACGUCGAGAGACGCAUCCCGAAGCCAUGCCGAAUCGUCGACGAUGAAGCAGAGUGCGUCGAAGAGGAUCUCCCGACCCAUGCAUAAAUCUCCGCCGGACGACAUGAUGAAAAGAUGAAGCUGCAAACUCGUCGGAAGUCGCUUAGACGCCUGCCCCAAGGUGGGCGCCAACUGUCGUGGGUAUAAGUCUGACAGUAGAUGUGUAGGGUACGAAAGGAUGGGCAGAGCCUUAGCUACGGCGAGGUUGUAUGAGUUCAGGCCCCUCUGCGGUGGAGGUAAAAGCCCUACGUCUCAGUGCUCUUGGGAGCCUAGUGUCGAGUGGAAUAUAGGAUUACAGUAAAUGCCAACCCCUGCACAAGUGGGGAAGGGUGGCUUAUAUAGAGUGUGUUGCCCUUCACAACGGCCCGGUGGACAGGGGUGGAGUAGUGGCGAAUAAAUGCCUACGUUACAGGUAGCGUAUGACUUAAAUGCUAAUAAUGGUGUAUGAAAACAUAUGACCGUUGCCCUCUUGGGAGGUUACGAUGUACAGAGUGGAAUUCAGUCGGUACGAUAAAUAUGCUCCGAAUGCUCGUCACCGACUGGAUGAUGGGGGGUCCUUAGUUCAGUCGGAACUGUCUAAGGGCCUUGCCCUCUAUGAAGGGUAGUCCUUGGGUAGGACCUAUAGGGCAGGCCUAUGACCCUACCCUCGGACUAUAACCCCAUCAGGAGAGGACUGCUAAGUUGAAAGCUAGGCGGGAAUUCCUAGAAAAAGCUCUUCCACACGAUGUUUAUCAAAAUCAUGAUGAAGAUCUUAAAUUACUUGGUACUUCUCGUAUUGAAUCUUUGUUUACUUCUAUGAAUAUGAAUGAUAAUGGGACUGGAGAUGAGUCAACUCUAGUUAGAGAGCGUCCCAAUUGCUUGGAGGGUGAUGAUUCUAAUGCUGAAACUAAAAAAGUGGGUUUGGAGAGGUUAAAACUUUAAUUAGUGAUGUGACCACUAUCUUGAAUCACAAGGACUUUAAUUAUGGUAAUUGCUCUUUAAUAGAAUUUAUUUACUUUCUGGAAUUCAUUAUUAGCUUACCCAAUGCUUAUGAACAAAGUAAUGCUUUCACUCAACAUAUAAUGGAGGCUAUGGUAAAAGCCUAUGAUGAAAAACUUGAGCUAGAAGUCUCUAUUCCUAGAAAGUUGUAUGAUGAAUGGGAACUUUCUAUUAAAAUUAAUAUUAAAUAAUAUGAAUGCAAUGCCUUGUGUGAUUUAGGUGCUAGUGUUUCAACUAUACCCAAGUCUUUAUGUGAUGUUCUUGGUCUUACUAAUAUUCAUGAGUGUUCCCUUAAUCUACAUCUUGCAGAUUCUACUAUCAAGAAACCUUUGGAAAGAAUAAAUGAUAUUAUCAUAAUUGAUAAUAGAAAUUAUGUUCCGGUAUAUUUUAUAUUCCUUGAUAUUUAUUGUAACCCAUCUUGUCCAAUAAUACUUGGGAGGCCUUUUCUACGAACUAUGGGUGCAUUAAUUGACAUGAAAGAGGGAAACAUAUGGUUCCAAUUCACAUUAAGGAAAGGGAUGGAACACGUUCCUAGAAAAGAGAAUAAAUCCACCUUAUGAAUUUAACUUGAGGGCCACUUAUGUAUGGAGUGUCAAAGAUGAUAACACUUGAUCGUAUGCAUUAUGCCUAACUAGGGGCGUAAAAUAAUAGCACUAGUUGGGAGGCAACCCAAUAGUUAUCUUAAUUUUUUGCUUUUUGCUUUUUGUUUGUGUGUCAUUACAUGAUUAUUGCCUUACUUAUUGUGUUUUUAUGUUUAAAUUAUUGUUUGUGCCAAGUAAAACCUUCGGGGUGAUUUGCAUGAUUAGUAGAAUUGAUACGGUGCAAAGAUAUAAACUUUAGCGUCCAGUGCAAAUUUUCUCUGAUUUAACUAGAAAACAUUUAAUCUUAAAUUUUUACACGGUAUUUCUAUGAAAAUUAUCCAGGCCUGACUUAUUUUUCAGAAUUUUUGAAGUUACGUAAGUAUGGUAAUUAACUGUAUCAUUACAGACUGUUCUGUUUUACACAGAUUCUAUUUUUGCAUGCAUGGUUUGCUUGUUUUGGUGAUGCUAUGGAUUAUAUCGGGGGCUAUAAAUCAUGAAGAAGUUAGAAUACAUUACCUUAUGCAAUAAAAAAUAUGAAUCAAUUUAUAAUAGUACCUAAAGUAUUUGAUAUGUUUAUUAUACUAACGGAUCUCAUGAAGUUUCUGUUGAGUUUUGUGUGCUGAAGUUUUGAAGUUUUGGGUGUUAUCGUGAUGGAUGAACGAAUAAGGAGUGGCAAGAGCCUAAGAUUGGGGAUGCACAAGGCACCCCAAGGUAAUAUUCUAAGGAAUACUCAAGCUUUUAAGCUUGGGGAUGCCCCAGAAGGCAUCCCCUCUUUUGUCUCAAUCCACCGAUAUGUCACUUGGAGGUACAUUUUUAUUCAUCACAUGAUAUGAGUUUUGCUUGGAGCGUCGUUUGCUUUAGUUUGAUUUUUGUUUUUGGUUGCCCACAAUCAUUGUUAUCUGAAUACAUCAACUUGAUAGAUACACACGAUCACCAUGAUUUGUUAGAAUACUCUUUGUGCUUCACUUAUAUCUUUUGAGCUAAGCAGUUGCUCUAGUACUUCACUUAUAUUUUUUAGAGCACAGUGGCGCAUAAAUUUUAUAGAAAUAAUUGCACUCUAGUUCUUCACUUAUAUUUGUUUGAGAGCUAAUAUAUAACGAUGGUAAUUUGCAUGGGCUAUAAUAUUAUUUCAAAAAUAAUAAGUAUUCAAUGAGUCUAUAAUCAAAACCACAUGUAGCACAUAAAAGAUAAAUCAUGGUUAAUGAUAUUAAUGUGGUAAUGUGAAAAAGCAUGACUGCAUGAUCAUUGGUUGAAAAUAGUAUCAUGAAUUGGAGGUGUUAACUUUCUGUUCAUCCAAAUAUUUUUAUGGCAUGGUGAAGAUGUGUGAGCAUACUUCUUCCUCGUUGAAAUCCUAGUGUUGUUUUAGUCGAGGGUGCGUGAUGGUUAACUCCUACCCAUGCAAGUAGUGCUUUGCUUUGAGAAAGCUAAUAAAAUCUUGCAAUAAGUAUGUGAGUUCUUUAUCACUAGUGUAAAUCCAUGGAUAUACGCACUCUCACCUCCACAUAUGUGCUAGCCUCUUCGGUACUGUGCAUUGCCAUUCUCACCUCGAGGAUUGGUGCAACUUUCGUCGGUGCAUCCAAACCCCGUAACAUGAUACGCUCUGUUGCACAUAAGACACUUUAUAUGUUCCUCAAAACAGACACAAUACCUACCUAUCAUGGCAUUUCCAUAGCCAUUCCGAGAUAUAUUGUCAUGUAACUCCCAAUGUCACUUCAUAUGACUUAUACUUCCAUUGUCAUAUUUCUUUGCAUGAUCGAAAGAUAGCUAGCAUGAUAUUUACAUGGCUUGUCUAUUUAUAUCUUUUGCUACGCUAGAUCAUUGCACAUCCUGGUACACUGCCAGAGGCAUUCAUAUAGAGUCAUAUCAUAUCAGUAUUCAUGUUGAGUUGUAAGUAAAUAAAAGUGUGAUGAUCAUCAUUAUUAGGGCACGGUCUCAGUGAGGAAAGGAUGAUGGAGACGAUGAAUCCCCCACAAGUCGGGAUGAGAAUUCGGACGAAAAAUAAAGAAAAAAGAGAGCAAAAAAGGAAAGAAAACAAGAAAAGGAAAGGAAAAGAAAAAAAAUAGAAAAAAGUAAGUAAAAAAUGAAUAAAUGAGAGAAGGGACAGUGCUACUACCUCUUAUUGAACACUUAUGCCUUAAAGUGGCAUCAUGUUAUUCAUAUAGAGAGUCUCUUGAGUUGUCACUUUCAUAUGCUAGUGGGAAUUUUCAUUAUAGAACUUGGCUUGCAUAUUCCGCUGACGGGCUUCCUCAAAUGCUCGAGGUCUUCAUGAGCAAGCAAGUUGGAUGCACACCCACUUAGCUUCAUUUGAGCUUUCAUACACGUAUAGCUCUAGUGCAUCCGUUGCAUGGCAAUCCCUACUCCUCGCAAUGAUAUCUAUUGAUGGGCUUCUCAUAGCCCAUUGACACGCCUAGUUGAUGUGAGACUUUCUUCUCCACUUUCACCCCUUUGAAACCUACCACCAUAUUAUAUUCCACCCUUAUGCUAUAUCCAUGGUUCACACUCAUAUACUGCGCAAGUAAUAAAAUUUGAAGCGCAUCAAAAAGUAUGAUCCAUUUGCUUGACUUGACACCAUGGUGCUUAACAUUUGUAAUUAUGUGGUGAGGACUGAGCCAUGCUAUAUUUAUAUGAUAAAAUGAAUAGGGGGUGGACAUUCUUUAAGGAUCAUAUGCUUUGAAACUUGAUGACUAUGUUGCUUGUGUUUAUAAGCAUUGCUAUGUUGGUGUUUGUUGAUUCAUCGUUUCUCAAUGAUCAAACCUACAAUAGAUUACAUGUUGGGAAGCAUGUAACAUCAAAAAUUAUGUUUUUAUCAUUUACGUACUUGAGGAGGAGGACGAAUUAGUUUGGGGAUGCUGCUACAUCUCCCACAUAUCUCCCCUCCACGCGCCCUGUUGGCUUGGGGGUACCUCAUGUGCCCUCACAUCUUCUUCUAAAGCUUCCGCGUCUUACUUUUCUCCCAAAAAAUCGUCAAAAAGUUUCAUUGCGUUUGGACUCCGUUUCGUACCAUUUCCCUUAAAAGCCAAAAACACACAGAAAAUAGCAACUAGCACUGGGCACUGGACUAAUAGGUUAGUGCUCAAAAAAGAUAUAAAAUGUAUAUAAAUGCUUAUAAACAUCCAAGAUUGAUAAUAUAAUAGCAUCGAACAAUCAAAAUUAUAUAUACAUUGGAGACGUAUCAGCAUCCCCAAGCUUAAUUCUUGCUCGUCCUCGAGUAGGUAAAUGAUGAAAACAGAAUUUUUGAUGCGACAUGCUACCUAACAUGUAAUCACAUCCAGAUAUGAUCAAUGAGAAAUGGUUAAUUAAUAAACAUCAGCAUAGUAAUAUCCAUAAACAUAAGUAACAUAAUCAUCAACUUUCAAAAUAUAUGAUACCUAAAGAAUCUUUACUCACUAUUCAUUUUAUCAUAUUAGCAUGGCAUGUGUCCGUCUUCACCACAUAAAUACAAAUGUCAAGCACCACAUUGUUAAGGCAAGCAAUUGGAUCGUACUUUUUAAUGCGUUUCAGCUUUUUAUACCUCACCCAAUACAUGAGUGUGAACCAAGGACAUAACAUAUAGGUGGAAUAGAAUGUGGUGGUAUGUUUCAAAGGAGUAAAAGUGGAGAAGAAAGUCUCCCAUCAACUAGGCGGACCAACGGGCUAUGGAUAUGCCCAUCAACCCAUAUCAAUGCGAGUAGUAGGGAUUGCACUAGAGCUAAGUGUAUGAAAUCUCAAUGGAAGCUAAGUGGGUGUGCAUCCAACUUGCUUACUGAUGAAGACCUCGGGUAUUUGAGGAAGCCUGUUGAUACGUCUCGAACGUAUCUAUAAUUUUUUAUGGUUUCAUGUUGUUAUCUUGUCAUCUUUGGAUGUUUUAUGUACCUUUUAUAUCUUUUUUGGGACUAACUUACUAAUUUAGUGCCAAGUGCCAGUUCCUGUUUUUUCUGUGUUUUUGGCUCUUUUCAGAUCUGAUUUUGGAAGGGAGUCCAAACGGAAUAAAAUCCCCGAAAUAAAUUUUUCCCGAACGGUAGAAGAUCUGGGGGCUUGAGGGCCAAGCCAGGAGGGCUACAGGGGGCCCACAAGCCCCCCAUCCGCCACCAGGCGGGAGCGGCGGCCAGCAGGCUUGUGGCCUCCCUAGCACCCCCCUGACCUAGCUCCUUCGCCUAUAUAUUCCCUAAAAUACAGAAAAAAAUCAAGGGAUCCACGAAAAUACUUUUUCGCCGCCGCAAGCUUCCGUUUCCGCGAGAUCUCAUAUGGAGACCCUUCCUGGUGCCCUGCCGGAGGGGACUUUGGAGUUGGAGGGCUUCUACAUCAACAUCAUCGCCCCUCCAAUGACUCGUGAGUAGUUCACUUCAGACCUACGGGUCCGUAGUUAGUAGCUAGAUGGCUUCUUCUCUCUCUUGGAUCUUCAAUACAAAGUUCUCCAUGAUCUUCAUGGAGAUCUAUCCGAUGUAAUCUUCUUUGGCGGUGUGUUUGUCGAGAUCCGAUGAAUUGUGGAUUUGUGAUCAUAUUAUCUAUGAUAUAUAUUUGAGUCUUUGCUGAUUUAUUAUAUGCAUGAUUUGAUAUCCUUGUAAGUCUCUCCGAGUCUUGGGUUUUGUUUGGCCAACUAGAUAUCUGAUUCUUGCAAUGGGAGAAGUGCUUGGUUUUGGGUUCUUACCGUGUGAUAUUCUUGCAAUGGGAGAAGUGCUUGGUUUUGGGUUCUUACCAUGUGGUGACCUUUCCCAAUGACAGUAGGGGCAGCAAGGCACACAUCGUGUAGUUGCCAUCAAGGGUAACAAGGUGGGCUUUGUCGUAGAUAUGAGACUAUCCAUCUACAUCAUGUCAUCUUGAUUGAGGCGUUACUCUGUUCUUUGGACUUAAUACACUAGAUGCAUGAUGGAUAGUGAUCGACGUGUGGAGUAAUAGUAGUAGAUGCAGAAAGUAUCGGUCUACUUGUUUUGGACGUGAUGCCUAUAGAUAUAAUCAUUGCCAUAGAUGACGUCACGACUUUGUGCGGUUCUAUCAAUUGCUCGACAGUAAUUUGUUCACCCACCGUCUACUUGCUUUCAUGAGAGAAGCCACUAGUAAACACUACGGCCCCCGGGUCUAUUCACACCUAUCGUUUCCACUUUCGCUUUUAAUUUGCGUUGUUACUUUGUUGCUUUCAGUUCUCACUUGGCGAACAAUCUAUAAGGGAUUGGCAACCCCUUCAUAGUGUUGGGAGCAAGCUUUUUGUGUUUGUGCAGGCACUUGUGAUACUCCUUCACUGGAUCGAUACCUUGGUUCUCAAAACUGAGGGAAGUACUUACCACCGUUGCGCUACAUCACCCUUUCCGCUUCGAGGGAACACCAAUGCAACGCUCCAAGGCCACGGGGAAAUCCUUUGCAUAUUUGCCUAGGAAGUCCCUAAAGGCAUAGCCGUAGCAGAAGGAUUCCUGGUGCCGUUGCUGAGGAGAAUCAAGACGUCUCCCGUCAGCACGUAUUUCUGGCGCCGUUGGAAGGUAUUUUGUUGCAGAAGCACCUGUCACCAGAAUAUGCAAGCCAAGUUGUACAAUAAUUUUUUUUCACUAGCAUAUGAAAAUGAGGAGAGAUCUAUCCAAGUAGGUAUCACAAACUCAUCUCUUGCAUUUACUUUUUUUUGCCAGUUGCCUCUCGUUUUCCUCUCCCCCACUUCACAUUUGCCAUUUUCAUUUGUCUUUCUCCCUUGUCGUUUUCAUUUGCCUUUUUCUUCAUUUGCCUUCUUCGUAUGCCUUUCCUUUGCUUGUGUGCUAUGUGCCUUCAAUGUGCUUGCAUCUUCGCUUGCUAAAAAUCUAGUGAUAUGGAUCCUCGUCUACUUGCUAAUCUCUUUAAGAGAUCCAAUUAUGUUGAUCCAAUUGCUAGAGAGUUGAGUGCACUUGACUUUCUCUAUGGAGUUUUGCUUGAGAUGCAUGAAUCUGAAAAUCGCGAUGAAGAAAUUCAUGAAGUGAUUCAUGAGGGCUCCUUGAAUAAAAAAGCAUGAUUGCAAUGGUUUCACUAUAAAUUCUAUUAGUGACAAUCAUGCUAAAAAUAUGCAAAACCCUAAGCUUGGGGAUGCUAGUUUUUCUUUGUCCACUACUUGUUGCAAUAAUCAUGAUUGUGGUGAUGUUCUUUCUUAUUAUCUUGAAAAUUUGUUCAAGCCUCAUGAUGAUUAUGAUAUUUGCAAUAAUAUUGUAAGUGGGUUUGGAGAAGUCAUGACUUUAGUUGAUGAUAAUCCCACUAUUUUUUAAGAGCGUCAACUUUGCAUGCAUGUGGAUCAUGAAAAUAAUAUCCUUUGUGAUAGCUAUAUUGUUGAAUUUGAAUAUGAUCCCACAUGUAAUUGCUAUGAGAGAGGAAAAUAUUGUGGUAAAAACUUUCAUGUUACCAAAUCACCUCUCGCUAUGUUGAGAUUGCUAUUGUCUCUUUCUUCUUCCUUGCAUUUGGUAACUAUUGGUUGUCUUGCCAAUUUGUUUUCCUAUAAAAUGCCUAUGCAAAGGAAUUAUGUUAGACUUAGAUGUUAUUUUCGCAUGCUCUAUGAUGCUCUCGUUGUGCUUCAAUUCUUGUCUUUUGUGAGAGCAUCAUUGAACUAUCAAUGCCUAGCUAAGGGCGUUAAACAAUAGCGCUUGUUGGGAGGCAACCCAACGAAUCUAUCAUUUUUAUUUCUGUUUUGUGUUUUCCACACUUCCAUAAUUCUGUUAUGAUUGUGUUUUUUGUGUUUCUUUUUGCGUUUGUGCCAAGCAAAACCGUUAUGAUUAGUCUUGGGGAUGAUAGUUUGGUCAUGCUGGAAAAGACAGAAGCUUUCUGCUCACGAAAAGAAUUUUCAUUUUUUUAUAAGAGAUUUUGAGUUGAUUCUUUUCGUUUAUGAUUGCCAGGCAAAUUCUUCAUACUGUCGUAAUUUUUCAGAAUUUGUGAAGUACCAGAAGUAUACGAAAUAUACAGAUUGCUACAGACUGGUCUGCUGUUAACAGAUUUUGUUUUUGUUGUGUUGGUUGCUUAUUUUGAUGAAACUAUGGAUAGUAUCGGGGGGUAUUAUCCAUGGAAGAUUGAAGAUACAGUAACCCAACAUCAGCAUAAGUAGAAUUUAAGUUUGCUACAGUACCUAAGGAAGUGGUGGUUUGUUUUCUUAUACUAAUGUUAUCACGAGUUUCUGUUUAAGUUUCGUGUUGUGAAGUUUUCAAGUUUUGGGUGAAGUUCUUAUGGACAAAAAGAUAAAGAGUGGCAAUAGCUCAAGCUUGGGGAUGCCCAAGUCACCCCAAGAGAUUCAAGGAUGUCGUAAAAGCCUAAGCUUGGGGAUGCCCCGGGAAGGCAUCCCCUCUCUCGUCUUCAAUCCAUCGGUAACGUUACUUGGGGUUAUAUUUUUAUUCACCACAUGUUAUGUGUUUUUUCUUGGAGCGUCUUGUAUCGUAGGAGUAUUUUAUUUUUGUUGUGUCACAAUCAUCCUUGCUGCACACCUAGAGAGAGAGCCAUGCACUCACCGUGAUUUUGUCGAGCUUCAUUUAUAUCCUUUGGUAGACAAUUUAGCUCACAUGUGCUCCACUUAUAUCUUUUGUGCUAGAUACUUUUGCUCUGUGUGCUUCACUUAUAUAUUUUAGAGCACAGCGGUGCGUGGCUUGGUAGUUGAUCUAUGCUUUGAAAGUAGUCUCAAAAGGGGUAGUUAUCCAAAGGGAUACGAAAACUUCCACCUUCAUGUGCCUUGAAUAGUUAGAGAAGUUUGACUCAUCUCAAUUAGUUUUGAGUUGUGGUUGUGGUAAUAUUGAAGUUAUGCUAGUAAGGUGUUAUGGAUCUAGAAAUACUUGUGUUGAAGUUAGUGAUUCCCGUAGCAUGCACGUAUGGUGAACCGCUAUGUGAUGAAAUCUGAGCAUGAUUAGUCUUUUGAUUGUCAUCCUUUGCGUGGCGGUCGGGAUCGUGUGAUGGUUUAUGCCUACCAACCCUUCCCCUAGGAGUAUGCGUUAAAUGCUUUGUUUCGAUUACUAAUAAAACUUUUGCAACAAGUAUAUGAGUUCUUCAUGACUAAUGUUGAGUCCAUGGUUUAGAUGCACUUUCACCUUCCACCAUCACUACCUUCGUAGUGCCAUGCAACUUUCGCCGGUGCACAAAACCCACCAUUAGCCUCCCUCAAAACAGCCACCAUACCUACCUACUAUGGCUUUUUCAAAGUCAUUCAGAGAUAUAUUGCCAUGCAACUACCACCAUGACAUGUGCCACCACGUCUACAUUGUCAUUUCAUGAUCGUAAUAUAGCUAGCAUGAUGUUUCCAUUAAUGUCUAUGCCAUGCUAGAUCAUUGUCACGGUACACUACCGAAGGCAUUCCAUAUAGAGUCGUUGUUGCUCUAAGUUUUGAGUUGAAAGUGUGAUGAUCAUCAUUGAUGGAGCAUUGUCCCAUGUGAGGAAAUAAAAGAGGCCAAAGAUGCCCACCAAAAUAAAAAUAAAAAAAAGAGGCCAAAGAGCCCACCAAAAAAAUUGAGAGAAAAAGAGAGAAGGGACAAUGCUACCACCUUUCCACACUUGUGCAUAUUAAGCUCCAUGAUCUUCAUGAUUGAGAGUCUCUCGUUUUGUCACCACCAUAUAGCUAGUGGGAAAUUUUCAUUACAUAACUUGGCUUGUAUAUUCCAAUGAUAGGCUUCCUCAAAAUUGCCUUAGGUCUUCGUGAGCAAGCAAGUUGGAUGCACACCCACUAGUUUUCUUUAAGAGCUUUCACAUACUCUUAGCUCUAGUGCAUCAUUUGUAUGGCAAUCCCUACUCAUUCACAUUGAUAUCUAUUGAUGAGCAUCUCCACAGCUCAUUGAUAUGCCUAGUUAAUGUGACCAUCUUCUCCUUUUUUGUCUUGCAACCUCCACCACACUCCACACCACUUAUAGUGCUAAAACCAUGGCUCACGCUCAUGUAUUGCGUGAGAGUUGAAAAGGUUUGAGAAAGUAAAGGUGUGAAACAAUUACUUGGCCAAUACCGGGGUUGUGCAUGAUUUAAAUUCGUUGUGCAAUGAUAAUAGAGCAUAGCCAGACUAUAUGAUUUUGUAGGGAUAACUUUCUUUUGGCCUUGUUAUUUUGAAAGUUCAUGAUUACUUUGCUAGUUUGCUUGAAUUAUUAUUGUUUCCACGUUAAUAGCAAACUAUUGUUUUGAAUCUAAUGGAUCUGAACAUUCACGUCACAUAAGAGGAGUUACAAAGGACAUCUAUGCUAGGUAGCAUGAAAGCAUCAAAAAAUCAUUCUUUAUCACUUCCCUACUCGAGGACGAGCAGGAGUUAAGCUUCGGGAUGCUUGAUACGUCUCAAACGUAUCUAUAAUUUUUGAUGGUUUCAUGCUGUUAUCUUGUCAUCUUUGGAUGUUUUAAUUACCUUUUAUAUCUUUUUUGGGACUAACUUACUAAUUCAGUGUCAAGUGUCAGUUCCUGUUUUUUCUGUGUUUUUGGCUCUUUUCAGAUCUGAUUUUGGAACGGAGUCCAAACGGAAUAAAAUCCCCGAAAUAUUUUUUUUCCGAACGGAAGAAGAUUUGCGGGCUUGAGGGCCAAGCCAGGAGGGCUAUAGGGGGCCCACAAGCCCCCCAUCCUCCACCAAGGGGGCGGCGGCCACCAAGCUUGUGGCCUCCCUGGCGCCCCCCUGACCUAGCUCCUUCGCCUAUAUAUUCCCUAAAAUACAGAAAAAAAUCAAGGGAUCCACGAAAAUACUUUUUCGCCGCCGCAAGCUUCCGUUUCCGCGAGAUCUCAUACGGAGACCCUUCCUGGUGCCCUGUCGGAGGGGACUUUGGAGUUGGAGGGCUUCUACAUCAACAUCAUCGCCCCUCCAAUGACUCGUGAGUAGUUCACUUCAGACCUACGGGUCCGUAGUUAGUAGCUAGAUGGCUUCUUCUCUCUCUUGGAUCUUCAAUACAAAGUUCUCCAUGAUCUUCAUGGAGAUCUAUCCGAUGUAAUCUUCUUUGGUGGUGUGUUUGUCGAGAUCCGAUGAAUUGUGGAUUUGUAAUCAGAUUAUCUAUGAUAUAUAUUUCAGUCUUUGCUGAUUUCUUAUAUGCAUGAUUUGAUAUCCUUGUAAGUCUCUCCGAGUCUUGGGUUUUGUUUGGCCAACUAGAUCUAAUAUUCUUGCAAUGGGAGAAGUGCUUGGUUUUGGGUUCUUACCAUGUGGUGACCUUUCCCAAUGACAGUAGGGGCAGCAAGGCACACAUCGUGUAGUUGCCAUCAAGGGUAACAAGGUGGGCUUUGUCGUAGAUAUGAGAGUGUCCAUCUACAUCAUGUCAUCUUGCUUAAGGCAUUACUCUGUUCUUUCGGACUUAAUACACUAGAUGCAUGCUGGAUAGCGGUCGACGUGUGGAGUAAUAGUAGUAGAUGCAGAAAGUAUCGGUCUACUUGUUUUGGACGUGAUGCCUAUAGAUAUAAUCAUUGCCAUAGAUGACGUCACGACUUUGCGCGGUUCUAUCAAUUGCUCGACAGUAAUUUGUUCACCCACCGUCUACUUGCUUUCAUGAGAGAAGCCACUAGUAAACACUAUGGCCCCCGGGUCUAUUCACACCUAUCAUUUCCACCUUUGCUUUUACUUGGCUUUGUUACUUUGUUGCUUUCAGUUCUCACUUGGCGAACAAUCUAUAAGGGAUUGGCAACCCCUUCAUAGUGUUGGGAGCAAGCUUUUUGUGUUUGUGCAGGCACUUGUGAUACUCAUUCACUGGAUCGAUACCUUGGUUCUCAAAACUGAGGGAAAUACUUACCACCGCUGUGCUACAUCACCCUUUCCGCUUCAAGGGAACACCAACGCAAGGCUCCAAGGCCGCAGGCUUUGCAUAUUUUCCUAGGAAGUCCCUAAAGGCGUAGCCGUAGCAGAAGGAUUCCUGGUGCCGUUGCUGAGGAGAAUCAAGACGUCUCCCGUCAGCACGUAUUUCUGGCGCCGUUGGAAGGUAUUUUGUUGCAGAAGCACCUGUCACCAGAAUAUGCAAGCCAAGUUGUACAAUAAUUUUUUUUCACUAGCAUAUGAAAAUGACAAAACAUGAGACUGUGUGUACGAAAAACAUGGUGACUUCACUAAGCAAGAGUGUGGAAAAAGAGGUGGUAGCAUUGUCCCUUCUCUCUUUUCUCUCUUUUUUUAUUUCUUUCCUUUUUUAUCCUUUUUCUCCUGAUCUCUUUUUAUUUUUUUUCCUUUCUUUAUGUUUUCCCUUUUUUCAUUGUUUUUCAUGCAGACUCUAAUCCCGACUUGUGGGGAAUCAUUGUCUCCAUCAUCCUUUCCUCAAUGAGACAGUGAUCUAAUAAUGAAAAACAUCAUACUUCUAUUUAUUUACAACUCGAGAUGAAAAAUUUACUAAACAAGAUGACUACAUAUGAAUGCAUGUGAUAGUGUACCAGGAUGUGCAAUGAUCUAGCAUAACUUGUAAACAAUGAUGAAUGGUGACUUUGCCACAAAUACUGUGUCAACCACAUGAUCAUGCAAAGCAAUAUAAUGAUGAACACACAAGUCAUGAGACGUAAUGGUGGAAGUUGCAUGGCAAUAUAUCUCGGAAUGGCUAUGGAAAUGCCAUGAUAGGUAGGUAUGGUGGCUGUUUUGAGGAAAUAUAAGGUGGCUUAUGUGCAAUAGGGUGUAUCAUGUUGCGGGGUUUGGAUGCAUCGACGAAGUUGUGUGAUGGUAUUUCAUAGGUAUUCGGUGAUACCCCCCCCCCGCAACGGCGCUAGACAUUCUUCUUGCUACUUGUAAACUGUGUUGGGAAUUUUCCCGAAGGGUAGGGGAGAUGCAACACAGUAGAGAUAAGUAUUUCCCUCAGUGAGGACCAAGUUUAUCGAACCAAUAGUAGGACCACGCAAACACCCGUCUUCAGCGCCUGCACACAAAAGAGCACACACUUGCACCCAACACGAGCAAGAGGGUUGUCAAUCCCCUUGAAAUCAUUACUCUCAAGCGAUAAGUAGUGAUAGAUAGAUAAAUGGAUAAAUAUAAAUGCAAAAUAAAAAUAAAGUAAAUGAUGGCAGCAAUACUUUUAAUGUUUUUAUAAUUUGAUUUGUGAAGACACGUGGGGCAUAGUUUUCACUAGAGGCGUCUCUCUCGUAGAAAGCAUACGGUGGGUAGACAAAUUACUGUUGGGCAAUUGAUAUAAAAGUGCAUAUUAUGCAAUAUUUAUUCAUGGCAAUGAUCAUUCCAUAUAGGAAUCACGCCUGUAAGCAAGUAGACCGACUCCUGCCUGCAUCUACUACUAUUACUCCACUCAUCGACCGCUAUCCAACAUGCAUCUAGAGUAUCAAGUAAAACAAAGUAACGCUUUAAGCAAGAUGACAUGAUAUAGACAAAGUAAAUCCAACUAAUAUUAAUAAUACCCAUAAUUUUACCCUUAAUGUUAGCAAUACAAAUAUGUGCCAUGUCCCUUUCUGUCACUAGAAUUGAGCAUUGAUACUUGUGAUCUGCGUUGGGUUCUUUCCCAGAGAGGAGGGGAUGAUGCAACACAGUAUGGAUACGUAUUUAGCUUGGUGAUAACCAAGGUUAUCUAAGCAAUAGAAGGACCAUGCAACUUCCCAUCUUAAGUGCCUACACACAAAAGAUCACACACUUGCACCCAACUCGAGCAAGUGGGUUGCCAAUCCCCUUGAAGUCGUUACUUGCAGGAAAUAAGUAGUGAUAGAUAGAUAGUUGAAAUAUAUUAAAUAUAAAAAGUAAAUACAAAUAAUAAAAGGCAGCGAGGUAUUUAGAGUUUUUAUAAAUAUAUUUGUGAAUAGACCCCGGGCCCAUAGUUUUCGCUAGAGGCUUCUCUCUUGUAGAAAGCAUAUGGUGGGUAAUUUUUUUACUAUUGGGCAAUUGGUAGAAAAACGUAUAGUUAUGCAAUAUUUAUUCAUGGAAAUGAUCAUUAAAUAUAGGUGUCACAUCCGCAAGCAAGUAGAUCGACUCCUACCUGCAUCUACUACUAUUACUCCACCCAUCGACCGUUAUCCAGCAUGCAUCUAGAGUAUUAGGUGAAAAGAGAGUAAUGCUUGGAGGAUAAUGACAUGAUGUAGACAAAGUAAGUCCAAUUAAUAUGAAUGAACCCCAUUGUUUUACCCUUAGUGGCAACAAUACAAUAUGUGUCAUGUCUCUUUCUAUCACUGGGAUCAAGUACCGCAAGAUUGGACCCACUACAACACACCUAUGACCUAUCCCACUGAAGAUAAAUCAAUCUAGUUGGCCAAACCAAAUAAAUAGAUCGAAUAGAAUUACGAAGCUAUCAAAGUCAUGCAUAUAAGAAUUUAGAGAAGACUCAAAUAUUAUUCAUGAAUAAUCUGAACAUAAACGCACAAUUCAUAUGAUCCCAACAAACGCACCACACAAGAGUGAUUACAUAAGAUAGAGCACCAUGGGAAUCGCGUGAUCAUGGCAACGAAGAACAUAGAGAGAGAUACAGUCGUACGGGUACUAACUACAGACCCGUAGGUCUGUGGUGCACUACUCACACAUCACCAUGGUUGCAACAAGGUUGAUGUAGAGGCCCUUCAUGAUCGACCCCCCUCCGACAGGGCACUGGGACACGGCUCCAGAUGGGCACAUGGCGGAACAGAGACUUGCGGCGACAGAAAAAGUGUUUUGGGUGGCUCCCUAGGGUUUGGGCAUAUUAGAGAAUUUAUAGGAUAGAGAGGAGGGCCAUAGGCCGUGGGAGGUGCCUCCAAGCCAUGAGGACGCGACCACCCCCCCUCGACGCGCCCUGUUGGCUUGGCGCCACCCCGUGUGGCCUCCGGUCUCCUUCCGAAGCUUCUAGGUAUUUAUUUUGUCUAGAAAAAAUCAUCAAAAAGUUUCGAGGUAUUUGGACUCUGUUUGGUACACUAUUCCUAAAAAGCCGAAAACAUGCACAAAACAACAACUGCACAUGGCACUUGGUUAAUAGGUUAGUGCUCAAAAAUAAUAUAAAUCAGCAAGUAAAUGCCUAAAAACAUCCUAGAAUUAUAAUAUAAUAGCAUGAAACAAACAAAAAAUAUAGAUACGUUGGAGACAUAUCAAGCAUCACAAGAUUGAACACAUUACAACGCACCACUCCCAUGCACCACUCCCACUUAAGAUAAAUCUAUCUAGUUGCCCAAACCAAACCGGUAGAUCAGUCAGAAACACGAAGCUAUCAUAAUCAUGCAUAUAAGAAUUUAGAGCAAACUCAAAUACUUUUCACAAAUAAUAUGAACAUAAACCCACAAUUCAUCGAAUCCCAACAAACAAAUCGCAAAAGAGUGAUUACAUAAGAUAGUUCACCACAGGAACUGCGAUGAUCUUGGCAAUGAAGAACAUAGAGAGAGAGGGAGAGAGAGAGCCAUCUAGGUACUAACUAUGGAUCCAUAGGUCUGUGGUAAACUACACACACGUUACCAUGGGAGCAACAAGGUUGAUGUAGAAGCCCUUCGUGAUUGAUCAUCCCUCUCGCGUGGCACCGGAAUAGGGCUCCAUAUGGGAUCACGGUGGAACAGAUACUUGCAGUGGAGGAAAAAGUGUUUUUGGUGGCUCGCUCGUGUUUUUCCCACAAAAGAAAAUUUAUAGGAGCGAAGAUAGGGGUGGAGGAGCUGGGAGGUGGCCCUAAGCCAUAAAAAAAGGUGCACCUUAUUGGAUUUGGGGCACCUCGUGUGCCCUUUGGUAUUCUUAUGAAGCUUCCAGGUCUUAUUUUUGUCCAAAAUAAUGUCAAAAAGUUUCUUUGCGUUUGGACUCCGUUUGGUACUAUUUCCCUGAAAAGCCAAAAACGCGCAGAAAACAACAACUAGCACUUGUCAUUGGGUUAAUAGGAUAGUGCUUAGAAAAGAUAUAAAACAUCAUAUGAAUGCUUAAAAAACAUCCAAGAUUGAUAAUAUAAUAGCAUGGAACAAUAAAAAAUUGUUGAUAUGUUGGAGAUGUAUCAAUAACCACAACACCGAGAGACGAGCAUGUAUAUCGAUGUUCACUUCCUCAGAGGGAAGCUAGUCAUUGUUAGAGAGGUGGAUGUUACCGCGAAGGCACACGAAUGCCACCAAGGAUCACCCUAUUCUUCCCUUGAGACUAUACCACAAAGGCAUUUCUUAACCACCAGUGGUAGACCUUGAGAUGGUCUCAAAACCUUCACAAACUUUUUGGGGGUCACCACAAUGAACGAUUCCUCUCUCAAGAACUCCUACCGCCUAGGAGUCUCCAACCUGUAAGAAUAAUAAAAAUGGAGCGAGAAAUCUCAAGACUUUCUCAAAGCAUGAUUUAUGUUGGUCAAGAGAAGGGGAAGGAGUUGAUCUAUCACUUGAUUAGAUAACCUCUCAAGAACUCUCCCAAAUCCCUUUGGGAUCUAGGAUAAUAGUGUGUGUUAUAGGAUUGAUUAAAAGUGAACAUCGACAGAUCUAUUGAUUUGGUUUGGCCAACCAGAUGGGUAGAGGCUAUAUAUAAUAGCAUUUAUGUGUAAGUGGUUGGACGUGCCGAACAUCCGACAAUCGAAGAAAAAACACACAAUAUGCAUAUGGAUCAGUAGGAAAAACAAUCGUCCCGGAUAUCUAGGGAUAGCCAGGCAUGUGGCCAGCCUUGAGGACCCAAACAUCUGUCCAUGAGCCGGAGAUCCGGUGGUUGCUACCAAAAUUCUCAAGAAAUCUACCGGACAUGACGCUCUGGAUUUGCAUGAGAGGCCCAAACAUCCGGUCCCACAUGAGGCGCUCGACAUUGAUACAUCUCCAACAUAUCAAUAACUUUUAUUGUUCCAUGUUAUUAUAUUAUCUAUCUUGGAUACUUUAUAUGAAAUUAUAUGCUAUUUUAUACCAUUUUGGGGAACUAACCUAUUAAUCCAGUGCCAAGUGCUAGUUGAUGUUUUUUGCUUGUUUUGGUUUUCCAAGAAAUCAAUACCAAAUGAAGUUCAAACGCUAUGGAACUUUUUGACAAUUUUUUGGACAAAAAAGACCCUCGAAGCUUCAGAGGGAUAUCAAAAUACACACGAGGAGACGACAAGGUAACCAGAUGCGCCCAGAGGGGUAGGCAUGCCGUGAUGCCUUGUGGGCCCCUCAUGGCUCCGUGUGACCUAAUUCCACCUCCAUAAAUUAUCUAAAAUAGGAAAACCAAUAGAGAGCCACCCGAAACACUUUUUCUGCCGCCGCAAGUCUUUGUUCUGCCAUGAUCCCAUCUGGAGACCUUUUCCGAUGCCGUGUUGGAGAGGGAAUUGAUCACGGAGGCCGUCUACAUCAAUCUUGUUGCCUCCAUGAUGAUGUGUGCAUAGUCCACCACAGACAUAUGGGUCCAUAGCUAGUACCUAGAUGGCUUCUUAUCUCUCUUUGAUCUUCAAUACAAAGUUCACCAUGAUUUCCGUGCUGAUCUAUCUCAUGUAAUCCUAUUUUGUGGUGUGUUUGUUGGGAUUCGAUAAAUUGUGGGUUUAUGAUCAGAUUAGUCAUGAAUAUAUAUUGAGCCUUCUCUGAAUUCUUUUAUGCAUGAUUGUUAUAGAUUUGUAUUUCAUCGUGCAUCUUCUGAUCGCUCCCUGAAGCUUUCCACGGUCUUGUGUGGUGUCGAAAAAAUCAAUGUAAAAUUUCAUCGUGUUUGGACUUUGUUUGGUAUGUUUUUUUCUACCAAACAAAGAAACAAGCAAAAAACAGAAACUCACACUAAGUAGUAAGUUAAUAUGAUAGUAUCAAAAAAUGAUAUGAAAUGUCAUAUAAGGCACAAAAUAUUUAUAAUAUAUUAACAUAAAGCAAUCAAAAAAUCUAGAUACGUUGGAGACAUAUCAAUCAUACUUAUGUUUUAACAAUCCAUUAAGCAUAUAUUUACUCCAACAUGCAAUAUUUACACUAUAAUAAUAAUUUUAAAGAAGGAGUUAACUCAAUAUAAAAUUAAAAGGUAAGCCCUUCAAAAAGGUCUUGGGCUUUGGAUGGAGUAUGUCUAGAAAGUCGGCCUCACUAGCUUGUCAUUGGAGAUUGUCAUGUGUUUAUUGUUUGAUGUUCAUGGAUUUAGUAAGUGGAAAUAAUAAUUUCCCAUUGCCCAUUGUGGUGUCACCGUUUUUUCUUCAGAUUCACCAUCAAAAGUUCAUGGGAAAUUUCCAUUCCCACACAAUAAAUUUUAUUUUGAAAUUUGAGUUAUUGAAGAGAUGAAAAAAUAAUACUUGGAAUGACUUUUCUCAUUCAUAUAGGAAGGUAUAGUGGACAGUCAUAGGAUUGACUUGGUUUAAGGGAAUUGGAUGCAUAUGCAUUAUUCAUACUUACAAUAGACGUUUUGGCUAGGAAGGGUCUAAAGGAAACAUGCCUAUGGAAGGCCCAUGAGUAAUAAAUCAUUAAGGAUCACAUAUACACGUCUACCUAGUUGUCUUUCAUGCCUAGUCAUAAUAAUUUGUUCGAGCUUCUUAAAUUUGCCACUGAAGAUUAUCUAUUGGUCCAAAGAGUUUGGAAAUAAUAUAUUUGCAUGUGUAUGUGCUUUCUUUCAUUCCAAGUUUCAUGAUUCCAUUACUCACAUCAUGUGUAUCUAAGUAGUUGAUCCCCACUACUUCAAUUUAUCUCAACACACGUGCAUGCCAUCUAACUGCAAAUGACACCCCAUUAAAUGCCCACCUAAACAUGAAUGAGAUUUUUUAAUUAUUAAUUUAUAUUCAUUACUUAUAUUUAUCUUAACAUGCAUAUGUUCCACCUCACCACGUAUGCCAUCUCAUCAAAGGCCCACAUCACACAUGCAUGGAACAAAUAUUUUUCAUCUUAUGCUACUUAAAUUUAAUAAGCACUUUCAAAUAUAUACUAAUUGAAUAGAAUAUGUAAUAUUUCAAGUUUUAGUUUAUGUAUUAUUGAUCCAAAUAUUCAUGCUUCAUAUAACCAAAACUCAAUGCAACAUAUAUCUCAGUAGUUAAUUCCCAUUGAUUCCGUUUAUCUACAUACGCACACAUGCCACCUCAUCACACAUGCCAACUCAUCAAAGGGUCACCUCAACAUGCAUGGGAUUUUUUUUCAUUAUUAAUUGAUCUUUGCUACUUGAAUUUACCUCAACAUUUACAAAGUAGAAUAGAUAACAUAUCCCGCCUCAUCAAAGUCCCACAACAACAUGCAUGAAAGCAUGUUCUCCAUCAUAUCAUGCUACUUAAAUUUAGUAAGUAUUUUCAACUAUAUAAUAACUAAAUACAAUAUACAAUGUGUAUUUCUAGCACUAGUCCAUAUAUUUUUAAUCCAAAAUUUCAUGUUUACCGUAACCAAAUCCCAUUGGAAUAUAUUGCAACUAAUUCCCACAACAAAACAUAGGGCACCCACUCAUAAAUUUCUAGCUUUGGAAAAGUCGUGACCUCCCACAUUAUGUAAUCUAUAAAAAUGACGGUAAUGCUAGAAUAUAUAAUAAUAAUGAGAACAAAAGGGUGUAAUCACGACAUACCAUUAUUAUGUAGCCUCACAUCAUAUGAUACAUCGAUAAUAUUACUCUAAAGGAGUAAAAUCACACUUCAAAACUAAAGUUAUAGAAGAAAAUAUUCCACUAAGGUGAGAUGUGUGAUGUAGAAAGUAAGACCAAUAUGGUGCAAGGUACUCGGCAUCCUGCUAAUAUUAGGAGGGAGAGAUGCCUAUUACCACCUUUUACGCUUGAAAUUUGGUGAUGGAUGCUACCUUUUCUUCUUCCAUAACACGAUCCUCCAACCAUUGACAUAUAAUUAUGCAUGUAUACUCAUUUUCAUGGAGUUGAUUCUGAACAUCUUGUAGUUGAUCAUAGAUAUAUUGGGUCUUCUCCUCAAGGAAGCUCAUCACCCCAAUGCAGAUGUUGCUUGUCUUCCUCUAGUUCUUGAAUUUUGGCCUUGAGCCAUCUAGUCAUCAAGUAAUGUGCAUUGAGGCUACUAGAAAUUACACCCUUGUGCUUGAAGAUUGCUUGCUCAUCCUCUUACAAUUCUCCAGUGCUUCAACAUCCUUGAUAUGUAAUUGUCCUCCUUCCAUAGUAAUAAAUUUGGGAUGUGUCCUCAUGUACAUAAAGUAUGGGUUUAUGAUCUUCUUGAGGAAAUCGUCACCACGUUCGUUUUUCCUCCCCGGUACCAGCAUCCCCAAUGGAAGAGCUUGGGAAAGGCAUGAUGUUAGAUGGAUCUAGGGAACAUUGACAGAGAAGUGCUCAAAACAAAACAGAGGCGAACCUCGAGGAUACCAAGAUCAUAAAAAAUAGGAUAUAUUUAUAGGAUAUUUUCAUGCAGAAGGGGUUUGUAAGCAAAAUAUGAGCUGGAGGGGUCUUUCGUGGGCCAAGGCGACCUAGGACUCGAAGCGUCUAGGCCCACAGAGGUCCCCUCAUACCCUUCUUUUGCUCAAUUGUCUUAUUAUGAAUACAAAGUUCCUUACACGUUUUCGGUGUUUUCAAGAGAAUUCAUGUACCCUUUAUAUUUCCUAGAAAAUUUAAGCUUUUGAAUGGUUCAUGUUCUGAUUUUUAAUUAAUUAUUUAAGGAUAAUCCAGUGCACUGAAUUCACCUCCGCUCCUAUGGAAUCAUAGAUAAUGUAAUGUUUGAGUCUCUUUCGUUGACGACUCUUGGUUAAAAUUACCAUUAAUGUCUCCUUAAAGUCUCAUGGCUCCCGACUAAUAAACCUCUCCAAUUGUAAUGGGGGCAUUCCAUUUGUAUAGGAGUAUACCUAUAAAAUGGCUGAGACAAGAUUUGUACAAUAAUACUUGGUCCCCUACUUUAAAUUAUUUUGUUUGGAUUCUUAUAUCAUGCCAUGUUUUAACUUCCUCUUAAAAUAACUUAGCAUUUUCAUAAGCUUGUUUCCUCCAUUCAUCUAAAGUAAUUAUGUGUAGCAAUCUUUUUCACCGGCUUAUUGCAAGUAAAAAAAUGUAUGAUUGGCCGGUAAGCUUUAAAUUCUAAUUCCAAAGGAAGAUGACUAGACUUAACAUGUAGCAUAUAUAAUAAGACAUGCCCAUAUGAUUUUAUAAGUUCCAUAAGCCAAGAGUGCAUCGUUAGUUUAUUCGCCCAAUCUCUACUCAAUUUGUUGAUUAUAUAUUGCAAGAUAAAAUUUAUUCUCUAUUAGCUAAUUGUACUCGAACACUAGUUUGUUGAUGAUAGGGUGAAGCGACAUUAUGAUUAACAUCAUAUACUUAGCCAAAGUUUUUCUAAUAGCACUGUGAGUAAAACUUGAACCACCAUUCAUUCGUAAGAUACCUAGAGUCUAAACAUAGAUAAGGUAACAUCUUUAUGCAUUUUACUGUAAGUUCGAUGAUGAAUACUUCUAGUUGAAAUAGCUAAUAUCCACUAGUGAGAUAAUUAACAACAACUAAAAUAUAUGUCUUACCAUGAGAUAAUGUUUUUUUCCAUAUAAUCAACCCCCCAAAAAUUAAAUGGAUAUUUCCAAGCAAUAAAUGGAUUUCUAGCUAUUUAGUGGAUAUAGUUCAAAAUUGAACUACGAGCAACUUUAAAUGUCACUAAAUGGAAACAAGUUCAUUCUCAAGUAAUUAUUCAACUCUUUAGCUCCCAUACAAAUACAUGAAAAAUAUAAACAUUUCCUUGAAAAUAACAGAAGCAUUCUGAUGCAUCUUAUUGUUUUUUAAUAUAAAAUCUAAAUAUGCUAAAAAUAGAAGUUUCAAUGAGAUUGGAACCUCUGAUUUGUUUGCUAAUUAUUUGAAAUGGAUAAAAUAACAAUUAAUGUUACAUAAUCAUAUAGAUAUAUUAUUGAUUAAAAAAUAAAUGUAGAUUCAUUCAUUCUUUUUGGAUACAAUAAGACCAUCAUAUCCAAGCCCCACGGGUCUCAAAAUGGAAUGUGAUGGAAUAUGCAUAUAAUAGAUGUGUUACACGAAAGAAUCUUCACACAUUUAUUAUGUCCCUUGAUUACAAUUGUUGUACGGGGUUAAAAGAGGACAAUAAUCAAUGUAAGCUAUCGAGGGAACAAGUUGUUGUCAACCCAACCAACACUAGAGCCUAUGAUGAUGAUCUAUGAUACCUAAAUGAGUAUAAGAACAUAAUUUUGAGAAAUCAGUUGCUCCUAUCACAAAUAAUGAAGAAAGUUAAAACAAUAUAGCAUUCAAUGCUUGUUAUUUUGACCACAAGCUUUGUCUAGGGCAAUGUGUGCCGAAACAUCAUUAUGACUUGCUCAAUUUGCAUGAUAUGUUAGGUUUCAUUUUCGGGGUAGGGAGUGGUGGCGAGAGAGGGUUGAGGCUCUACUAUUGUCAAAACUCAGGAUUUGUUGAAGGUUCCCUCAACUUCUAGUCUAUUUUCUAUCGUAAUCCACAUUCAUGUAACGAUGAACUUCCCUUCAUCACACCGUGCACGCUUCCUUCACAUCAGAUGUAGGUCGUGCAUCAAUCGGUCAUCCUUCUCAAGCGACUAGCAACAUGUGAACAUAAGAUAUGUCACUUGUUGAUCUCAGGAGGGACCAUAUUUCCUCCAACCCCAACACUUUACCUAAUCCACCGUUCACGAUAUGUUUUGAAGAACGAGUGAUGAAACAAUUUGCAUUAAGAGGGACCAAAUCUUUGAAAAGACUAGCUGUAUCGUUGAUGCAUGGUUACUAGAAAUAUGUGUUUUGUUGGCCACCACCUAUGCCGAGUACUCCCACUCUCCAUGUUGCGUGAAUGUUUGAACGAAAUUGAUGUUGGCGCUGAUGAUAACCAACCGGACUUGAUUGAUCUUAGAUCAUUUGAUUGCUUUCUCGGUGGUGUGUGUUGGUUAAGUAAAAGAGGCGCAUCGGAUGGUUUUUGCCUUUGUGCACACUCAUGUGAGACAUGUAUUAUGCAACAAAUGCACGGUCACCUAGGUGCGCACAUCGAUCAUGCAUAAAGGGUGCAAGCGGUAUCACUCUUCGUCUCGCGAAACUCAAUAACUAUCUCAUAGUUUGUCCAUCGCAUGCCUAAAGUUGAUAGUAUAUUUGUAAUUUUGUAUCAUGCUAUUGUCCGCUAGCCUGCAACGCUUGCAUCCCUUAUCGUGCAUGGGUCGACGACGUACGAUGGUUUCGCCGUGGUCGGAGAAAAGGCAUAGUGCCUAAGGUACGAAAUGAAACUCUCAGCUUGAUUCGAUCGACCUCGCUAAACCUCGUGCAAACAUGGUAAUCUAUGCUUUUAUCGAAAGCCUUGUUACACAGUUUAUGUUAUCGGAAAGCGAGAUGAUUGAGGAGGAUGCUGAGCCAUCUAUCCAGGAGAUAUGAUCCACCAUAUGUGUGACGCCGACGCGGACAUGCAAUCAAGAUGCACAAGUAGCCGUCCGGCGCAGCGCCGGCCACUUUUGCUGCCAGCCACUCGAUCGCCGGCGACGUUCCUAUCCUGUUUCGGCGCAAAACAAAACAGAGCUGCUGGACAAGACAAGAUCACGUCUAAUCUCUCCGACGCAAAGCUCAUCAUGGUUGCAUAGAAGUUAAGGGUGAUUAUCCCAUACAUACACGCACCAUCGUUACCAGCUAGUGGCACAUGCUAUGCCUAGAUACACACCCGAAAAUAGUAUCAUGUCGCUAGGGAUGGCAAGUUGUUUUGGGCGGGAAUAAGCACCGUGGCAGUUGCAUCUUUUUUAGGUGCUAACAAAGAUGGGAUGGUGUGAUAGAAGGUGGAUAGUGUGAUGUCGAAUUGGGUGGAAUGGUCAACUUAACCGGUGCAUCAAGUGAAAAGAAUAGUUAAAUUAUGCUAUCAGUGAGCAUGUUAACCCCAAUUCCAUGAAUUAAUGAGAUGAAAUCAAUCCAUGGCGAUGAUAAACAAGCUCACAGAUAUGCAUGGCUGAGCCGAUGGAACACCUGGACACCCUGCCAAGAAAAACCUCAUCCAUCCUCUUGUUUGUGUACUGGCGUGUACGCCACGUACGCCCAUGUUUUGCUCUCGUUGAUCGAUCUUGUCAAGUUUAAUAAGGAUGCAUCAGGUUUUUGAAUGUUUAACAUCUCCAUGAAACGAGUUCUUGAGUUUGCACAUGUUUACACCCGUUCCAGCAGCAUGAUUACCCGGGCUCACGAUGAGCCGAGACCAUCCAGAGCCUCCUGGCACUCAGUUUGGUACAAACAGGCAAUUUGCAUUCUCUCAUCUUCCUGGCAGCAAUUGACUCUUCGUUUGCAUUUUCAAACUUCACGAGCAGCUCGAAACUUUGUGAAUUCCAUGUGUUGGAAUGUCGAACUGAUCAGCUCGAUCGAUCAUCAUGUUUGGGAGAGAGCACCACACCCAGCCCAACUUUGACCUCUUCCUGGACACAUUUCUUGGUUCGGACAGCACCAAAAAACUUCCAGAAUUUUCAAUCCAAUUCUUCGUUCCAGGAAAUACUAGAUAACAAUUGCAUAGUGCAUCGAAGAAUCAUCUGAAAUUAGGAUCAAAUUCGAUAUGAGAGGUAGAACAAGCCAACUUGUAUCACCUGGUAGACUUUCCCCAACCACAUGAACAAGCAAUGAUCACUCUAUUGCAAAAUCAUCCGAAUUCAAGCGUGACAACCCAAAUGCAGCAGCUGGGAAGCCUUCCCCAUGUCCACACCUACCGGAGCACGGCGGUUUUCCGGCAAGCCGUCCGGCCACCGCGCCGGCAAACAGUGCAAAGCCCGGCUGAACUCACACACCACCAGCAAAGGUCUCCACAAGUUGUGCAACUUGGGUCGUGUUCCAUCGCCUCGUAGCCUAUCAAAACUACGUUGGAUCGACGUGUUUCCGGCACCUACGUGUUGCUACAUUAACCAGAUACAUGACCGCGCCGGAAAAUCUCAUUGUUCGCCGGUGCAGCCAGUGCCGGCGGCCGGAAAUCUCCACCAAACUCCGACAAAAGCACCAUCCCGACCAGUCCCUGAUCACCGGCUGAUUUCUCCGUGAAUACUCGACCAAAUCACACGAACUUGAUCUCAUUACAAAGCCAUGAUCCUUGCCUACACGAUGGAAAAAAUUACACUCGAAUCGGUGGAUUCGAUGGAGCGAUAUUUGAUCGGAAAUCGAGAGGAGAAGCACACUCUGGAAGUCUGGAGGCUGGUUCGCGAGACGGCCGGCCAACUGGGGGUGGGGGGGCUUCAAUCCGCGGCACCCGAUGCGGCGCGUGGACAGCCGUCGGAUGGAAACGGAUCGGACGCGCCAGGUUUGAUGACGGCCGCCAGGGGGGCGAUCCGUGGCUACGCCCCCUAGACCAAUCAGCGCACGGCGUUCGGGCCUCGCCCGUCUUCCCGACGUCUCCCGCUAUAUAACCAGCGCCUCCUCCGCCCUGACAUCCUCACCCAGCUCUCACCCGCAUCUCCCUCACCUCCGGCGAAAGACACACCAGCGCGCUCUCCUCGCUCUCCCGCAGCAAUGUCGACCGACGCAGCCGCCGACAUCCCGGUGCCUCAGGUGGAGGCGACCGCCGACCCCGUCGUGGAGACCACGGCUGACGCCGCCGCCGGCGACGCGAAACCGGCCAAGGCGACCAAGGCCAAGGCCGCCAAGACGCCCAAGGCCAAGAAGCCCUCCGCCCCGAGGAAGCCCAAGGCCGCCCCCGCCCACCCGACCUACGCUGAGGUAAACCCCUCGACCACCGCCGAAUCUCGCUGCAUUCGGUCUCUGUUCGUUCUCUGUUUGCCUUGGUCUGACUGGCUUUGUUCGUUCGUGCUUUGUGUGUGCGCAGAUGGUGUCGGAGGCGAUCACCGCGCUCAAGGAGAGGGGCGGGUCGAGCACCGUCGCCAUCGGCAAGUUCAUCGAGGACAAGCACAAGGCGCACCUCCCGGCCAACUUCCGCAAGAUCAUGCUGACGCAGAUCAAGAAGCUGGUCGCCGCCGGCAAGCUGACCAAGGUCAAGGCCUCCUACAAGCUCGCCAAGGCCCCCGCAGCCCCCAAGAAGCCCAAGACCAAGGCGCCAGCCAAGAAGAAGCCCGCCGCGAAGAAGAAGGCGCCGGCCAAGAAGACCACCGCCAAGUCCCCUGCCAAGAAGAAGGCGCCGGCCAAGAAGACCACCGCCAAGGCCCCAGCCAAGACCAAGGCCGCCGCCAAGCCCAAGGCGGCAGCGAAGCCCAAGGCAGCCGCCAAGAAGGCACCAGCCAAGACCACCAAGGCCGCCGCCAAGCCCAAGCCGGCCGCCAAGACGAAGGCUGCUGCCAAGCCGAAGGGCCGCCCCGCCAAGGCCGCCAAGACCUCCGCCAAGGACGCACCAGGGAAGAAGGCGGCGGCACCCGCUACCCCCAAGAAGCCAGCCGCCAGGAAGCCGCCCACCAAGCGGUCGGCGCCGGUGAAGAAGGCCACGC